rnacentral:lncRNA from 1 species
UUGCAUUGUUGGACGAGAUCUCGGAUUAGAAUGUAUGCAUUUGAGUGCCAACCAGACCACAAGAACUACAUCUCUAGCAACUUGUUGAUCUUGAGGAGAUGGGAGACGUGAAUCUAAUAUAUCAGUGAGCAUUAUGCUUUGAGCUGAUGAGGAAGACAAUAAGGUGAAAAGUUCUCUUGGAUGCUUUCCCAUCAUUGUCUCAAGCGCCACCACUCCAAAGCUAUAAACAUCACAUUUUUCCGUCACAACCAUAGUGUAGGCAAGCUCUGUUAAGAAUCAAAACAAGAAAAAAAAAUAUUGCACAAAUGAGAAAGAAACAUUCAUUUAGUUUUCUCAUAUUAUCUGUACUUACAAAAUGUUGAGAAUGUUUCAUAGCAUUGCAUUGACAUUUGACAACGUUUUAUUUCUAAAUUGUGAUGAAAUUAAGUUAAUUUUUACAACUUAUAUUAAACCUUUGAAAAACUAUUGUAAGGAAUUUUUAAAAAUAUUUGGGACUUAUUGGGACAAUGAAGACAACUAUUUGGAAAAUGCUUGAGAGAACAUUGAUUAGUAUUUUUUAUAUAAAGUUCUCUUACUCUCAAACCAUUUUUUACAACAUUUUAUGAAUAACUAUUAAGAAUUUCCUUUUUUAUUUGGAACUUUAAAAGAAAUAUAUAUGCCCAUAACAAGUAAUAUCCACAUAGUUGAGAGCAGAUCAUUACAAAUGAUAUAAAGUUAAUCUAUAACCAUGAUGUGAAAGUUUGUUUGACUCUACAAUCUCAUGGGACAUAAACAGGAUAUUACCUUUACAUAAGGAAUGAAUGUGAUAUCCCACGAUAGAUAUGAAAACAAAAAGUUUUGACAUUAUAUAUGAAUGAGUUUCCCUCAACCUUAUAGGCAUGUUUUAAAUUCAUGUGGGCCCCUUAGGCCCAAAGCGAAGAAUAUCUACAUAGUUGGGAGCUAUUAUUUACUUUGCAUGAAAAAUAUAAAGAAAAACAAUAUAUUAAAAAUUUAGAAGAAUUUAUUCACUUUCAAGCUCUUCAUAAGUAAUAAUAGUAGAAAAAGUUUGGUUUGGUUGGCAAUAAUAUCUCCUUUCCCUUCAUCCAGUAUAAUUUGUGACUUCUAUGAAGUAUAUAAUAGGAAGUAUAAAAGUACUAAAUACAUCAAAUCUCAAAGAUACCAAACUUAUUAAAACAAAAACAACCAAAAGUUCAAAAGAUAUAUCGAAAGAGUAAAAGCUGAAAGAAAAACUGUUGUGUACUUACCUGGCGCUAUGUAACCAUAAGUGCCUGCAAGAACAGUUUGAUUGGAUGAAUCAUGAUGCAGCAGUCUAGCAGUACCAAAAUCCGAUAGAAAAGCGUCCAAUUUAGAGUCCAAAAGAAUAUUGCUGCUUGAUAUGUCCCUAUGAAUAAUGGGCAGAGUAUAGUCAUGAUGCAUAUAGCAUAAGGCAUGGACUAUGCUUUUGACCACAUUCACCCUUUUAAUCCAAUCCAAUUCCAAAGCUUCGACUUCAUUGCUCAAUACACCGAAUAAGCUUCCUCUUUCCAUGUACUUGUAAAUCAAAAACAUGCAUCUUUUGUGCAAACAAUAGCCAUGAAGUUUUAUGAUAUUCCGAUGUUGUAUUUUUGACAAAACCUGCACCUCAUUUUGAAAACUUUUAAAGUAUGUUGCCUCAUCUCUUUCCCAUCCAUGAAGCUUUUUCAAGGCUACCACAUUGCCUGUAGGCAAUUGAGCCUUGUAAACAGUGCCAUAGCCUCCAGUACCUAUGCAGUAUUUGAUAUCAAAGUCUUCUGUUGCUUCAAUGAUGUCUUCGUAAGCAAUCUUUCCAUCAUAGUUCCAUAUUGAAAAUAUAUCUCCAUUUUUUUCAUUUUUUUUCAAUGGUGUCUUGGUUUGAUUUUGUCUCAUCUUCCGCGAAAGCAAGAGAAACCCAAACACCGCAAAAAGAAGAAACAAGAUGGUAGAUAUAGCAAUAGUAGUGAUGAGCAUAGUUUUAUGUCCUCUUUUGCAAUGUGGCCAACCUUUUAUUUCACCACAUAAACCUUUGUUGUAGCUAAACACCUCCGGUGAAUGUUCAAGUUGUAAUUCAAUGGGUAUAUGACCCUCCAAAUCAUUGUAUGACAAAUCAAUUGAUAACCACCCAUAUUUUGGAAGAGUAGGAAUGUGACCUGAGAGUUUAUUGUGGGAAAGAUUCAAGUUUUCUAAGCUCUCCAAGUUUUGGAGCUGGGAAGGUAUCUUUACAUUGAUCAAAUUAUCGCUAAGGUCUAAGCUAGCCAUAUUCUUCAAGUUCCCUAUCUCGAAAGGGAUGCAACCCCUGAUUUGAUUUCCACAAAUAUUGAACUCAGUUAAAUUAAUGAGGUUGCCCACAGAUGAAGGAAUAGCACCAACAAGGGAGUUCAAAGUGAGGGACAAUGUAACCAGAUUGGUUAAAUUUCCAAGAGAGGAAGGAAUGACACUGGAAAGAUAGUUAGAACUCAAAUUCAAAGCGGCCAGAUUCUUUAAAUUCCCAAUUUCAGAAGGGAUGGAACCGUUGAUUGAAUUGAAACUAAGGUCCAAGUAUUCCAGGUUGGUUAAAUUUCCAAGAAAGGAAGGAAUGACACUGGAAAGAGAGUUAGAACUCAAAUUCAAAGCAACCACAUUCCUUAAAUUCCCAAUUUCAAAAGGGAUGGAACCGUUGAUUGAAUUGAAACUAAGGUCCAAGUAUUCCAGGUUGGUUAAAUUUCCAAGAGAGGAAGGAAUGACACUGGAAAGAGAGUUAUAACUCAAAUUCAAAGCAACCACAUUCCUUAAAUUCCCAAUUUCAAAAGGGAUGGAACCGUUGAUUGAAUUGAAACUAAGGUCCAAGUAUUCCAGGUUGGUUAAAUUUCCAAGAGAGGAAGGAAUGACACUGGAAAGAGAGUUAGAACUCAAAUUCAAAGCAACCACAUUCCUUAAAUUCCCAAUUUCAAAAGGGAUGGAACCGUUGAUUGAAUUGAAACUAAGGUCCAAGUAUUCCAGGUUGGUUAAAUUUCCCAGAAAGGAAGGAAUGACACUGGAAAGAGAGUUAGAACUCAAAUUCAAAGCAACCAGAUUCUUUAAAUUCCCAAUUUCAAAAGGGAUGGAACAGUUGAUUGAAUUGAAACUAAGGUCCAAGUAUUCCAGGUUGGUUAAAUUUCCAAGAGAGGAAGAAAUGACACUGGAAAGAGAGUUAUAACUCAAAUCCAAAUGAAUCAGAUUCUUUAAAUUCCCAAUUUCAGAAGGGAUGGGAUCGUUGAUUCGAUUGAAAUUAAGGGAUAAGUAAGGAAGGACACUGGAAAGAGAGUUAGAACCCAAAUCCAAAUGAAUCAGAUUCUUUAAAUUCCCAAUUUCAGAAGGGAUGGGAGCGUUGAUUCGAUUGAAAUUGAGGGAUAAGUAUUCCAGGUUGGUUAAACUUCCAAGAGAGGAAGGGAUGGCACCAAAGAGGUCAUAGUUAUAACUCAAAUCCAAUUCCUCUAAUAGAGUGAGGUUACCCAGUGAAACAGGUAGCUCACCAUAAACAUCACAUUCAGAUAUACGGAGGUAAGUGAGUUUUGUAAGCAUACCUAUCUCAUCUGGGAUGGGACCAUAGAUGGAAGAAUGGCUAACGUUGAGAUGGAGGAGGCUGGGAAAUGAAGAAAACUUCAACUGGCUAAGCUCAACCAUUGUACCAUCGAUAUAUGAAUAGGUAAUCUGAAUAACAUGUCCCUCCCUGUUGCAGGUGAUGCCGUCCCAUGUGCAAUGAUGAGAAGUAGUGUUUUCCAUGUACCACCACCAAGUGGAGUUGCGGAGAGCCUCGGCCUCAGCCUCCACCUGUGCGUCAGUUGUAGCAGCAGCAGCAGGAGGUGAUGAGAUCAAGAGCAUGUUAUAUGAUAACAAUACCACUGAAACCACCAACACCCUACAAGUAUUAAUGGAACACCACUCCAUUCUUUCUUAUUUUGGAUUAAUAUUGCUAUAUAUGCCCCAGUUGAUGGUUUUAUAGAAGGGGUGUUGGUGUUGAUCCAACAACCGUCUUCUUUCACCCACACAGCAUCUCAAGCAAGUCAAACAAGUCUUCUCCCAACUCUCCAUUGGACAUUAAUUUGUUGGGAAAUGAGGACGUUUAUUUUGGAAAUUAUGUUUUAUGAAAAAGAAAAUUUGUAAGCAAAAAUUAAAACCAUUAGUAACCAUGAUCAAACCAUAUUUAAUUUUUUUUUCAAAAAUAAAUUUUAUGAUGGGAAAUUAGUAAUCAUGAUCAAGCCAAAGCCCAAGGUUGUACACGUCACACAACUGUCUUUUCAUGAAUGGUGAGGUGUGCUUGGAUGGGAGUUCGUGACCUGCAAAAGCCAGAAAUUUUAUAUAAUAGUAAUGAAUAAUAAUAAAAUAAAAUCACAAAACAUGUUUAAUAUUGAUAUAAACUAAAAAAUAUUAUAUAAAAGUAAUAGUCAAAAGGCUGCAUUUUUAUUAUUUGAUUGUUAUUCCACUUCAUGAUUAGCUUGUCUAACAUUUCAUUUGAAGUUUCUUUCAAGCAAAGCAAGUCAACCAAGUCUUCUUAGGUCCACUUCUUAGACUUUUGAUUAUUAGAAGUUUAUGCUGCUAAUUAACUUAGAAAUUUCUUUAUGAUAGUAACAUGUAAGGACCACAAAGAAAGCUUAAAUUUGACUUGGAUCAAGCUUAAAAAAUUAUUAAUUUUACUAAUUUUAAAUAGGAAUCAAUUUUUAUUUUAAAUUUUAAUUUUUUUCUAUUUGUUAUGCAAUCAUCAAAUAUUUAUUUUUUGCUUUUUUUUUACUAAUAAAAAAUAAAAUUAGCUCCUACAAGCUGUGCUCUGUUUUUUUCUAUCCUAAACAAAGCAACCCUCCUCAAAUCAUUUUUAAAACACGAUAUUGAAAAUUUCCUAUAUUAUAUGUGACAUGUGAGACUACACAAAAAAGAACACAAAAUAAUAAUAAUAAAUAAAUAAAUGCAAAAAAGUCUUUCGAGAUUGCAAAGUUUAUUAUAUAAGGAAUUAAUGAUUUGAAAUGUUAAAAGUUAAUUAUAUUUUAUUUUCCAUGCUAUACAUUUUUUAUCAUGCAUCGAGUAAGAAAAAUUUUAAAUUCUUUUUUCUUUUCUUGCUCACUUUCUAGAAUUAAUGAUGCCUUCAUAACUCUUGUUUUAGCCACGCAACAAGUCAAGCAAGUCGUCUUCCACUCUUGAUUGGAAAUUUAGUGGGAACUAAACAUAAUUAUUUUUAAAAUUUUUAAAUAAAAACUCAAAUGAUAAUUAUAUAAAAAAAUGAUUAUUCACAAUUUUUUUUAAAACAUGAAUUGUGGGAAACAAUCAUACCCCACCUGUAUUUGGAAAAUGAUAUGUUAGUUUUUUUUAUGUAUAUAUAUAAUUCCAAAUAAUAAAGAUAUUACAAUUUUUAACAUUAUAUUGUAACUAAAUGUUUUAUUUGUCUUAUUAAUUUCACUAAUUUUAAAAAGGAAAACAAAAUAAUUUUUUAAAAAGGUUUUUCUAUUUGCUACAUAAUUAGUAAAUACAUAUUUUUUAUUUUAAUAAUAAUAAAACAUAAAAUUAAAAUUAUUAAAUAUUUUAAUAUUAAUAUAAACUAAAAAUAUACUUUAACCAAUAAUUUAUUUGGUUCUUUUCCAAGUAAUAGGUAGACAAGAAAGUCUUUUCAGUCUCAUUAUCAAUGAUUUUUAAUUUUAUUCUAUGUAAAAUUCCACAAUCGUGUGUCUGUCACUAUGUUUGGAAAAGUCGUUCAAAAAGUGUACCAUCCAUAAAUUAUGUUAAUAUUUUUUCAUUUUUUAUUUUACUUUAAAUCACACCUACUUUUUCCUUGUGCAAGUCAAAGCAAGUCUUCUUAGACGCUCAGAAGCAUAAGCGUAUACCUAACAAAAUAAAAAGCUCUAAUAGGAAUAUUAUAGAAAUCCUGUAUUCCAACCAUACUCAAUCAACAACAACCCAAAAUAAAAAUAUUUUAAUUAACUUUUAAAAAUUAAAUCAAAUUUUAAUUUUGAAAAACUCUCAAUUUAGGUUUACAACCAAUCAACAACAUUUGGUGUCAUAUCGUAUUAUUCUACCAAAUAGAUAUCACGUAGGUAUAUAUUAAAAAAAUAAUUAAAAAAUAACAAAAAUAUAAAAUCGAUAGAGAGGGAAUAUAAUUGAAAGUGAGAGUUUGCAUGCACAAAAUACAAACUUUUCAAUUCUUUUUUAAUUUUUAUUUAUUAUUUUAGAAAGAGUUUUUAAAAUGUAAUGUGUAACUUGAUAAAUAAGAGAAUAAGAAAUAAAAAUCAGUUGAAUACAUUCCACCAUUUUACUCAUCAUUCUCUAAAAGAGGAAUGUAAUGUUGAAGAUUUUUGUAACUUGACAUGUUGAAGAUGAAUUUCUAUUUUGUGAUGAAAGAAUAUAAAUAAAUUGAAAAAUAAAAUUAAUGACAUUGUUCACCAUAAUACAAUAACCGUUAUUGGCAAAUACCAACAAGAAGGUAGCACAUUAUAUUAUUUAAUCUAAAUUGAUAAUUUUGUUUCAUUAUCCGCAAGUAGGGCAUUUUACAUUACUAUAUUAUACGUUUUAUUGAAGCCUCAAGGUUGCUGCAUAAUUAACCAAGAUGUAAUACAUGUAAAUAUUCUAAUUAACAUUUUUAUAUAAUACAUGUAACACUUCUCAAAAAGAUGAGAAUAGAAGGUUGAAGAUUUUUAUAAUUGCAACAAAAAAAGAAAUAAAUAAGUUCAAAAUUGUUUAUAUAUAAAAUAAAAUUAGAUCCUAUAGGCUCUCUAUAUAUUUCUCUACUAGACAAAGCAAUUUAAGUCAAGUCAAGCAACCCUUCUCAAACACUUCUAAAACACUAGGUUGGAAAUGCUCCAUUUGUUUAUUAGAUAAAGCAAUUUAAGUCAAGUCAAGCAACCCUUCUCAAACACUUCUAAAACGCUAGGUUGGAAACGCUCCAUUUGUUUCUCUCCUAGAAAAAGCAACUUGAGUCAAGUCAAGCAACCCUUCUAAAUCAACUUCUAUAAGGCUAGGCUCGAAAUUUCUUAUAUGAUAUGUGACAUGUAAGACCACAUAGAAAGAGCACAAAAUAAUAAUAAAUAAGUUCCAAGAGGUCUUACCAAAUUUGACCCCAUGUAUACAUAUUAAUAAAUAUUCUAAAAUUUGAUAAAUAAUUUUUAUAAACUUUAUUAUUCCUUAUUUUUCAUAGCACAUGUGAAACAAAGCUAAUUUUGAUUAAAAAAAAACACUCAUGAGGAGAUGAGUGAAAAUAACUAAUGAAAAUGAUAAGAUAUUUAUUUAAUAAAAUUUUAAACUAAUGAGAACUAGAUGUAUUUAAUCAAAACCUUAAAUGAGGAAAACGGACCAAUGGAUGGCUUUCCCGUCACUUUAUGUUGUUGGUGUUCAAGUGCUCUUUGUGAUCUUGGGUUUAUUUCUUUACAAAUGUUCUAAAUUCAAUUUUUUUUUUCUUUUAAUUUACAACAACUUGAAAAUACCCUAAAUUAUGUGUGACCAACUAGUACAUGAAAGAUACAAAAAAAAAAAAAAAUAUAAGUUAAAUCUCAAUAAUUUUUUAUAUUCCAAGAUGUAAUACAUGUAAAUAUUCCAAUUAACAUUUUUAUAUAAUACAUGUAACACUUCUCAAAAAGAUGAGAAUAGAAGGUUGAAGAUUUUUAUAACUCGACGUAUUCAAAAUGAAUUUCCUUUUUGCAACAAAAAAAAGAAAUAAAUAAGUUCAAAAUUGUUUAUAUAUAAAAUAAAAUUAGAUCCUAUAGGCUCUCUAUAUAUUUCUCUACUAGACAAAGCAAUUUAAGUCAAGUCAAGCAACCCUUCUCAAACACUUCUAAAACACUAGGUUGGAAAUGCUCCAUUUGUUUAUUAGAUAAAGCAAUUUAAGUCAAGUCAAGCAACCCUUCUCAAACACUUCUAAAACGCUAGGUUGGAAACGCUCCAUUUGUUUCUCUCCUAGAAAAAGCAACUUGAGUCAAGUCAAGCAACCCUUCUAAAUCAACUUCUAUAAGGCUAGGCUCGAAAUUUCUUAUAUGAUAUGUGACAUGUAAGACCACAUAGAAAGAGCACAAAAUAAUAAUAAAUAAGUUCCAAGAGGUCUUCCCAAAUUUGGCCCCAUGUAUAUAUAUUAAUAAAUAUUCUAAAAUUUGAUAAAUAAUUUUUAUAAACUUUAUUAUUCCUUAUUUUUCAUAGCACAUGUUAAACAAAGCUAAUUUUGAUUAAAAGAAAACACUCAUGAGGAGAUGAGUGAAAAUAACUAAUGAAAAUGAUAAGAUAUUUAUUUAAUAAAAUUUUAAACUAAUGAGAACUAGAUGCAUUUAAUCAAAACCUUAAAUGAGAAAAACGGACCAAUGGGUGGCUUUCCCGUCACUUUAUGUUGUUGGUGUUCAAGUGCUCUUUGUAAUCUUGGGUUUAUUUCUUUACAAAUGUUCUAAAUUCAAUUUUUUUUUCUUUUAAUUUUAAACAACUUGAAAAUACCCUAAAUUAUGUGUGACCUACUAGUACAUGAAAGAUACAAAAAUAUAUAUAUAUAUAUAUAUAUAUAUAUAUAUAUAUAUAUAUAUAUAAGUUAAAUCUCAAUAAUUUUUUCUCUCAUAAUUUUUAAACUUGCAUUAAAAAAAAAGGCCAGUUAAUGAUUUCAUUGGACAACUUGCAUAUUGGUACUCUUUUUUUUUCACCAUUUAAAGAUUCCAUUUCACGGACUGCCCUUUUUUUAAUUAAAAAAAAAAAGACUUUUGUUAAUUAUAACAAGAAGUAGAGAUUGAUGUUAUUCCUUGGUUCUAAAAUGUUAUCUUUAUUAAUUUAUAUUAUUAUUAUUAUUAUUAUUUAUCAAAUAACAUCAAAACUAUGGUAUCAUCUUUCUUAUUUCAAUUCUUUUCUAGAGUAGUUCGGGUGUGCAAUAUGUUUUUGAAUAUUAUAAUUUAAAAAAUAACAUUUAAGAUUUAAGCAAAAAAAAUGUAUUUAUUAGUUGAAUUUUUGUUCUUCAAGAUAAAAUUUAAUAUUUAAGCUAGCGAAAAAAUGUUGAACAUCGAUCCGUUUAACCAUAUCCACUAAAAAGUACAUGCAUCCCCAAAUGUAAUCCUUGUUAUAAAUAACUUAUUAAUUGUUUCUUUAAGCAGCUAUCGAAGUCUUGUUUGAAUAUAAUAUAUAUAUAUAUAUAUAUAUAUAUAUAUAUAUAUAUUUAUUUUUUUUCUUAAAAUAUUUUUUUUAAUAUUUGAGAUAGUUAAUUUUUUUUUAUAUUUAAAUUGUAUUUAAAACCUUUACUUUUAUAUAAGUCUUUAUAGAAUUCUUAUAUUUUAUAUAAAAAUUACUAUUAAUUUAAGUUUUUAAAAACAAAAAAUAAAAAAUGUACCAAUUUAUAAAAAUUAUAAAAUAUAUUUUUGAUAAGUAAAAUAAAACCCGAUAAUCUUUAUAAAAUUUUCUAUUAGAUGGGACAUCUAUAAUUUAAAAAAAAAAAAACGAAAUGUUGAAAGGAAUGUCCCCAACUUUCACGAUAAAUGAUACAAUAACCAAAUUAUUGAGGCAAAUAUUCGGACAAGAUUUCUUGUCAAACAAGCCUUCUCUACUGUUGAUUGGGAAUUGAGUGGGAAAUGAGUGGAGCAUAAAUAUAGACAGACUAAUUGGGGUUCGAGCUUUUUCUAUGCACAAAUUGGAUGGUGAAAGAAAAUAUACUAUUAAAAUAUUUAUAAUGAAUAAACUUAAUUAAUAUAAGCAUAUUCUACCAAUUUAAUCAUAUAUAUAUUUUACUUUUUAAAGAGUACGUCAACCAAGUCUUCUUAGUUACCCUAAAUAAGAGAGUUAGUCAUGGGUUGUGAAUGAAAAUUUUACAAGGUCAUUCUUUGGUAGUUUUAUAAGUCACUGAGAAGACAAAUCAUGUUCUCCCUUCUUCUUUCCCAUCUAGCAUGCUGUGCUUCCCACUAUUUCAAUUAUCAAGAUGGAAAGUCCACUCCAAAAAUGUGGAAAAUUAAAAUGAGAGGCAUAACCGGAUGAUAAUCAUAAGUAAUAUUUUUUUUUUCUUUUUUUCUUAAAAAAAUUUGAUUUGUUAUCCCAAUUGACGGGUAAGCUUAAGUCAAGUAAGUCUUCUUUGGUGACUUCUCCGACUCUUGAUUGGAAAUUAGGUGAUAAAUGAAGAAAAUAUCCAUUUUAAAAGCGGCUAAUUGUGGAAAAACAAUUUAUCUUAUUAAAUUAAUAUUUUCAAUAUAGACAUGUUAAUAUGGAUUUAUAAUAAUUUAUUUAUAAAACACUCCAAAAAUACAUGAUAAUCAUGGAAACUAAUUUGACAAAAAGUUAUAGAAUCUUUAUAAAUUUUUAAAUUAUGCUACAUGGCAUAUGGAAAGAAAAUAUGCAAGUCAAAGAAAGAAUUUAUAAGGAAUCCACCUCAAUUGGUAGAGGGAUAUUCUACCAAUGUAGAUUUGCCUAUAAUUCACUUAUGAUUAUGGAUUUUCAAAUAGUAGAUAGACUUGUUUCAUGAAUUCUUGAAGUGAUAGAAAGUGAAAAAAUACCUAAGCUUCUUUAAAGGCCACUAAAUGCGGAAAACAAUUUAGUUGUUUUGUUUUUGUUGAUUUCCAUGUGAAUAUCCCUAAUUUGUUGGGAUUUUGAUUUUGAAUUCAAAUCGGGAUUUGUUUCCCACUUUCUAUUUUGAGUUUUUUUUCCUUUUCUUUCAUUUUCUUAGGCAUGUAUCUCCUAGAUAGUAGAUAGAUUUUUAUUUGGUAGAUUCGAUUCUUAGCUUGUUGUUGAUGUUGUACAUGCUCUAUAGAAAAAUAUAGAAAUAUAUCAAGUUUUUUGCAUGGUACCAGAGCGGUUUCCCACUAGGACAGACUCCUAUUAUCUAGCAUUUGUUUUUUUUUGGCAACAGGCAACCUGAAGCCCUUGCAGCUAUCUCGUUGUGAAUUGUCUUCUCCAACCUAGUCACAAUUUGUCCUUCGUUCAUCAGUCCAGCCAUGAUUUAGUCAAGAUGUGAUUUGAUCCUGUUACGAAUUGAUCCAGUCCAGACAAAUCUUUUGGAAUGACUAUUGAUAGUAAAAAAUCAGUCUCUAAAGUGAACUCUAGGUUGAAGACUGUCACUUCCAAUGACCAUGGAGGAUCCGAUGGCUCUUUUCUUCCCAUCAUAGGUCACAAGUUGAAUGGGAAUAACUAUCUACAAUAUUCUCAGUUCGUUCUUAUGUUUAUCAGUGGCAAGGAUAAGGACGGCUACCUCACUGGAGAAAUUGUUCAACCCAAAAAUGAUGAUCCUAGAUUCGGAACUUAGAAGAUAGAGAAUAAUAUGGUCAAAUCAUGGCUUAUCAAUUCCAUGACCAAUGUGAUUGGUGAAAACUUUCUUCUCUAUAAGACCGCAAAAGAGAUGUGGGAUGCAAUUAAAGAAACAUAUUCCACCAAAGAAAAAACAACAUAACAGGUUGAUAUCGAGACUGUUCUUCAUGAUCUCCAUCAAGAGGAUUUAAUCACCACCAAUUACUACAAUAUUCUUGGUCACCACUGGCAACAAUUGGAUGUUUGUAAGGAGUAUGAUUGGAAUUGCCCCAAAGAUGCUGCCAAGUAUCAAAAUAUUGUGGAGAAAAGACGACUUUUCAUGUUCUUAUUAAGCCUCAACAAGCACCUUAAUAAGGUUCAUAGGAGGAUCCUUGGUACCAAACCCCUUCUAACAAUCUGUGAAGCCUUUGCCACUAAAUACCUAAGCUUCUUUAAAGGCCACUAAAUGUGGAAAACAAUUUAGUUGUUUUGUUUUUGUUGAUUUUCGUGUGAAUAUCCCUAAUUUGUUGGGAUUUUGAUUUUGUAUUCAAACCGGGAUUUGUUUCCCACUUUAUGUUUUGAGUUUUUUUUCCUUUUCUUUCAUUUUCUUAGGCAUGUAUCUUCUAAAUUGUAGCUAGAUUUUUAUUUGGUAGAUUCGAUUCUUAGCUUAUAUAAUGUCGAUGUUAUACAUGCUCUGCAGAAAAAUAUAGAAAUAUAUCAAGUUUUCUGCAUGGUAUCAGAGUGGUUUCCCACUAGGAUCGACUCCUAUCCUCUAACAUCUAUUUUUUCUGGCAAUAGGCAACCUGAAACCCUUACUGCUAUCUUGUUGUGAAUUGUUUUCUCCAAUUUAGUCACAAUUUGUCCUAGGUUCAUCAGUCCAACCACGAUUCAGUUCAGACGUGAUUCGAUCUUGUUACAAAUUGAUAUAGUCCAGACGAAUCUUCCAGAAUGACUACCAAUAGUAAAAAAUUAGUCUCUAAAGUCAACUCUAAGUUGGAGAUUAUCACUUCCAAUGACCUUGGAGGAUCCGAUGUCUCUUUUUUCCCCAUCAUAGGUCACAAGUUGAAUGGGAAUAACUAUCUCCAAUGGUCUUAGUUCAUUCUUAUGUUUAUCGGUGACAAAGAUAAGGAUGACUACCUCACAGGAGAAAUUGUUCAACCCAAAAGUGAUUAUCCUAAAUUCCGAACAUAGAAAAUAGAGAAUAAUAUGGUCAAAUCAUGGCUUAUCAAUUCCAUGACCAACGAGGUCAGUGAAAACUUUCUUCUUUACAAAACCGCAGAAGAGAUAUGGGAUGUAGUUUGAUUACUACUCAAAAAGUGCUAUUUUGUACCUUGUAAUUAACUCUUUUAAACACUUUUGAGUAGUAGUUAUUACCUUUUAACUCAAUUAGCAUAUUAAGUACCUUUGCAAUCAUUUCUAAUCAAAUUGUGUAAGUUUUGGUGUUUUUGAUAGUAAUUUGAUCACCAAAGCAAUCCAAGAUCGAGGAGAGUUCUAUGGAAUCCAUGGCAAAGCAAUUGGAAGUUCAUCAACAUGAAGAACCAAAUAUUUGAAGCUUUAUAGUCCUUUUCCAUAAGCAAAUCAUGAAUGCAAGGAGGGAAAGCAAAGAGAGAAAUCUAACAUGAAGCAUUCAAGAGGACAACAACUGUUAGACUCUUUUGAAGCACUUCCUGGAGCUUAAUUGAUGCAUAUUAUAUGUUGUUUCCAAGCUCGGGAAGUCAGCAAUCCAAUGCUUCAAACGGUGCACGAUUCGGAGUUGAAAUGAAGAAGUUAGAGCCAUUGGAAGCCGAUCACACCAAGCUGAAGGCCAAUUUCGCAGGCUGCGAAAUUAGCCUUUGGCUGCGAAAUGGUGUCCUUCAGGUUGCGAAAUUUCGCAGGCAUCUUGCACGCCUACGAAAUCAUCCUGAGUGCUUCUAGAUAUUUGUGACCGACAUUUUUAGAUUUUUUGCUUCAGAUAUUUGAUGUCUAAAUCCCCAUUCUCUCCUUGUAAUCCACCAAUUAUAGGAUUCCUUAGUUAUUAAGUAAGAACAAAGGGUAAAUAGCCUCAUAUAUAUUAUUUGUAAUUUCCAUUACAGAUAUAUCUUGGGAGCUUGUUCUCAGAGACAUCAACUUUUUGUAUAGUUUUGGAAGGAAGUAAAAUACAGAGCUUUGCUCUGCCUUACCUACCCAAUUUGAUUGUAUUGUAUUUAUUUUUUCUUACUAGCCAAACAAGCUUUGAGGAUGUUUCCUUAGAGAAUGAGUGGCUAGGCUUUUAGUUUCUUGGAGCUAAGAUAGCCGCGUAAGGCCCUGAAUGCAAGAAUUGGUAGUUUUGUUGUUUCAGCUAUUAAUGAAGAGAAAGUGUGACCCGUUAAUGAUUUCUAUGUUUUUAGUUAACUUAAAACGCCUUCAAUUCACCUGGGCCGACACUUGGUAAGGCAAGUGAUCUCCGUCCAUGGAGAUGCACUAGUUUAUCUCUUGCAAGCCUUUGGGUGGUGACUUGAAGGUAGGAUUUUCUAGAAUUGCCAACACUUGGUAAGCUUUUGGACUCUAAGGAGACAUCCAUUAGUUAUCUCUUGCGAGCUUGAGAAGGGAAGUCCAAGGUUAAUGAUCACCUUGAGUGGCGAAUGCUAGGUGAGAGGCAUGAGCCAUUGCAAGUUGCAUCAGUGAGAGGGAAUUAGUGCUGAAAUCCAUUAAUGGGAAACAUCUGUACAACACCAGUUAGAGAAUUAACUAUAUGUUAAUUCUCUAAUGCGAGGAAAAGAUUCAAGUGACCAGAGCUCUGUUUUUGCAUGAGGAGCUUGACCCCAAUGAACCUAAAACUCCAAGGAACGCUUUUCUUCAUAUGUAAUUCCCAUUACUUUCUUUUUAGUUAGCUUAAAACAAAUCCUUUUUCAACCAAAUUUUAUGUUUUCUUCUUAAGCUAACCUUGAAAUGAAAAAACACCAAUUCAACUUUGAAUUGGUAUCAGUUGUAAGUUGAAAACCCUUCCCAGUGAACGAUCCUAGAGCCACUAUGCUAUAUUAGCUAAGGCUAUCCUAGUGCAUGGUGAUAUAGGUUAUAAAUUUUGUUGAUUACUCCUGUCUGAGGACCAAACUCAAGGUACACCAACUAGGCACGCGAUCAUAGUUAAAGAAACAUAUUCCACCAAAUAAAAUACAACAGAACAGGUUGAUAUCAAGACUAUUCUUCAUGAUCCCCAUCAAGGGGAUUUAACCAUCACCAAUUACUACAAUAUUCUUGGUUGCCAUUGGUAACAAUUGGAUGUUUAUGAGAAGUAUGAUUGGAAGUGCCCCAAAAACGUUGCCAAGUAUCAAAAGAUUGUGGAGAAAAGACGACUUUUCAAGUUCUUAUUGGGCCUCAACAAGCACCUUGAUGAGGUCCGUGGGAGGAUCAUUGGUACCAAACCCCUUCCAACAAUCUGUGAAGCCUUCACAGAGGUAAAGAGAGAGGAGACCUGGAAGAAACUCAUGUUAGGCAAGCAAACUGCUAUAGCUACUACUGAAAGUUCUACUCUUGCAACUCGAGGUCAGUUUAGCAACAAUUGAGGAAAUCAACAGCAACAAAAGUGAAGACUUUGGUGUGACUAUUGCAAGAAACAUGGUCAUACAAAGGAUACAUGUUGGGAUAUCUAUGGUAAACUUGCAGAUUGGAAAUCAAGGUCAAAUAGACGUGAUAGUCAAACAAACAAUGCCACCACCGAUUCCACCUCCUAACCCAAAUCAAACCCGCUUAGCAAAGAACAAUUAGAUCUUUUAUAGAAACUACUCUAAUAGUCACAACAACCUAAACCAGCUCAACCCACUUCCAUAAUUGGUACUGGUUUUAUUGCAUAAAAAUGUAAUUUCUUGAGUGCUCUAAAUGCUAAACAGAAAAGGACAAGACCAUGGAUUGUUGACUCUGGUGCAUCUGACCACAUGACGGGAGAUGCAAAUGUUUUUGACACAUAUGAUCCUUGCUCUUCGAAUUAUUUUGUCCGCAUUGCUGAUAGAUCAUUGUCUAAGGUUGGUGGUUCCGGUUCAGUGACUAUUUCACAGGACUUAACUCUUCACUCUAUCUUACUUGUUCCAAAUCUAGAUUGCAAUUUGUUGUCCAUUAGUAAACUGACAAAAGACCUUAAGUGUGUUACUAAAUUUUUUCCUAAUCACUGUGAAUUUCAGGUUAUGGAUUUGGGGAUGAUGAUUUAUUUCAAGUUAUGGAUUCAGGGAUGAUGAUUGGCAAUGCUAAGGUGCAUGAGGGACUCUACCUACUUCAAGCUAAUGAGUAUCCUAAUCCCAGUCAUUCUCAAGCUCAUUCUAUUCAGUCUUCCAAUUCUAUUCUUUCCAUUCGUAGUGAUAAUAAAAAUGAUGCCAUAUUGUUGUGGAAUUAUAGAUUAGGCCAUCCAAAUUUUUUUUAUCUUGAGAAAAUGUUUCCAUCAUUAUUUAAUAAAAAAUCCUAGUCUUUUUAGUGUGAAAUUUGUCAAAUGUCUAAACAUGUGCAUAAUUCUUAUCCUAACCACGUUUACAAGACUUUUCAUCAUUUUUCAAUGAUACACAGUGACCAUUUGAGAUCAAGAACAUUUCUGGAUCAAGAUGGUUUGUCACCUUUAUCGAUGAUCAGACUAGAUUCACUUGGAUAUUUCUCAUGAUAGAUAAAUCUAAGGCUGGCCAAAUCUUUAUAAACUUUCAUAAAAUGAUCCAAAAUCAAUUCUAAGCCCAAAUUCAAAUUCUCAAGACCGUUAUUGGAAGAUAAUACUUCCAUUAUGCUCUGGGUACUUAUUUGAUGAAUAAUGGAAUUAUAUACCAAAGUUCAUGUGUUGAUACUCCUCAACAAAAUGGACUGUCAAAGUCCUUGUCAAGUCCUUCUCCAAUCUUAUCCUAAUUCUCGGCUAAUCUCCUCCAUUCCCAUCAAAGUGUUUGGUUGCAUUGUCUUCGUCCAUAUUCAUUCCCAACAUUACUCCAAACUUGAUCCAAAAGUUGUCAAAUGUCUCUUCCUUGGGUAUUCUCUUAGCCAAAAAGGGUAUAAAUGUUAUUCUCCUACUCAAUGGAAAAUUUACAUAUCCAUGGAUGUAACAUUCUUUAUUAUUCAACUCGUUUACCCUAAAACUGGUAUUUAGGGGGAGAAUGGACUUAGUGAAUAUUAGUUUUUGAACAUAAAUACUGAUUUUCUUGAUACAAGUUUUGAUUUUUCCUGCCUUUCUUCAUCUUUUCUUCCACUUGAGGUUGAGACAUCUUCUAAUCUUCAAUCAAAAUCCAUUUUUAAGACCAUAUAGCCUGCACAAUCUUCAAGUCCUGACCUUCCUCCUGACCAAACUCAACAUCCAACCUCAUCUAUUGUCUAUACCAGAAAAAAAAGGCUUAGAAGGUGGGAAAAAUCCAAGUGCAUCCAAUGCAAAACUAAGAGUUUGAAUCAGAUUCAAAAGAUUCUGAAAAUUGACUAGGUAACACCACUGUUGAACCUCUUUUGGAUGAAAUUUCUAAUGAUUUAGAUUUGCCUAUUACUCUAAGAAAAAUGGUGAGGUCUUGCACUAAACAUCCUAUUCAGAACUUUGUGUCCUAUAAUGAGCUAUCUCCAUCAUAUAGGGCAUUUUCAAUGAAGAUAACUGAAGUGCAAGUUCCUAGAACUAUUCAGCCAAUCGGAUUGGAGAAAAGCUAUUUUUGAUGAGAUGGGUGCUUUGGAAAAGACGGGUACAUGGGAGAUUGUUGAUCUACUGAAAGAUAAGAAUAUGAUAGGAUGUAAGUGAAUCUUUACAGUCAAACAUAGAGCUGAUGGAAAUGUUGAUAGGUUGAAGACACGACUCUUUCCAAAACGAUUUACUCAAGCUUAUGGAGUUGAUUACUAAGAGACAUUUGGCCUAGUUACGAAACUCAAUACUGUUAGAGUCUUACUAUCUCUUGUUGCUAAUCUGGACUGGUCACUAAACUAGUUAGUUGUGAAGAAUGCCUUCCUCAAUGGUGACUUGGAGGAGGAAGUGUAUAUGGAGAUUCCCCUUGGCUUUGAAAGAAACAAUGACUUUAAGAAGGUAUGUAAACUCCGAAAAGCAUUAUAUGGCCUUAAAGAAUCUACUCGUGCUCGGUUUGACAAAUUCACAAAGGUCAUAAAGAAAAAUGGUUAUAUUCAGUGUCAAUUUGAUCACACCUUGUUUGUUAAGUUCUCUAAAGGAGGAAAAAUAACUAUUCUUAUUGUGUAUGUCGAUGACAUAAUUCUUAUUGGAGAUUAUGAUGAAGAGAAAGUUAGUUUGGAAAAUCUCCUCACUAAGGAAUUUGAGAUAAAAGAUUUGGAUGAUCUCAAGUAUUUCCUAUGAAUGGAAGUGGCUUGAUCUAAGAAAGGAAUUUGUAUUUCCCAAAGAAAAUACAUCCUUGAUCUUCUAGAGGAGACUAGUAUGCUUGGGUGUAAACCCUUAGACAUCCCUAUGGACUCUAAUGUCAAGCUUGGCUUAGAUCAAGAGGGUCCUUCAGUUGACAAAGGGCGAUAUCAACAACUUGUAGGGAAGUUGAUAUAUCUUACCCACACAAGACCAGAUAUUAGAUUCUCUAUUAGUUUGGUUAGCAAAUUUAUGAAUAAUCCUACCAAAGAACACUUAGAUGUUGUCUAUAAAAUCCUUCAAUAUCUUAAAUGGGCUCCUAGAGAAGGGUUAUUUUUAAAAAAGAACUCUAACAGAGAAAUUAUGAUCUACACUAACAUAGAUUGGGUUGGCUCUUCUAUAGACCAUAGAUCUACAUCUUAUUAUUGUUCAUAUGUUUGGGGCAAUCUCGUUACAUGGUGAAGCAAAAAACAAACUGUUGUUGCUAGGAGUAGUACUGAAGUUGAAUUCAGAGCUUUAGAAAAUGAAAUUUGUGAGGGCAUGUGGAUUAAAAGACUAUUGGAAGAACUCAAGUUUCCUAUUGAUAGUCCUAUGAGAAUUUUUUAUAAUAAUCAAGCAACAAUUAGCAUUGCUAAAAAUCUUGUUCAUCACGACAGGAUUAAGCAUGUGGAGAUUGACUGUCAUUUCACUAAAUAGAAGAUUGAUGAGGGGAUUAUCACUCUUGCAUACAUGCUAACAACUCUUCAAACAAUCUACAUCCUUGCCAAAGCACUUCCUAGGGUCAACUUUGAAGAAAUGAAGUCCAAGUCGGGCAUGCUAAACAUUUAUAGCCUAGCUUGAGGGGGAGUGUUGAUUUUCGUGUGAUUAUCCUUAAUUUGUUGGGAUUUUGAUUUUGUAUUCCAACCGGGAUUUGUUUCCCACUUUCUGUUUUGAGUUUUUUUUUUCCUUUUUUUUCAUUUUCUUAGGCACGUAUCUCCUAUAUUAUAGCUAGAUUUUUAUUUUGCAAAUUCGAUUCUUAGCUUAUAUAAUGUCAAUGUUGUACAUGCUCUAUAGAAAAAUAUAGAAAUAUACCAAAAUUUCUCCAGUUUUAAAUCAUAUCAAAUUUUUUACUUCAAAAUGAUUACAUUGAAAAACUCCUAAAUUUUGACUUUGAAAUGAUUAACCUUCCAAAGAUUAUUAAAAUUGUUAUCCAUUAUUUCCAUUUACAUAGAAUUUGAGAAGGACUAUAUAAUGCUUGAAAAUUUAAACAGUAUAGAAUAAAAAUAUGAUCUAUAUUGAAUUAGAAUUUUUUUUUAAAAUAAAAUUGGGACAAGCUACCUACUUAAGGAAUCCUCACACACACACACACACACACACACACACACACACACACACACACACACAUAUAUAUAUGAUCUAAGUUGAAUUAGAAUUUUUUAAAAUAAAAUUGGGACAAGCUACCUACUUAAGGAAUCCUCAUAUAUAUAUAUAUAUGACUAAGAAAAAUGAUAAAAAAGGGUGUACAAAUAUCACAUGUUAGAAAUUUUCAAAUAAAAUUGUAAUUUUAUUAAAUUGUAGAAAAAUCUACUUCAAAUCUCCAGUUUAAUUUCAAAUUAUUCUUUCAAUAAUUGUUGACUAAGUGCUUGCAAAAUUUUGAUCUCAAGUUCUAUUGAAGAUUUGAUGUUGCUUGCUUGAACUUCAUUUAGACUUUAACUUGCUUAUGGUUUGAGUUUGGAUUGGCUUAUUUUUUACUUACAUUUUAGAAAUGAACAACAUCUUAGUCUUUGAGAUUUGAAGCUUGAUUUUAUUCUUGGCUAGGCUUGUUAGGCUUUGACUUCAUUUGAGCUUUGGCUUAAACAAUCCUAACCAAGUGCUUGAGUAAUAAUCUUAGACAACAAAAUUUAGAAGAUUUGGCUAUUAAAGUUUGAUUCUUGAUUUUUUGAAAGAUAUUCAUGAUUUGAAAAUAUUUUGAAGAAAUUAAAAACUCAUCAAAGAAAUUUUGAAGAUUUGAGAAAACUUUGAAAUCUCUUUUGAAGAUUGAAAAAGCAAUGAAUACUUUCAAAGAAGCCUUCAAUUUCCCAUAAAAAUGUUUGGGAAGCUUUAAAGGAGACCAAAUUUUUUUGAAGAAGUUUGAAGGCCAUCAUAGAAGCUUUUUGAACUUAUAAUAAAGCUUUCGUUUUACCUUCUUAAUUAUGUAUUUUUUACUUAUUGUGUGAAAUAUACCUUCAAGGUGGUUUCCUUUAUUAAUAAAGAUAGGAAUAACAAUACUUAAACAAUUUUCUAGCUCUUGAAAUAUGUUUUUAAUUAUUUAACUAAACUUAAUUUUUAAGGAGAUAUAAAAGAACAUAUUUAGAUGGUCUUUAACCCCUUGAAAACUAUUCUUUAAGGAGAAUCGGUGAUUAACCGUUUUUUUUAAAAUCAAGUCCAUUAUUGUCUUAAUUUAUUGUAAUAAUUUUCUUUUUGUUGUCAAUAUUUAUCUUUUCUCUUAUUUAAUCUAUAGAUAAUUUUUUGAGGACCCAUUAAUUUGUACUUAAAUAUUGGUAUAGAAAGUUAAAAUUAUGUUUUUAAGAUAAAAAGGAGUAAAAAUCAUUGUUUUUACCUUCAAUAUGUUAACACCCUAUUUUGGUAACUAAUGUGCUAUAUUGUGGGAACUGUAGCAAAGAGAAGAUAAAAACAUGUUUUUGUUAGGAUAGAACCCUUAAAAACAUGAUAUGAAGUAACAAAUUUGGAAUUCAUUAUUUAAUGAUAUUCCAAUUUCAUUUUUAUCUAUUCUUGUUCCAUGCAUUACACUUUAUAAACAUUCUUGCCUAGCAUCUUUUGCAUUGUACGUGAUUUGGGUGCAUUAGGAAUUUCCCAAAAGAUCCAAAUAUCGAGUUCCUUGCAAAUAGAUAACUUUUUCAUAAUCGAUUCAGGUCUAGGCAUCAUGAUAUCUCAUGGUGAAAGACCACCGAAAGUCUAAUAGGGAACAUCCAAAAAGGGAAAGAGGAGUGAAUGGGUGAUAUGAAAAUUAAAAUAAAGAGUUAUAUAUAUUAUAUUAAAUUUUUCUUACCCUAAAAUUUUUUAGGGAAGUCCUAAUUAGCACUUUGGGCAAAUGUCAAACAUAUACUCUAGUAUCUUUGGAGAAUAAGGGAUUAUAUGUUUGUGAGUCUUUGUGAUGAGUUGCUACUCUUUUCAUACCGAGAAAUUGGACUUCAAUAUGAUAAGAACUCUUGUAGGUCUACCUUUGGGUGUGUGUGCACUAUAAGUGGUUUUUAUUUUAUUUCUUUAUUUAUUUAUUUUAUAGAAACAAAGGAAGCCUUUUGGCUUAUGGGUAGUUCCCUUGACCAUAAUGUCUAAGAUCCUAUUAUGUAAUAAUAGUGGGUUGGUGGCAUGGUCUAAAAAACUAAAGUACCACUAGGAAAGGAAACACAUAUGGAGGAAGUGUAACCUUAUUCUGAGAUAAUAUGGAGAGUUGAUGAUACAAUGGAGUAGAAUUCUUUCUACGGUUCCCAAUCUAUUUUUUGGGCUAGUGGGAUUUUGUUGGGAUUAUACCCCUAAAAACAAGGCAUGAUGUAACAAAGUUAGACUUAACCAUCCCCUUGCUAUCCUUUUUGGUGUAUUGACAUUGCCUUGAGCAUUUAGCCCAUGUCUUAUACAUUGUACAUGACUUUUGUGUAUUAGGAGUUAUACAAAAGAUACAAGUCAUGGGUUCCUUGUAAGUAGAUAAGUUGUCCACAAUCGGUUCAUGGAUUUAAGCAAUCCAAUAGAGACUAUAGUGCAUCACCUUCUAAUUAGAGGGAUGACUUAUCUUGGUGAUUCGACUCAUGGUAGCUUAGCUUUAAAGGCGUAUCAACAAAAUUUAUACCUUAAAUACUAUUACUAAAGUAGCCAAGCUACUAUAGCAUAGUGGUUCUAGGAUCGUUCACUGGGAAGGGUUUUCGCAAACACUAGUGAUAUUCAAAUUAGGAAAAUAGGUGAUUUUCUUAUGGAUGUUAGCUUUAAAAGAAGAUGUAAAUGUUUUAGAAAGAUUUAAACUAAUCUAAGCUAACAUUAAAGACUAAAAUGAAAGGGUGUAAAAACAAGUUUCUCAAAGAUAGGAUAGCUAUGCUCUGGCUCUUAUGCAAAUUGGAAAUCUCAGGAUAGGCUCCUCGCGUUGGGGUUGCAACUAUGGUGAUGCUUGCUUCCCGAACCGGUAUGGAUUUAGCAAAUCAAGUUUUAAUCCUUUAAAAUGGCAAAACAGAUGAUAGUGAAUUUCAUCAAUGGUUUUUCACCUUAGACUUCCUUUGAAUGGCUCGUAAGAGAUAACUAAUGGUCUAAAGCCAAAAGCUUACCAAAUAUUGGCAACUCAAAGUCAUUCCAGGUGAUAAACUCACCUUUCAAUGGCCAUUGAAAUUGGUUCUAACGGAUUAAUGCAAAACUUGGAAUUGAAAACCUCACCUUCCAAUAGCUCGUAGGAGAUAACUAAUGGAUAGAAAUCCAAAAGCUUAUCAAGUAUUGGCCGUUGGAAGUUGUCCAAAGGAAAUAAAAACCAAACUUUGCAUUAAUGAACCUUUAAUGAAAAACGACUACCUUACCUUCCAGGUGCGAGAAAUCUCCAUGGGAUUGCAUCCAAGCCAUCACAUAACAUCCAUACUUUGAGAAACUAAAAGUUUUAGCCAAUCAUCCUCUGAGGAAAAGCCCUCAGAGGCUGUUUGGCUAUUAAGAAAAUAGAAAUGGGGAAGAACAAGAGAAGAGAGAAAAAAACAGAGCUUUAUAUAUUUCUAAGUUAAUGUACAGAGGAUCGAUCACCCAAAUCUCCCUUCUUUUGGAGGUGUUGUGCACCUCUAUAUAUAGCAAAAUUACAAGAUAAAGCCUUAUGUUGGCUGAAUACAAGGUUACAAAAGGAAUUUACACGAGAAAAUAUCAAGCUAAAAAUAUCUGGGAAGUCGGUGGUGCGUGCAUGGAGAAACAGAGGAAAAUUCACACCACGCAUGGGCUGUGCGAAUUUGGAAGGUGUUGUGCGAGUGUUGUGCGAGUUUCACACAAGCUUCGCACAACCUGAAGGUGUUGUGCGAAUUUCAAGGUGUUGUGCGAAUUUCGCACAAGCCUGGAGCAGUUGUCUUCCGAAGGCCAUAUAUUCCUCAUUUCACCUCCAAAUCGUACACGAUUUGAACCGUUGGAUUCUUCACUUCCUGAGCUUUGAAAUGGUAUAUAGAAUGUAGAAAAUGAACUUUGGGAAGUGCUCCAAAAGUGUAAAAGAAGACUACAGCUGCUGUCCUCUGUUUUCUUCACUUUGCUUGCUUUUCCUCUUUGCUUCUCUUUGCUUCUCUCCUUUGCUUGGCUUGUCUUAAUGAUCCAAAAAGCUGUCAAAACACUAAAAAUAGCCACAAAUAUGAUUAGAAGUCAUUGCUAGGUCCUUAACAUGCCAAUUGGGAUAAAGAUGGAGAACUACUACACAAAAGUGCUUAAAACAUAAUGAAUUAAAGGUGUAAAAUAACACUUUUUGGGUAGUAAUCACUUGGCCAUCAAGAUGGGUUUCCCAUGGUGAGUGCACUAGUGUAUGUGAUGCAAAUUGGACAGGACCUAGGGUGAAUCAUGACACAAAACUAUCAAUUAUCAUGAUUCACCAAGCUACUACACUACAUAGACUUUCAAACUUGAGAAGAUAUUGAGCUUGUGCAAAAAUCAAUAGGAGGCUUUGACUUAUGGGUAAGACUUUAAAGUGGUCAUAUAUCCCUAUGGAUUUGGUCACUAUUGAUGGAGGCUGGUGGCAAUGGGUAUUCUCAAUAGAGACACCAUGAUAUCUCAUAAGAUUGAGACAAUGUGUCCCCUUGGGUGAUCUAAAAACAUGUGAUCGUGAAAUCUGUGGCCAUAGUAAUUACUUAAGUGGAAUUUGACAUAUUCUCUUCAAAGCUAGAGUAUGUUAUUUGAUCACAUAAUAAGUGGGAUCUAUAACUCAAGGAUUUGAGAGGUAAUCUUGAUAGGUGAAAACACUAUCUUGUUAGAUUAUGAACACUAGUUCAUGGGGAGUCUACAUGCAGUGGAUAGUAGGUCACAAACUCAAAUACUUGGUGUCUCGUUUUAAUAUAUAUAAGGUACUGGAGUGUAGUUGACUCUCUAUAGUGGGAUGCUAAGUUAAUUUCAUAAUUGUUUAUAAGAGAGCCAAUACUCCUAUGGGUCCCAAUGGUCCUCGAUCUGGGGUCAUAUUCCUUGAUGGCAUGGUUUAUGAUGGUUAGGUGGAUUUUGAAGGGAAAAACUCAGAUCACUCCGCUUCCCAAGCCCAGAUUUGGUUAGCAACAUGCAUAACUAUCCUAGGCCUUUUCUAAAUCCUAUGCUCAAUGAAAAAAAAAAUAACAUUUUUAAACCUUAAAAGGAUUCAUAAAGAGCUAACGAAAACCAUAUCUCAGAUUCCGAUGUUCCUAAAUCAAAUCCAAGUGGUGAAAAUGAAGAAUGAAAUCACAAAAGUCUCAUAAACCCGAAGUCUUCCGUGCAAUGAAUUGAAUUGAUCUUGACACACCUCCAGUGGGGAUGGAAAGGAAUGUGGAGGCUAUAACUCUUUCUUUUUCUCUUUGGAGAUGGAAGAUGGCUCUCUAGAAAAACUAUAUGAACUUUAAGCCCUAAGAUGAGAUUUAUAGGGUUUUCUACUAGGCUUAAGUAACUUGAGCUCACUAAGUGCUUGGGUCACUUAAUCUAGCCCAAAACGGGUCCUAAUUGAUUAAUUAACUCAAUAGGGCAUGCUAAUUAAUCAAUUAGCCCAAUCUAGAGACCUUGCUCACUUACCCUUGUGCAAUCUUUGUGUAAUUACCAAAAUGGCCUUAUGCACAAAAGUGAACUUAGAGCUAAUUCGACUCUCAUUACCCAUGCCAACAAGGUAUAUGAGCUCAGAGCAAGGACUAUUAGAACCCAUAUGAAUAUUAGGUCCCUCAUAAUCCAAUUCUAAAGUUGAUUCAACAUCCCACUAGAAAGAAUCAACUGAACUCCAGUAUCCUAUGUAAAUAGCAAUGAGACAUUAUGUGCUCAGGUUCUUGACCUGCUAUCCAUUACAUUUAGUCUCCCGAUGAACUAGUGUUCGUAGUCUAACAAGAUGAAAGCUAUCAACCUUUCAAGACUAUCUCUACUAUCUUUAAGUUAUAGAUCCUCCUAUUGUAUAUUCAACUGACACGUCUUAGCUCUCAAAGAGCCUAUGUCAAGUUUCACUUAAGGAAUUACUAUGACCAUAGUUUCUAUUAACACACCUCCUUAGGAUCACCUAAGGGGAUACACUGUCUCAAUCCCAUGAGAUAUCAUGGUGCCUACAUUGAGAAUACUUUUUGCUACCAACUUCUAUCAACAAUGACCUGAUCCAUAAGGAAUAUAUGAUCAACUUACGAUCUCACCCGUAGGUCAAAACCAUUGCUAACUUUAGCAUAGGCUUAAUAUUCUCUCAAGGUUGAGAGAUAACACAAUGAAGCAACUUGGUGAGGUCAUGACUACUUGAUAGCCUUAAGUCAUGACUCACCAUAGGUCUUGUGCAAUGUGUAACCAUACACACUAAUGCACUCACCAUGGGAAACCCCUCCCCAUAGCCAAGACAAGUCAUCACUCCAAUUAGGAAGUAGUGCACUACAACCUCUAAUGGGUUGCCUAGACCCAUGAACUAGUUGUGAACAAGUAAUCUAUUUGCAAGAAACCCAUGACUUGGAUCUUCUGUGCAACUACUAAUGCACCUAAGUCACAUACAAUGCAAAAUAUGCAAGUAAGAAUGCUCAUAAAAUAUAAUACAUGGAAUAAGGAUAGACAAAAGUGAAAUUGGAACAUCAUUUAAUAAAUAAUGAAUUCCAAAUUUAUUACAUCAUGUCAUGCUUUUUAGGGCUCUAUCCUAGCAUUCUCCUACUAGCCCUAAAAGCAUCAUGCCUAUAAAGCAUGCCAAAUACUCAUUUGAAACCUAUGCUAUCCUUGUGACUAAUAAAGACUCUCCUUGUCAAUGUCUUGGUGAAGGGAUCCACCAGGUUCUCCAUAUAAGGUAUCUUGUCCCAUAUCAUGUCACCUUCUAAACUAUUUCAACACUUUGGAGCACAAGCACAUAAGCACUCGUUCUCCUAAGAUACUUCAGUAUAUGCUUGAUAGCAGUUUAGUGUUUUGGACCUGGAUUAAACUAAUAUCUACUUACCAUACCCAUUACAACAAAAUAUUUAGCCUAGUACAUAGCAUCGCAUGCAUAAGGCUACCCACUAUAGAGGCAUAGGGUAUUGAUUGGAUGCGUUUUUUCUCCUCAGGUGUUUUAGGACACUGAUCCCAAGAAAGAAGAAUUCCAUACCUAAAAUGUAACAAACCUUUCUUGGAAUCUUGCAUCACAUACUUGACCAAAAGCUUAUCUAUGUAGGUAGCUUGAGAUAGCACUAGUUUCUUAUUCUUACGGUCCCUAGGGACCUUAAUCGCAAGAAUAUACUACACUUCUCCCAGAUCCUUAAUCUGGAAUUGAGUAGAUAACCAGAACUUUACUGAUGACAAUAACCCUACAUCAUUACCAAUGAGUAAAAUGUCGUCAACAUACAAGAUCAUAAAGACCAUCAUGCUUCCUUACUCCUUCUUUUUACACACAAGGUUCAUCCUCAUUUUGAUCAAAGUCAAAGGUCUUGACUGCUUGAUUGAAACAUUUAUUCUAUGAGCGAGAUGCUUGUUUUAGUCCAUAAAUGGAUUUAUGCAAUUUGUAUACCAUAUGCUCUUAACCCUUUGCUACAAUACCUUUUGGUUGCACCAUAUAGAUGCUCUCAUCAAGAUUUCCAUUUAAGAAUACAAUCUUGACAUCCAUUUUCCAUAUCUCGUAGUCAAGAUGUGCUGCAAUGGAUAGGAGUAUUCUAAUGGACUUGAGCAUGGCUAUCGACGAGAAGGUCUCAUCAUAGUCAAAACCAAGUUUCUGACUAUAACCCUUCACUACAAGCCUAGCCUUAAAAGUCUCAACCUUUCCACCCACUCCUCUCUUUCUCUUGUAGACCCACUUACACCUUAUGGGUUUUAUACCUUCAAGUGCUUCUACAAGCUCCUAGACUUGGUUAGAAUGCAUAGAUUCUAACUAUACUUCCAUAGUCUUUUGCCAAAAAUGUGCAUCCACAUCGCUCAUUACUUCAUCGUAACAUGUGGGAUCGAUCUCAUGUUCCUUUAGAAUGACCUUAAAAGACUCUCCCAAAACAUGAAUUGGUCUAGUUGUUUAACAACCCUCCCACUACAACGAAGCAUCAGUGUACUAGAAAUGAGAAUGGUUGGUACUAGAUCCAUAGUAUUUGUAGAUUGUUUGCCUUAUUACAUGUUAUAUAGUCUUCAUAAAAAAUCUAGUAUUUGUAGUAAGCAGCACCUUUUGAUAAUCCUAACUAUAAAGUAGUAAUCCUGAAAUCCUCUUAGAUAUCCUAUAAACUAAUACACCUCUUUAGAAAAAGAAGAGGUAUUACACAGUCUUUUGAUAUAUCCCCAAAGAAUAUGGGAAGUAAUGAGAAACCAAUCACCGAUCUCACUUUGUCUACCAAAGUUUAAUAUAUUCUUUCCAUUACUCCAUUUUGCAAUGGAGUCCUUGGGGCACACAAUUGUGAUAUGAUCUCAUGCUUCAUUUGGAAAGAAUCAAACCUACUAGACUAACCACCUCAAUCUAAUCAAAGUGCCUUGAUAUGUUUACCCAUUAGGUUAUCUAAUUCUGCCUUAAAUUCAAUGAGUUUAUUCAAGGCAUCAUAUUUCCUAUCUAUAUAUCCAAAGCUAGAGUAUUUAUCAAUAAAAUGAUCAAAGACUCACACUUUCAAUAUAUAAACACAAAAAGGUUCACAUACGUGAGUAUGCACUAACUCCAAACAUUCCUUGGUUCCAAGUCCUUUAAAAAUAAAAGGGUCUCUUAGUCAUUUUACCAUCUAUAUAAGAUUCAUAAACUAAAAGAUCUUCUAGAUUAAGAAGGUCCAAACUUAAUUAGUAUUUGGAUCAAUAUGACUUAGGCAUUAGAAGCCAAAUGUUUGAUUAGUUCUAGGUUCUUUCUUUUGGUGAGAUUUAACUAUUCUCAUUACUUGGCAAAGUGAUAAUGGAGUCUCACACAGAAAGGGUAAUACCUCCCACUAACAUGCACAACUAAUCUUACAAUUGAAGCUGAGAUAAGUACAAUCCCAUCAUGUGACCUUCUCACUUGUUGAAAACCUUGUAAAGAACUACAGAUAGUGGGCCUGGAAUCUAUCCACCACUAUGUAUUCAACAACAAGAACAUGAUGUGUACUUGUCUAUUCUUAAACACUCCAAGCAUUCCAUUUUUAAGUGUCCUAAAAGGCCACAAAGGAAUCAUUGCCCAUGAGUUUGUUCUCUCAUUAUUUUUCUUGAACUUUCCUUAUUUGGUGUUGUUCUUUUCCUUCUUAGUAGAAGAACCUAAAGAACCUUGACUUCCAUAUGAACACCUUUCGACUCUUUGAGAAUCUUCUUAACCAUACUAAAGGAAUCCGGUAAGAUCUCUAGGAUAACAUGAAUCUUGGUGUUCAUAAUAGUCCUAAGGGCAACUUGUUUAGUUGACUUACUCUUAUUACCAAAUAACCCUUUCAACUUUAAAGAGAAUAUCAUAGACUAUGGAAAUAGACAUAUGUUGUUUUUGCAACACUUUAUCUAAAGACCCAAGUAUGAGAGACUUGGCCUUUUGAUCUGUCUUAUGCCAUAUUUGAUAUGUUUCUCUUACUUCAUGAUAGGUUUGUUCAAUGGAAAUAACAAACUCUACCAAAAUCAGCUUCUAUGCAAUUAAUACUAUACCCAGAUUAUUUAUAGUCUAUCAUUAGGUCCAAUUUAAACAAAAGAUAAUAGGCAACAAGUUAAAAACAUGAUAUCUAUAACAAAUAUAAUAAUUCCAUGCAUUAAUAAAAAGAAAUUGAGCAUUCAAGGAAAAUUGGUAAUUAAUUUAGCAAAAAAGUAGUGUUCUCAAACUACAUAUCCUUUUGAAAGGUAUCCUAGUAUCAUAAGAAUCAAGCCAACUUUAUGUAGGUCACGACUCUUAUUACUAAGGUAGAGUCCCUCUCUAAUUGAUCAACUCUAAUUAAACUUUAAAAGUUAUCCUAAGGCAUUGAUCAACAUACCUUUAUGUUUAGCCCUUAGUCCAUGCAAGUGGGACCACUUUAGGUGAUUUUACCACUUUAGGUGAUUUUACCACUUCAUGUCUAAGUUAAGUAUGUAACCAAGAUCCUUGACAUCAAUGUUACCAAGUGAAGAGUUCCAUCUUUAGGAUUGACUACUCUCACUAUAAACAUAUAUAGUCUUGUCCAUAAAGGAUAGUCUUUAUCCCUUGAUUCCUUGGGUCACCCUAUCUUUAGGAUGGUGAUGCACCCAAAAUCAAGAUGGGCUUGAUCUUGGAGGUUAUGGGCUUGCCUAUGGCCUACUCUUACUUAAUAUUUUGGAAAAGAGGCUUUAAGAUAAUUUUGGUAACUAUCUUAAAAUAAAUUAUCUAUCAUGAGAAUUUCCAAAACUUUUAUUUAUCACUUGAAUUGGGACUCUUGUACCAAAUAGGGAUAUAUUUCAUAUUCCUUAUCCUUGAACUUUCCUUUUCAAACUAAACAAAUUCCUCAUUCUCUCAGAUGAGAAGAGGUUGGAAGACCAAUUUAAUUGUCAUUCUACUUCUCUCUAGGGAGGAAGGCUUGGAAAACCACUUAAGCCAAAUAAAGAAAAGUCCCAAAAGGAAUUUGAAAUUCCAAAUGACAACAACCAAUUCCUUAAAUAAAUAAUAAUGGAAAUAAAACUCAUGAAAAUGUAUUCUUUUAAGAAAAUCCAAAAUUACCAUUUUAAUUUAUUUUAUUUGAAACAACAUCUUGGUAAGCUAUAUUAAUAAUGAAUCAUCUAUCAUAUAUUUUUCUAAAAAUAAUUUAUUUCUUUAAAUUAAAAUCUUGUGCUAAAUAGGAAAGAUUUUAUUUCAUAAAGGCUUGGAAAACUAAAACUUCUUCCUUAUAAUAAAAAAAUUCUUAGAGAUCUAAAAUUUAAAAAAAAUUAUUUUGGAAAAGAAAAUCUCUAAAAGUUUAAUUUUGAAAUGGAAGUAGGUUCCUUAUUACUUUCCAACUUAUCUUUUCCUAAAAUAAAAUUUUCCUAAUCCCUAUCACAUUCCAAUUUAAUAAAUUAUCUAAAACAAGAAAAAAAAUGAAAAUUCAUUUACUUAAGAAUGCCAAAAUAUAUUCUAUGUCAAAAAUAAAAAGGCAUAAAAGAUAUAAAAGGAAAUUAAAUAAAUAAUUUUCAUGGUCUUAUGGAUCUUGCUGCAAAUUUGGAUAAAAUCCAAAUUAUCAAAAUAGUCCUGCAACCAAAGAUAGGGUUAAUGAAAAAAGAAAAACCCAACAAGCCCAAUUGCCACAAAAAAAAAGCCCAAAAAGAGGCCCAAAAAAUUGAGUUCAAACAACCAAAAACAAUUUGGCCCAAACUCAAUCCCGUAAUUGCAUGCCCUUUGAGCAGCCUUGCUUCAAUCAGCCAUAUCUCCCUCGUUUCAACUCUGAAUUGUGAUAUGUUUGAAGCAUUGGAUUCCUGUAUUCCUAAGCUUGAAAACCAUAUAUGGUUUUCCCCAAAGAUCUCAUGGGAGGUAGCCCCGAUUUUGAGUUAAAUUCAGCAUCACUGUGCUGCCAUGGUCUUUGCGCAACCUUACUUCAAUCGAUUAUAACUCCCUUGUUUCAACUCCGAAUUGUGAUCUAUUUGAAACCUUGGAUUCCUGACUUCCUAAGAUUGAAAACCACAUGUGGUUUGACCUAAAAAAACUCAUGGGAAGGUAUCCUGAUUUUAAUCGUAAGAUGACAAAAUUGUGCUGCCAAGGAUCUCAAAUCAAGAAUUUCCAAGAAUCUUUCUUUUCCCUUAAAUCACCAUAGGAACUUAUGAAAGAAACUUCAAGAAGCCUUAUUUUCUCUUUUCCAAAAAAGGGAAUGUGCGCGGAAAUUUUGUGAUGCUUCAGACUGCUUCCAUAAUCUCCAUAUGUUACAAAAAAUGAUAAAAAAAAAAGGAUUUGGAGUUUACAUAUCAUUCUAAGAUAAAAAUGGGAUUUUUACAAAAGAACAAAAAUCCUAUGCCUCUUUUGAGGCUUACAACCCAUCUAGAAAAAGUAAACAACAAUCCCAGUAAUUAUUACAUCCCUAAUAAAAAACAAUCACAAUAAUAAAGAAUCCACAUUAAUUAUCCCUAGUGUCAUGGGAUAAACACAUACCUUACAAAAUAAAGUUAGCACACCCUAUAAUGGUUCUAGCACGAUUACUAACCUAUGGCUCUAAUACUAGUUGAUGGGAAAAACCUGGAUAUUUCCGUUUUCUAAGCUCGAAUCAGGUUAGGAACAUGUAUAACUAUCUUAGGCUUUUUCUAAAUCCUAUGCAUAGUGGAAAAAUAACAUUUUUAAACUUUAAAGAGAUUCAAAAGGCGCUAAAAAAAACCAUACCUCAAAUUUGGAUGUUCCUGAAUCAAAUCCAUAUGGUAAAGAUGAAGAACGAAAUCGCAGAAGUCUUGUAAACCCGAAGUCUUCUGUCCGAUGACUCAAAUCUUGAUCUUGACACACUUCCGGUGGGGAUGGAAGGGAGGGUGAAGGCUACUUUUAGGAUAGAGCCCUUAAAAGCAUGAUAUGAUGUAAUAAAUUUGAAAUUAAUUAUUUAUUUCAUGAUGUUCCAGUUUCACUUUUAUCUAUCCUUAUUCCAUGUAUUAUACUUUAUGAACAUUCUUAUCUGCAUCUUUUGCAUUUUAUGUGACUUAGGUGCAUUAGGAGUUGCAUAGAAGAACUAAGUCAUGGGUUCUUUGCAAAUAAAUGACUUGUUCACAACCGGUUCAUGGGUCUAGACAACCCAUUAGAGGUUGCAGUGCACCACCUCCAAAUUGGAGGGAUGAUUAGUCUUGAAUACUGGGAUAGGUUUUCCAUGGUGAGUGCACUAGUGUGUAUGGUUACACAUUGGAUAGGACCAAUGGUGAGUCAUGACUUAAGGCUAUCAAGUAGUCAUGAUCUCGCCAAGUUGCUUCACUGUGUUGUCUCUCAACCUUGAGAGAAUAUUGAGCUUGUACUAAAGUUAGUAGUGGUUUUGACCUAUGGGUGAGAUCGUAAGCUGAUCAUAUAUUCCCUAUUGAUUGGGUCAUUAUUGAUGGAAGUUGGUAGCAAUAGGUAUUUCCAAUAGAGGCACUAUGAUAUCUCUUGGAAACUAUGGGCAUAGUAGUUCCUUAAUUGGAGCUUAACGUAAGCUCUUUGAGAGCUAAAACAUGUCAGUUGAAUACACAAUAGGAGAAUUUGUAACUUAAGGAUGGUAGAGGUAGUCUUGAAAUGAUGAUAGCUUUCACCUUGUUAGACUAUGGACACCAAUUCAUGAGGAAACUAAACAUUAUGGAUAGCAGGUCACAGACUUGAGCACGUAAUGUUUCAUUGUUAACUUAGGAUACUAGAGUUUAGUUGAUUCUUUAUAGUGGGAUGUUAAAUCAACUUCAGAAUUGGAUUAUGAGGAAGCUAGUAUUCCUAUGAGUCUUAAUGGUUCCCGCUUUGAGCUCCUAUACCUUGUUGGCAUGGAUUAUGAGGGUCGGACUAGCUCUAAGUUCACUUUUGUGCAUAAGGGCAUUUUGGUAAUUAUAUAGGUUGCACAAGGGUAAGUGAACAAGGUCUCUAGAUUGGGCUAAUUGAUUAUUUAGUAGGUCUUGUUGGGUUAAUUAAUCAAUUAGGACCUAUUUGGGCUAGAUUAAGUAACCUAAGCCCAUGUGGGCUUAAGUCACUUAAGCCCACUUAGGAACCAUAUAUAUACCCUUUAGGGGUUAGGGUUUGCAUAGUUUUUGUCUUCCACCAUCCAGAAAGAUAGAGAGUCAUAGCCUUCACCAUUUUUUCCUUCCCAUCGGAAGUGUGUCAAGAUCAAGGUUCGAGUCAUCGGGUGGAAAACUUCAGGUUUAUGAGACUUCUGCUAUUUCUUUCUUCAUCUUCACUACGUGGAUUUGAUUUGGGAACAUCCGAAUCUGAGGUAUGGUUUUCUUAGCAUUUUUUUUAAUCCCUUAGAAUUUUAAAAAUAAAAAUUUUAUGUUGUAUAUAUCCUUUAGAAAAGGCUUAGGAUAGUUAUGCAUGUUCCUAACUUGAUCCGGGCUUGGAAAACAGAGAGAUUUAGGCUUUUCCCAUCAACUAUGGCUUUCUAUCUUUCUGGAUGGUGGAAGACAAAAGCUAAUGAAACCCUAACCCUUGGGAUAUUUAUAAGGUUCCUAAGUUAGCUUAAGUGACUUGAACCUACAUAGGCUUGAGUCACUUAAUCUAGCCUAAAAUGGGUCCUAAUCGAUUAAUUAACCCAAGGAGGUCUACCAAUUAAUCAAUUAGCCAAAUUCAGAGACCUUGUUCAGUUAUCCCUAUGUAAUCUUGCGUAAUUACAAAAAUGCCCUUAUCACAAAAGUGAACUUAAAGUCGAUCCGAUCCUCAUAAUCCAUGCCAACAAGGUAUAUGAGCUCAAAGAGAGGACCACUAGGACCCAUAGGAAUACCGGCUCACUCAGAAUACAAUUAUAAAGUUAAUUCAACAUCCCAUUGUAGAAAAUUAAUUGAGCUCCAAUAUCCUAUGUAAAUAACAAUGAGACAACAAGUACUCGGGUCCGUGACUUGCUAUCCAUUAUGUUCAGUCUCCUUAUGAACUAGUGUUCAUAGUCUGUCAUGGUGAAAGCUAUCAACCUUUCAAGACUACCACUAUCAUCCUUGAGUUAAAAACCUCCUAUUGUGUGUUCAAUUGACAUAUCUUAGCUCUCAAAGAGCCUAUGUCAAGUUCCACUUAAGGAACUACUAUGCUAUAGUUUCCAUGAAUACACCUCCUUAGGAUCACCCAAGGGGACACACUAUCUCAAUCCCAAGAGAUAUCAUGGUCCUUCUAUUGAGAAUACCUAUUGCUACCGACUUCCAUCAAUAGUGAUCCAAUCCAUAAGGAAUAUAUAAUCAGCUUAUGAUCUCACACGUAGGUCAAAGCCACUGCUAACUUCAAUACAAGCUCAAUAUUCUCUCAAGGCUGAGAAACAACAUAAUGAGGUAGCUUGGUGAAGUCAUGACUACUUGAUAGCCUUAAGUCAUAACUCACCAUAGGUUUUAUCUAAUGUACAACCAUACACACUAGUGCACUCACCAUGAGAAACCCAUCCCAAUAGCGAAGACCAACCAUCCCUCUUAUUAGGAAGUGGUGCACUAUAACCUUUAAUGGGUUGCAUAGACUGAUGAAUUGGUUGUGAACAAGUCAUCUAUUUGUAAGGAACACAUGACUUAGAUAUUUUGUGAAACUCCUAAUACAUCUAACUCAAGUACAAUGCAAAAGAAGCAAACAAGAAUGCUCAUAAAGUAUAAUACAUGAAAUAAGGAUAGAUAAAAGUGAAAUUAAAACAUCUUUAAAUAAAUAAUGAAUUCCAAAUUUAUUACAUCAUGUCAUACUUGUAAGGGCUCUAUCCUAACAGUUGUCUCUCAACCUUGAGAGAAUAUUGAGCUUGUGUUGAAGUUAGCAAUGACUUUGACCUACAAGUGAGAUCGUAAGUUGAUCAUAUAUUCCCUAUGGAUUGGGUCAUUGUUGAUGGAAGCUAAUAGUAAUAGGUAUUUUCAAUAGAGACACCAUGAUACCUCUUGGGAUUGAGAUAGUGUCUCCCCCUUUGGGUGAUCAUAAGAAGGUGUGUUCAUGGAAACUAUGGUCAUUGAAGUUUCUUAAGUGGAACUUGAAAGACUGAUAGCUUUCACCUUGUUAGACUAUGAACACUAGUUCAUAGGGAGACUGAACAUAAUGGAUAGUAGGUCAUGGACCCAAGCACUUGGUGUCUUGUUGUUAUUUACAUAGGAUACUGAAGUUUAAUUGAUUCUCUGUAGUGGGAUGUUGAAUCAAAUUUAGAAUUGGAUUAUGAAGGAGCCCGUAUUCCUAUGGGUACCAAUGAUCCUCGCUUUGAGCUCACAUACCUUAUUGGCAUGGGUUAUAAGGAUGGGAUUGACUCUAGGUUCACUUUUGUGAGUAAGGGUGUUUUGGUAAUUACGUAAGGUUGUACAAGGAUAAUUGAAGAAGGUCUUUAGAUUGGGUUAGUUGAUUAAUUAGUAAGCCUUGUUGGGUUAAUUAAUCAAUUAAGACCCCAUUUUGGGCUAGAUUGAGUGAUCCAAGCCCUCAGUGGGCUCAAGUCACUUAAUCCUAGUAGGAAACACUAUAAAUACUCCCUUAAGGGUUAGGGUUCCCUUAGUUUUUUCUAGAGAGUCGUUUUCCAUUUCUAAAGAGAGAGAGAGAGAGAGAGAGUCAUAGCUUCCACCCUUCCUUUCAUCUCCAUUGGAAGUGUGUCAAGAUCAAGGUUCGAGUCAUUGGGUGGAAGACUUUGGGUUUACAAGACUUAUGCGAUUUUGUUCUUCAUCUUCACCAUGUGGAUUUGAUUCGGGAACAUUUGAAUCUAAGAUAUGGUUUUUGUUAUUACUUUAUGAAUCCCUUUAAAGUUUAAAAAUGCUAUUUUUCCAUUGAGCAUAGGAUUUAGAAAAAGCCUAAGAUAGUCAUGCAUGUUCCUAAUCUAAUCUAGGCUUGGGAAAUGGAGAGAUUCAUAUUUUUCCAAUCACACAUAGCAUCGCAUACUUAAGACUAUCCAUUUUAGAGUCAUAGGAUACCGCUUUAAUGUGAUCUUUUUCCUAUGAUGUCCAAGGACAUUGAUCUUGAGAAAGAUAGCCCUAAACCCAAAGGGUAACAAACCCUUCUUGGAGUUUUACAUCAUGUACUUGACCAAAUACUCAUCAAUGUAGGUGACAUGACAUAAUUUUCCUAUUCUUGUAGUCCUAAAGGACCUUAACCCAAGAAUAUAUUAUGUCUUUCUCUAGAUUUUCAUCUAGAAUUGAGUAGGCUAGUAGGUCUUUACUAAUGAAAAUAUCCUUACAUCAUAUCCAUUGAGUAGAGUGUCAUAUACUUGUGCUCUAACCAUGCUUCCCUACACUUUCUUGUACACAUAAGGCCCUUUGCUAUGAAAAUAUUUGGUUGUUAUAUCUUAUAAACGAGACACACUACAAUAGAUAGGAGUAACGUAAUGGAUUUAAAUAUGACAAAUGUUGAAAAGGUUUUCCAUAGUUGAAACAAAGUUUCAAACUAUAACCUUUAGCGACAGUCUUAGCCACAUAAAACUUAAGUUUUCCAUUUACUCCUAUGUUCCUCUUGUAGACCAACUUACACCUAUAGGUUUUAUCCCUUUAGAUGCUUUUAUAGGAACUCAAACUAUGUUAGAAUAUAAAGAUUCUAACUACCUCUUCAUAGCUCCUUGCCUUAAUGUGAGCAAAACACUGUUCAUUGCUUCAUCAUAAUCUAUGAGAUAUAAAACUCCCACUACGAUGAGGCACUAGUAUACUAGAAAUCAUAGAAAAUGUAUGCCUUUAAUCCUUUGGCUCUGUGGUAUCCUAUAUAAUGUGGGACUAUCUUCUAAUAUAUCCUCCAAUCUGUCUCACUUUUUACCUUAUUCCUUAUCAUAUAAUCUUCAUAAAAAAUCUUAUAUUUGUGUUAACAAAUAUCUUCUAAUGAUCUUAACUAUAAAUGUAAUGACCAAAAAAUCUUCUUAUAUAUCCUAUAAAUUGAUAUACCCCUUUAUAAAAAAUAAUAAUUAUACAAUCUAUAAGAAAUAUCUUGAAAAAAAUCUGGGAAAAUAUGAGAAACCUAAUCCAUGAUCUCACUAUUUCCAUUAAAGUUUGAUAUCUUCCUUUCACCUCUCUAUUUUAUAAUAGACACUAGUGCAUGUUUUUGGGAACACUGGAUUACUUUGUUCCCAUGCCUAGGAUCAUGUAGGGUGCAUUCAAAUCUAUCAUAAGCUCUCUAAAUCUAUCGCGAUGAAUAAACAAGUAUUAAAAAAAAUAAGGAUACCAUAGAAAAGAUAGAAAUAUAUAAUAAAACAACAUACCUUUGAUCCGGAUGUUCCCGAAUCAAUUCUAAUCGAUGUAGAUAACUCCAAAGUCAUAAUGAAUCUCAUAAACACCAUGAUUUUCUGCUCAAUGACUCUUCCUUGUGUCUAGGCACUGAGAUGGUAGAUAUCUCAAGUGUGGAGGUUAGGGUUCUCUCUCUAGAUUGAAGAGGAGAAUAGCAAGAAUUAGAAACCCUAACCCUAAAAGGGGUAUUUAUAGGCUUCAUAUUAGGCUGAAGUGACUAAAGCCCACCAUGGGCUUGGGUCACUUAAUCUAGCACAAAAAGGUUGCUAAUUGAUUAAUUAACCAUACAAGACCAUAUUAAUCAAUUAGCCCAGUUAAAGGAUAGCACUCACUUAUCCCUGUGCAACCUUAUAUAAUUACCAAAACACCUUUAUGCAAAAAAGUGAAUGAAAAACCCAUCCAACCCUUAUAAGUCAUGCCAAUAAGGAAUAUGAGCUUAGAGUGGGGACCAUUGAGACCCAUAAGAGCACUAGCUUUCUCAGAAUCAAAUUCUGAAAUUGACUUAACAUCCCACUACAAAGAGUCAACUGCACUCCAAUACACUAUGUAUAUUACAAUGAGACACCAAGUGCUCAGGUCCGUGACUUACUAUCCACUGCAUGCAGACUCCAUAUGAAUUAGUAUCCAUAAUCUAACAAGGUAGUGCUAUUACCUAUCAAGAUUACCUCUCAAAUCCUUGAGUUACACAUCCCACUUGUUAUUGGAUCAAAUAAUAUAUCCUAACUCCAAGAAGCAUAUGUUAAAUUCCACUAAAGAAAUUACUAUGGCCAUAGAUUUCAUGAUCACAUGUCCUUUAGAUCACCCAAGAGGACACACUGUCUCAAUCCCAUGAGAUAUCAUGGUGCCUCUAUUGAGAAUACCUAUUGCCAACAAUCUUCGUCAACAGUGACCCAAUCCAUAAGGAUAUAUGACCACUUUAAGGUCUCACCCAGAGGUUAAAUCCUCCAAUUGAUUUUGGCACAGACUCAAUAUCCUCUAAAGGUUGAGAGUCCAUGCAAUAUAGUAGCUUGGUGAAUCAUGAAAAUUGAUAGUCUUGUGUUAUGAUUCAUCGUAGGUCCUGCCUAGUGUGCAUCACAUACACUAGUACACUCAUCAUGGGAAACUCAUCCUGACAACCAAGACAAUUUAUCUUUCUAAUUAAGAGGUGGUAAACUAUAGUCUCUACUGGAUUGCUCAAAUCUAUGAACCAAUUGUGGACAAUUUAUCUACUUAAAAGAAACCCAUGACUUGUAUCAUUUGUGCAACUCUUAAUACACCUAAGUCAUGUACAAUGUAAGAGACAUGGGUUGAAUGCUCAAAUCAAUGUCAAUACACCAAAGAGAUAACAUGGGGAUAGUUAAGUCUAACUUUGUUACAUCAUGUCUUGAUUUUAGGGGCUCAAUCCCAACUAACUUCCACUAGCCCCGAAAGCAGAUUGGGUACUAUAGAAAGAUUCUGCUUCACAAUCAUAUCACUUCUCUGUACUAUCUCAUAAUAAGGCUACACUUCUUCUUUAUGGGGUUCUUUUUCUAGUGGUAUUUCAGUUCUUUAGACCAUGCAAUUGUCUCACUGUUAUCACUUAAUAAGAUCUUAGACGAUAUAGCCAAGGAAACUACCUAUAAGCCAAAAGGUUUCCUUUGUUGCUAUGGAAACAACAAAAAGCCAUUUAGAGUGUACACAUACCCAGAAGUAGACUUGUGAGAGUCUUUAUCAAAUUGAAGUCCAAUUUUCCGAUACAAAAGGAGUACUAACUCAUUGCAAAGACUUACAAACAUAUAAUCCCUCAUUCUCAAAGACAUUAGAGUAUAUGUUUGACAUCGAACCAAAGUUCUUAGCAGGAAAUGGACUAAUAUCCACUUAUUAUUCCUAUAACAAAGCUGAUAUUUGGUUUAACACAUAAUAUUGCAUACUUAAGGCCAUCUAUAGCAGAGGCCUUAGAUACCGCCUUAAUGCGAUCUCUUUUCAUAAAUGUCUAAGGACAUUGAUCCUAAGAAAAACAACUCCAAAUCCAAAGAGUAACAAACCCUUCUUGGAGUUUUACAUCAUGUAGUUGACCAAAUGCUCAUCUAUGUAGAUGACAUUACAUAAUUUUCCUAUUCUUAUAGUCCUAAAGGACCUUAACCCCAAGAAUAUAGUGUCUUCCUAUAAAUUUCAUCUAGAACUAAGUAGACUACCAGAUAUUGAUUGAUGACAAUAUCCCUACAUCCUAUCCAAUGAGUAGAUUGUCAUCUACCUGCAAGAUCUUAAAGCAUCACCACGCUUCCCUUUGGUUUCUGGUACACACAAGGCCCUUUGCUAUGAAAAUGUUUGGUUGUUAUAUCUCAUAAAUGAGACACACUACAAUAGAUAGGAGUAAUAUGAUGGAUUUGAGUAUGACCACUAUUGAAAAGGUUUUCUUUGGUUGAAACAAAGUUUCAAACUAUAAUCUUUAGCUACAGUCUUAGCAACAUAAACCUUAAGCUUUCCAUCUACUCCUAUGUUCAUAGGUCUUAUCAUUUUAGGUGCUUCUAUAGGAACCCAAACUAUGUUAGAAUACAAAGAUUCUAACUACCUCUUCAUAGCUCCUUGCCUUGAGUGAGCAUAAACAUUGCUUAUUACUUUAUCACAAUCUAUGGGAUAUGAACCUCCCACUAUGAUGAGGCACUAGUGUACUAGAAAUCAUAGGAAUGGUAUGUCUUUAACCCUCUGGAUCCAUAGUAUCCUAUUCAAUAUGAGACAAUCUUCUAAUAUAUCCUUCAAUUUGUAUCACUCUUUGCCAUAUUCCUCAUCAUAUAGUCUCAUAAAAAAUCUAACAUUUAUGUCAACGAAUAUCUUUUGAUGAUCCUAACUAUAAAGGUAAUAACCCAAAAAUCCUCUUAGAUAUCCUAUAAACAGAUAUAUCUUUUAGGAAAAAGAGGUAUUACAUGGUCUAUAAGACAUAUCCCCAAAAGAAUCCGGGAAAAAAAAUGAGAAAUCUAUCCAUGAUCUCACUAUGUCCAACCAAAUUUGAUAUUUCCACCUCUUUGUUUUGCAAUGGAGACCCUGGUGCGCAUGACUAGGAAAUAAUCUCAUGCUUUAAAGGAAAGAAUCAAACUUACUAGACAUAUCACCUUGAUCUAAUCGAAGUGACUUGGUAUGUAUGUCCAAUAGGUUAUCCGAUCCCGCCUUAAAUUUAAUGAAUGUAUCUAAGGCAUCAAAUCUUCUAUGGACAUAUCCAAACCUAGAGUAAUCAUCACUAAAAGUGGUGAAAUACCCAUACCCUCCCCAUGCAUAGACACUAAAAGUUUCAUACAUGUUAGUAUGCACUAACUCCAAACAUUCCUUAGCUUUAAUCCUCUUGGUCAUUUUACCGUCUAUACAGGAUUCGUAAACUAAAAGAUCAUUUCAAAUUAAAGAGUUUAGACAUUACCAAUCUUUGGAUCCUAUUUAGAUUAAUAUGACCUAGGUCUAGAAACCAAAUGUUUAAUUAGUGCUAGGUUUAAUCCUGAGAUUUGACUAUUCUCAUCACUUGGCAAAGUAAUAAUGGAAUACAUAUAAAGGAAGAAGAUAUUACCUCCCACUAACAUGCAUAAAUAACCUUGCAUUUGAAGUUAAGGUAACUAUAAUCCCAUCAUUUAACCUUCUCAUUUGUUGAAUAUCUUAUAAGGACUUACAGAUAGUGGACCUGGAAUCUAUCCACCACAAAUGGUGAAAUCCACCACUAAAUAUUCAACAGUGAGAAAAUGAUGUAUACUUUCCUUUUUCCUUUAGGUAAACUGGCCAUUUCUUUUCUAGUGCCUAAAAGGUCACAAAGGAAUCACUUGCCCUUGACCUUGCUCUCUUAUUCCUUAUCUUGAACUUUCCUUAUUUGGCAUUGUUCUUCUUCUUCUUAAGAAGAACCUGAAGAACCUUUGACUACCAUAUGAACACCCUAUAAUCUUUGAGAAUCCCUUUAGCCAUCUCAAAGGAAAAUGGUGAGGUCUCUAAGAUCAUAUGUAUACUUGGUGUUCAUAAUUGUCCUAAGAGUAGCUUUUCAAGGCUGAUCUAUCCUUAUUACCAAAUAACCAUUGCAAACUAGAAAGAUAAUAUCAAAGUCUCUAAUAGUAGAAAUGUGUUACUAUUGCAACACAUUAUCCAAAGUUCCAAGUAUUAGACGCUUGGUCUUUUGAUCCAUCUAAUACCGCUUUGAUAUUCCACUCUUUUCUCUUGCUAGGCUAGUUCAUAAGGAAUAGCUAGCUCUACCUAAACUAGCUUCUAUGCAAUUACUUACUAUAUCUAGAAUACAAUUAGUCCAAUUGAUUAGUUAGGUUUGGCCUAUUAUGAGAAAAAGAGUGAUAAUAAAACCAACAUGAUAUCCAUAACAAAGAAUAUGACCAAGCAUAUGACAUAAUUGAGCAUUCAAGGCAUUUGGUAAUUAAUUUAGCAAAAAUGUAGUGCUCCCAAACUAUAUAUCCUUUUGCAAGGUAUCCUAGUAUUAUAAGAAUCAAGCCUAGGUGGGAUAGGUCAUGACCUUAUUACUAGUAAGAGACCCUCUCAAAUUGAUCUCCCCACCUUAUCCAUAAAAGUAUCUUAAGGCAAGAUUAACAUAGCUUUUAUUUAGCCUAUAGACUAUGCAAGUGGGACCACAUGGGGCAAUUCUACCACUUCAUAUCCAAUGUCAAGUGUAUAACCAUUGUCCUUGAAUUAUCAAUGUCACCAAGUAAAGAACUCCACCUAGGGGUGGUCGCUCCCACUACAAACAUAUCUAGUCUCGUCCAUGUAGAGAGUCCAUAUCUCUUGAUUCUUAAGGCUAACCCACCGUAAGGGUGGUGAUGAACCCAAAUCAAGAUGGGCUCAACAAUGGAUGUCUUGGGCAUGCCUAAGGCCUUCUCCCACUUAAUGUUUUGAGAUAAAUAAGAGCAUUUUAAAACCAUUAGUAAUUUCCCUGAUGAAUAAAUUAUCUACUUUGAAAAUUUUCAAAAAUAUUUAUUUACUAAUUGGAAGCCUAGUAUAAUAGGAGAAGACCAACAUGAAAAAUUUUAAAUUUCCAUGACAGUAAUUUUCAAAAAGAUUUUUUAUAAAAUAUCCACUUUCAAAAUUUUAAAAUCUAUUUUCAUUACAUUAUCCUUCUAUAUAUAAUUCCAAUUAAUAAAUAUUUUAUCUAGGAAAUGUUUCAAAUAAAUUUAUUUCCAUCAAAUUACUAAGCCUUUUGCUAAUAAUCUUUUAAUGAUAAAUUAUCUCUAAUGAAAAAUUUCAAAAUAUUUAUUUUCCAAAUUGGAAACUCUUGUGUAAUAAGAAAAUUACUAAUUCAUGAUAUUUUGAAUAAUCUUGAGAGCAACUUAUCCAAGAAAGGAACUUUUGCUUCUCAUAUUCAAAAAUCCUCAUAAGAUUUACUUUCCUUAUUCCUUACACUUUUCCAAAUUAAUAAAUAUUUCCAUGAAAAUUUCAUAAUAAUUUAUGUCAUUAAUUACUACCAAAAGUAGGACCUUUUAAUAAUUUCUUAAUAGAUAAAAUAUUCUCCAUGAAAAACUCCUAAAAAUGCUUAUCUCUAAAAAGGAAUUAAACAGUCCAUUGUGGAAAGUAUUUUUAAAAUAUUUUAUAUCUUCAUUAAAUUACUAAAACUUUCCAAAGUUAUUUUGGUAACCCUUCUUAUCAUGAAAUCUUUAUCAUGGGAUUUUCAAAACCUUAAUUACUUCUAAACCAAGAUUCCUGUGCUAAAAGAAUUGCUUUCUUAUUCCUUAUCAUUGAAUUAUCCAAACAGAAUGGUUUCCUCCCUCUCUUUGAGGAAGAGAGCCUAGAGGACAAACUGUAGGUAUAGUUUAAAAAAUAGAUAGUUCUAAAGAAAUAACAAUCUUCAUAGCAACAACAAAUUUAAAAAGAUAAUCUUAGAAAAUAUCUUCUCAUGAAAAUUUACUAAGAAUACCAAAAAACUUUUCUUUAGGUUCUAAAACUUAUUUUGGUAACCACUCUUAAUUAUAAGUUAUCUAUCAUGAAUUUUCAAAAUUAACUUUUUUUCUUUCAAUUAGAAAUCCUAUGCAAAAUAGGAAAAAUACUAUUUUACAAAGAUUUGGAAAAAUAAGAGCUUUUCCUUAAGAGAAAGAUUUUAUUCUUAGAGAUCUCAAAGAUUUGAGAAGAUUUUAAGUAAAGUUCAAAUCUCAAAGAAUUAAAUUUAAAAGGGAAGAAAGCUCUUAAUCCUUUGCCAACUUAUCUUUUUCUUUAAAAUAUAAUUUCCUAACUAUACACAUUCCAAUUUAAAUAAGUUUUCCAAUUUGAAAAAAACACGAAAAUUUAUUUUCAAUUAAGAAUACCAAAAUAUCUUGAGGCCACAUAUACAAUCUAUCAAUAUAUAUAUAUACAUAUAUAUAUAAGGGAAUAACUAAAUAGAAAAAUUCUCAUGGCCUUUAAGGAUCCAAUUGCAUAUUUGGUAAUUAAAAUUUGGAUAAAAUCCAAAUUACCAAAAAUAGUCCUACAACCAAAAAUAGGGUUAGUAAAAAUAGAAAACUCAAAUGGCCUUAUUGCCACAAAAAUUGAGCCCAAGAAGAGGCCCAAAAUUCAGCCCAAACAACGAAAAGAAUCGGGCCUGUAUGCAAUCUCGUAACAGCAUGCUCUUUGAGCAGUAUUGCUUCAAUUGGUCAUAUCUUCCUCAUUUAAACUCCAAAUUAUGAUUCGGUUAAAGUAUUGGAUUCCUAACCUCCUAAGCUUCAAAACCAUAUGUGAUAUGCCUCAACAAACUUACUGGAAAUGGCUGUGAUUUUGACUCAAAUUUGACAUCACUAUGCUGCCAUUCACUUUGCACAACCUUGCUUCUUUUAACCAUUUCUCCCUCAUUUCAACUCCGAAUUGCAAUCUACUUGAUCCAUUGGAUUCAUGACUUCCCAAGCUUCAAAUCCAUAUAUGGAUUGCCUCAAGAAACUUUUAUAAUGUAGUCCCAAUUUUGAGUUCAAUUCAACAUCAUUGUGUUGCCAUGGAUCUCAAACCAAGAACUUCCAAGAUUGCUUCUUUCUUCUUUAACCACCAUAGAAUCACAAAAAGAACUUUCAAGAUUCCUUCUACAAUAGAAGGAUGCAAAAAAUUGAAAUUUUUACACCAAUAAAAAUUCCUAUGCUCCUUUAAUGGAGCUUAUAGCCCAUCAAUUGAAAAGAAAAUAUUUUUACAUUCAAAUAAAAAUCCUAUACCCCUUUUGUGGUGUACAACCCAAUCUAGAAAACAAAAGGUAAAGAAGAUAUCCAUUCAUAUUCAUUGAUUCAAAUGAAUCAAUAACAAUAAACCAAUCCAAAUAUAUUAAUACAUUAAAAUGAUUCUCCAUUCAUUCAUCCAUUAGGGUCAUGGGAUGAAUAAAACAACCCUGCAAAAUAGAGUUAGCACAUCCUAAACAGAUCUAACAAGAUAGAACCUACCCUAGGGCUCUGAUACCAAUUGUUGGAAACCCUAGAUUACUUUGUUCCCAUGCCUUGGAUCGUGUAGGGUGCAUACAAAUCUAUCCUAAACUCUUUAAAUCUAUCACAACAGAUAAAUAGGUAUUAAAAAAAAUAAGGAUACCAUAGAAAACAUAGAAAUAGAAAAUAAAGCCACGUAGCUUUGAUCUAGAUGUUCCCAAAUCAAUUCUAAUCAAUGUAGUUAACUCCAAAGUCAUAAUGGAUCUCGUAAACACCAUGAUCUUCCACCCGAUGACUUUUCCUUAUGUCCAGGCACUAAGAUAGUGGAGAUCUCAAGGAUGGAGGCUAAGGUUCUCUUUCCAUACUAAAGGAGAGGAUAGUAAGACUUAGAAACCCUAACCCCAAAAGGGGUAUUUAUAGGUUACCUGUUAGGCUUAAGUGACUUAAGCCCAUCAUGGGCUUGGGUCACUUAAUCUAGCACAAAAAGGUUGCUAAUUGAUUAAUUAACCAUAUAAGGCCUAAUUAAUUAAUUAGCCCAGUCAAGAGAUAUUACUCAUCCAUGUACAACCUUACAUAAUUACCAAAAUGCCCUUAUACACAAAAGUGAACGAAAAACCCAUCCAACCCUCAUAAGCCAUGCCAACAAGGAAUAUAAGCUUAGAACGAGGACACUAGGACCCAUAAGAGUACUGGCCACUCAGAAUUAAAUUAUGAAAUUGACUUAACAUCCCACUACAAAGAGUUAACUACACUCCAGUACCCUAUGUAUAUUACAAUGAGACACUAAGUGCUCAAGUCUGUGACCUACUAUCCACUGCAUGUAGACUUCCCAUGAAUUGGUGUUUGUAAUCUAACAAGGUAGUGUUAUCACCUAUCAAGAUUAUCUCCCAAAUCCUUGAGUUACAGAUCCCACUUACUAUAUGAUCAAAUGACAUAUCCUAGCUCUAAUAAACAUAUGUCAAAUUUCACUAAAAGAAUUACUAUGGCCACAGAUUUCAUGAUCACAUGUUCUUUGGAUUACCCAAAGGGAUACACUAUCUCAAUCCCAUAAGGUAUCAUGGUGUCUCUAUUAAGAAUGCCUGUUGCCACCAACCUCCAUCAACAGUGACCUAAUCCAUAGGGAUAUAUGACCAUUUUAGGGUCUCACCCAUAGGUUAAAGCCUCUAGUUGAUUUUGGCACAUGCUUAAUAUCCUCUCAAGGUUGAGAGUCCAUGUAGUAUAGUAGCUUGGUGAAUCAUGACAAUGGAUAACCUUGCAUCAUGAUUCGUCAUAGGUCCUAUCCAGUGUGCAUCACAUACACUAUUACACUCACCAUAGGUAACCCAUCCCGAUGACGAAGACAAGUCAUCCCUCCAAUUAAGAGGUGGUGCACUACUGUCUUUACUGGAUUGCCCAAAUCCAUGAACCAAAUAUAGACAACUUAUCUACUUACAAGGAACCCAUGACUUAUAUCUUCCAUGCAACUCCUAAUGCACCCAAGCCAUGUACCAUGCAAGAGAUAUAGAUUGAAUGCUCAAAUCAAUGUUAAUACACCAAAGAGAUAGCAAGGGGAUAGUUAAGUCUAACUUUGUUACAUCAUGUCUUGCUUUUAGGGGCUCAAUCCCAACAUACAUAAUUGGGAAAUAAUUCCAUGCUCUAAUAGAAAGAAUCAAACUUAAUAGACAUAUCACCUUAAUCUAAUCGAAGUGACUUGGCAUGUAUACUCAAUAGGUUAUCCGAUCAUGCCUUAAAUUCAAUGAAUGUAUCCAAAACAUCAAAUUUCCUAUGUACAUAUCCAAACCUAGAGUAAUCAUCACUAAAAGUGAUGAAAUACCCAUACUCUUCCCAUGCAUGGACAUUAAAAGUCUCAUACAUGUUAGUAUACACUAACUCCAAACAUCCCUUGACUUUAUUCCUUUUAGUCAUUUUACCAUCUAUACAGAAUUUGUAGGCUGGAUGGUUUUUUGGAAUCAAAUAGUUCAAACUUUAUCAGUCUUUAGAUCUUAUUUAGAUUAAUAUGACCUAAGUCUAGAUACCAAAUGUUUAAUUAGUGCUAGGUUCAAUCCUGAGAUCUGACUAUCUUCCUCACUUGACAAAGUGAUAAUGGAAUACAUAUAAAAGAAGAGGAUAUUACCUCCCACUCACCUGCAUAACUAACCUUACAUUUGAAGCUAAGAUAAGUAUAAUCCCAUCACUUAACCUUCUCACUUAUUGAAUAUCCUAUAAGGACUUACAAACAGUGGGCCUAGAAUUUAUUCACCAUAAAUGGUGAAAUCUACCACAAAUGGUGAAAUUCACCACUAAAUAUUCAACAACGAGAAAAUGAUGUAUACUUUCCUUUAGGUAACUGAGCAUUCAUUUUCUAAUGUCCUAAAAGGUCAUAAUGGAAUCACUUUCUUAUGAGCUUGUUAUCUUAUUCCUUCUCUUAAACUUUCCUUAUUUGGUGUUGUUGUUCUUCUUCUUGAUAGAAGAACCUGAAGAACUUUUGACUUCCAUAUGAACACCUUAUAAUCUUUGAGAAUCCCCUUAGCCAUCUCGAAGAAAAAUGGCAAAGUCUCUAAGAUAAUAUGAAUACUGGUGUUUAUAACAGUCCUAAGAGUAGUUUUUCAAAGCUAACUUACCCUUAUCACCAAAUAACCAUUGCAAACUAGAAAGAGAAUAUCAAAGUCUCUAGUAAUAGACAUGUGUUGCUAUUGCAACACAUUAUCCAAAGAUCCAAGUAUUAAACACUUGGUCAUCUGAUCCAUCUAAUACCACCUCGACAUACCACUCUUUCUUUUUCCCAAGUUAGUUCAUAAGGAAUAACCUGUUUUUCCUAAACUAUCUUCUAUGCAAUUAAUUACUAUAUCCAGAAUAAAAUCAAGUCCAAAUGAUUAGUUAGGCUUGGUCCAAAGUGAGAAAGAGAGUGAUUAUAAAUAACAUGAUAUUUGUAACAAAGAAUAUAACCAAACAUAUGACAUAAUUGAGCAUUCAAGACAAUUGGUACUUAAUUUAACAAAAAUGUAGCGCUCUGAAACUACAUGCCAUUUUGCAAGAUAUCCUAGUAUCAUAAGAAUCAAGCUUAUGUGGGUAGGUCAUAUAACUAGUUAGAGACCCUCUCAGAUUGAUCUCCUUGCCUUAACCAUAAAGGUAUCUAAAAGCAAGAUCAACAUACCUUUUAUUUGGCCCAAGACUAUGCAAAUGGGACCGCGUGGGGGAAAUUCUACCACUUCAUAUCCAAUGUCAAUUGUUUAACCAUUGUCCUUGAACUAUCAAUGUCAUCAAGUAAAGAAACUCACUAUAGAGUGGUCACUUUUAGUACAAACAUAUUUAGUCUUAUUCAUGUGGAGAAUCCAUAUCUCCUGAUUCUUAAGCCUAACCUACUGUGGGGUGUUAAUGAACCCAAAUCAAGAUGGGCUUGACAAUGGAGGUCGUGGGCAUGUCUAAGGCCCUCUCCCACUAAGUCUUUUUAGAUAAAUAAAUGCAUUUUAAAACAUUAGUAAUUACCUUAGUGAAUAAAUUAUCUUCUUUGAGAAUUUCCAAAAAUAUUUAUUUCCUAAUUGGAAACCUAGUGUUAUAGAAGAAUGUCCAUACGCAAAAUCUAAAAUUUCUAUGAGAGUAUUUUAUCCAAAAAGGAAUUUUGAUAAAAUGUUUACUCUCAAAUUUUAAAAUCUAUUUGCAUAAAAAAUUCUCUUUCUUCACAUAAUUUCAAUUAAUAAAUAUUUUGUUUAAGAAAUAUUUUCAAAGAAAUUUAUUUCCAUCAAAUUACUAAAUAUCUUCUUUGUUAUAACCUUUAAUGAUAAAUUAUUUCUAAUGAAAAUUUCCAUAAGAUAUUUAUUAUCGAAAUUGAAAACUUAGCGUAAUAAGUAAACCUCUAAUUUAUAAAAUUUUGAAAACUUGAAAGCACCUUAUCCAAUUAGGAAAGAUGUAAUUCUUCAAGGAUUCUCAUAAUUUUUUUUAAAAAUAUUUUAAAUCCUUAAGAAUAAAUUUAGAAAUGAACUUUAGCUCUCAUACUCAAGAUUCCUUAUAAAUUUAAUUUCCUUAUUCCUACAUCUUUCCAAUUUAAUAAAUAUUCUUAAAUAUGAAAUCUAAUUUUCAUAAUAAUCUAUUCCAUUAAAAUUACUAAAAAUAAAACUUUUAAUAAUUCCCUUAAUGAUGAAUUAUCCAUCUUGAAAAUUUCCAAAAACAAAUAUUUACUCUCCAAAUUAAGGAUUAGUGUAAUAAGAAAGUUUCCAAAAACUUGAAAAAUAAAAACUAGAGAGCUCUUUAUCCAAAAGGGAAACUUUUAUUCUACAAGAAUUCUUACAAAAAAAUUUAAAGAAAAUAAUUUAGAAUCCUUUGAAAUAAUCUAGAAAAAGAAACUUUGCUCUCUAAUUUAUUUCCACAAUUUUUUUUUCUUAAUCUACACUAUUCCAAAAUUAAGUAAACAACAUGCUUUGGAAUCUAAUUUUCAAGAAAAUUUAUAUCCAUUAAGAUUACUAAGAGUUUCAUAGAACUUUCAUAAGAAGCUUUCAAUAAUUUUGGUGACCUUCUUAAAAUAAAUUAUCUAUCAUGAGAAUUUUCAAAAGCUUUGUUUAUUCACUAAAUUGGAAUACUUGCGCUUAUAAGGAAUAUCCAAUUUUAUAAAAAUUUUAAAAUAAAAGAGUAUUCCCUUAAUAUAGAAACUCAAGUCCUUGAAGAUCUCAAAAUUAGAAACUUUGAAAAAGAGAUCUUCUAAGUACUUUUUGAAAAGGAAACUAGAUUCUCUCACAAAUUUUAAAAUAUCUUUCCAUAUAAAAAUUCCUUAAUAGUGACAUCAUUCUAAUUUUGAAUAAAACUUUAAUUUGUAAAUAGCUUUCUCAUAAAAACUUAUUUUCCAUAAGAAAAUCCAAAAUUAGUAACUUUCAAAGCACUUCUCAUCACAUGAAAUAUAACAAUAUGCAUAAAAAAAAAGAAAAAAAAAAGAAAUAUUCAAAAAGAGAUCCCAUGGCCAAGGGAUAUUUUUUACAACUUUCCAAUUGUGAACCAAAGCCAUUUGUCUUCAACUUGACACCAAUAUUUGGCAUCAAAACUUGCCAAAAGAAGCUCUUGCAUAGCUGCCACAAUUCAGUAACUUUCAAGCCCAACAAGUGGCCUAAGAAAUGAGUCCAAACAAGCAAAAAGAAUCAGACUCGUAUGCAAUCCCGUAAUAGAAUAACCUCUUUGCAACUUUGCGUCAAAUGACUAUAUCUCCCUCUUUUCAACAAUGAAUCACAAGUCGUUUACACCAUUGGAUUCCUGACUUCAUAACCUUCAAAACCAUAUGCAACUUGCCUAAAGAAAAUCAUAAGAGGCAGCCCCGAUUUGGAGUCAAAUUGAAUGUUGCUAUGCAAUCAUGGAUCUCACAAAAACAAAACUUUUUUAUUAUUAUUAUUCAAUCAAAAGAAGGAUUCAACCUUUCUUCCACAUCCAUUAAAAUCCUUGAAUCUUCAUAAAUGAUGCUUUAAUAAAGAUCCAAUCUUUAUUGACAUCAUUAAGGAAUUCUUCUCUUGUAGCUCUCCAUAGAUAAAAAAAAACAUGACUUUAUAUCAUAAAAGAAAUCAUAUGCUCAUAUAAUGGAGCUAAUAACCCAAUUUAUAGAAAAGAUUAAAACUUUACAAGAGAAGAAGAAAACUUAUGCUCCUUUAAUGGAACUUACAACCAAAUCUAUGAAGAAACGAAGAAAACAAAUUAUCCCAUUCAAUCAUCACAAGCAAUAAUAAAAAGAAACAUACAUGCUUCUCUUGUCCAUGGGAUAACAUCAAGGUUGCAAAAAAGAUAUUAGCACGCCCUAAAUAGAGAUCUAAGCAUGUUUAUAACAUUAUGCUCUAAUACCAAUUGUUAGUAUCUUAGAUCUAAGCAAUACUAAUUUUUAUAAAAUUGAUCUUUUAGGGUUAAAGUAGUAACCUUUAGGUUUGGAUGUUCCCAAACCUUAAAUUCCACUUAUUGAAGACAACCUUGAAGUUGUUGAAAGUCUUAUAAACUCACAACUCAUUCUAUACUUGAUCAAAGAGGUAGACUUCUUAAGUUGAACUCAUAAAGUUGACUUUGAUUACUUUCAAAGGAUUUGUUGUCAUGCUCAAACCUUAUUAUCCACAUACCUUGUUUGACUAUGAUUAUUAUUUGUUUCCCGGGGUGAGUCAGUACAAAAUAUUGAAUCUUUGGUUAAGCAAAACUCUUUUACUUUUAUCCAAGAUUUAUGCUCUUAAAUGUAUACUGCUCACUUGUAACAUUUGAAAACACCACCAAAGUGGACACAAAGGCAACCAUGAAUGAAAAAAAAUAAAAAAUCAAUUGACCAUGGUGUACAAUGCCUUUACUUUCAAAAAGAAAAAGAAAAAGAAAAGAAUAGGAGGAUGAUAUCAUACUAAGGGGGAGUCAAGUUAUGUUGUAUGUAGAUCAACGAGGCCGUGUUAAAUAUAAAUCUGGUGAUCUUAGUUCAAAUUGACUGGAUGUGUUCUUUAAUUUGACUAAAGGCAUGAGUAGAUCUCUUCUAAGUAAUUAAUUUUGAAAUAUUGAACUAGACUAUAAGUCAUAUUUCCUUGAAAAUCAAUAUCAAUGUUGACUCUCUUAUACAUUUAUAGUUAUGCAUUAGGUUUUCAAAUAUGAAAUUAUGAUUAACUCUGAUCAUUGAUCUUGAAAUUUCAUUCUUGAUGGAUCAACAUAUACUAUAUGAAGUAACAUACUUCAUCUAUUCCUAAUUCAGCUAAUGUUGAAGGUUUAUGACCUUAACUAUCUACUCUUUAUCGUUAAAAUUUGUUUCAAUUGGUAUCAAUCCUUGUUUAUAUGUUAGUUAGUUGAGUAUUCUAUCCAUUGUUAGAACUUUUUUUGGCUUUGGUUGCUCAAGCACUAUAUUUAGCGUCCUUCAUGCUCAAGCACUCAAGCCUCAUCAAACGUCUCUACUACUCAAGCGCUCUAAGUUGCAUCUAGUGGCGCAUCCAUCGAGCGUCUUGUUCGAGUGUUAAUCUGUAUCGGUAUGUCUGAGUAUAAAAAUCCAUUCAACAUGUCUUUUUUCUUUUCAAACAUUUUCCUAUUCUCUCAAGAGCUCUGGGACUUUUUUUAUUUUUAUUUUUUUUAUUUUUAUCAUUUGAGGUCAAGUUUCCUUGUUUUUCACAUUUUUGACUUCAUGGUAUUGCUCUACACAUUGUUUAGGGCAUUUCUAGCUGUUUAGAUUUUUUCUGAAAUCUUCUUGGUUUUCGAAUCCUUUGGUAUUCUCUUGGAUAUGGCUAAGAUGACCCCAUCUGGGACACCUAAACCCCUUAAAGGAUUUUCACUUCAAUUUUCUUUCGACUUUAUGGCUCUACCAAUGAAUUUUUACUUUAUCAAAAGCCCCUAGUUCAAUAUUAUUUUUUUAUCCAUUGCUGUCACAUUGUGUUUGUGGGUUCAUUUCCUCAUUUGACCCUAGAACCUCAUAGAAUCAUAUUAUAUAGAGAUGGUGUCAAUGAAGUUCAACUCAUUCCAGUUUUGAUGCAUAAGAUGAAUUCAAUAAGAAAGGCUUGUGCAUCACUAGAGGAUGAGUGUUACUAACUCUUCCCAUACAUAUACUUUAGUAUCGCCUUAUCCUUAGUAUUUCCCAUCUUCACAUGCAAUUUUUUUUUUUUGUUGAUCUUAUAAUGGCUAUAUGCGUCAAGUUUUGCUCUGCCGCCACUGAACCUUUAGUGAAUUUGUUUUUUUUUUUUAUCUAGAUGUUUAUUCAUUACUUAUCUUAUGUAUCAAGAAUCAUAUUUUUAAUAUACAUAUUUUGUUCAUCUUUCUUCUUAUCUCUUAUGUGCUUUGGUAGUUAUAUUUCUAAUACUUUGUCAUUUUGUGACAAAAAAAAAAAAGAUAAUUGCAUAUUUAAUAUUUAACUCUGUUAAAUUAAGAUAAAAGGGAGAUAACAUUGAAUAUUUAGUUCACCUAAAAUGAGGAGUUAAAAAAUGGUGAAAAUAAAAAACUCCUUGAUUUAAGGGAAGUUAGUUUUUGAAUUCUUUGAUUCAUUAAUUUAGGUAAUUUAAUUGAAAUAUUGGAGGAAACUAAACAUAAGACACUGAAGUAAAUCAAAUCAGCCAUAGGAAAUAUGACUUUACGAUUCAAGAGAGAUACCUAACACGGAUGUUUCCUGCAAAUUACUUUUGUUAGAAUUGUCGAUCUCUCUCUAGAACUAAUCCUAGUUGUAGAAGCUUUUUCCCAAGGCUUUCACUACUUACCUUAUUGCUGGAGAAUGCCCCCUGCUCUUUACUAAUAAAUUAUUGGGUCUCAUCUAUCUUCGAAUAUGUUUGGUUGAUUUGCAUACAUUCAAAUUCCUCUCGACCUUUUCUUUGUACCUUGGUGUCAUUAAAGGACUCUGUUUUUUUUCAUGCUUUCAUAAGACAUCAAUCAAAGUCUCCAACUAUCCUGUUUUGUUUUCAUAAUAUUAUUUUAUCCCUCACACUACUUUGCCUUUGGUAUAAUUUCUUGUAUGUGUUCAGGUUACAAGGUUGGAAGAUAAGUACUUCAAAGCAUUACAAAGUUUUCCCUUAAUUCAAUUUUAGUUGAGUGUUAAUGUGUGUUAUGUAAACUCCAUUAUGAGGAUUGGUAUUGAAAGGCUUAUGGCAUUGCAAAGUACUUCAUAGGUACAUCUAAAAAAGUUUGGCUUAUGGCAUUAAAAGACUUAUUUGAGGUAUAAAAGGAUCGGUAUCAUUUUUUAACUUAAAAUGUUUUUCAAAAAGCAGGGACCACUCAAGCAAUUAAUCUCGCUCAAGCAGUAAGAGAGCUCAAAUGGUUAAUCUGCUCAGGCAGUCAGCCCAUUCAAGCAGAGAGCUCUCAAGCAGUCUAAGUUUGCUCAGGCGGUCAUGACAAUCCUAUCGAGUUUAAAAAUGUAUUUUCAAUGAAUUUCAACCCAACUAUAAUUUGGAAACUUAAGAUAUUGAUAUCCUUAUGGCUUUUGCCUAUAAUUUUUUAAAUCACCCAUUCACUCCUCUCAUCUCCCCCCUUCUAGGUGUUCCCUAUUGGACUUUCAGUUAUUCCAUUUUUUUUUAUAAUUGUAAGAUUUACUUAUGUGAUAAAAAUUGAGAAAAUAAAAAAUCGAUAAAAUCUAAGGAAAACCAAGGAAAGUGCAUGUCAAAGGAAAAUGACAACAACAAGUAUUUAAAAAACAGAAUUUUAUCAACCUAGGAUGUCUAAGUGGGAAUGUGCAAAAGUAGAAAAUUAAUUCAUGUGANNNNNNNNNNNNNNNNNNNNNNNNNNNNNNNNNNNNNNNNNNNNNNNNNNNNNNNNNNNNNNNNNNNNNNNNNNNNNNNNNNNNNNNNNNNNNNNNNNNNGAAAAACAUUGAAAAUCAUUUUAAAAUCAUGGAAAUCACAAAGAGAACAUAAGUUAUGCAACCAGAGAGGAAGACAACAUCUAUGUUGAAGAAAGAGUGUGCAUUAAGGAGAAAACUGUGCAUUAAGGAUGAAGACACAUGCAAAAGUAAACUAUGCGCUAAAAGAGUACACAGGAGGAAUUGUGCAUCGAGGGAAGCGCCAAGUGUGCAUUAGAAAAUAAAAGAGGAGCACCCGCAAAAAGAUAGUGCACUAAAGUAGCUUGCAUGCUUGGGAAUCACAUGCCUAAGAAGCACUACUAUGCGGAUGAAAGUGCGUGUGAAAAUUAUGCACUGAAGAGCUACACUAAUGUGCGCAAUAAUGCACUAAAGAAAGUUAGACUAUGCAUUGAAAAGUGCACACUAUAGGACACCAGUGUGUGCACUAGAUUAUGCAUUAGAUGAAAAAGUGUACAUAAUUGCUUGUGUACUGAAGAACAAGUUGUGCACUAAAGGACUUGCACAUAUGAAAUGUGCACCUAAAUGAAGGCUAAAGAGCACAUAAAGAUUGUGCAUUAAAGAGGAGCUAUUGUGUCAUGGGAAAAUCCUAAACCUCUAUGGUCCCCAAGCCUGAAUCAAGUUAGGAACAUGUGAAAAUAUCUUAGGCUUUUCUAAAUACUAUGCACAACAAAAAAAAAAAUUACAUUUUAAAACUUUAAAAGGAUUCAAAAAGUGCUAACAAAAGACAUACUUUAGAUUCAAAUGUUCCCAAAUCAAAUCCAUGUGAUGAAAAAUGAAGUUGUAGAAGUCCCAUAAACCUAGAGUCUUCCACUCGAAGACUCGAACUUUGAUUUUGACACACUUAUGAUAGUAAUCAAUUAGGGUGGAGGCUAUAGCUCUCUCUCUAAAGGAGAAAGAUGACUCUUUAGAAAAAGCUAUGAAAACUCUAACCCCUAAAGGGGUAUUUAUGGGGUUCCCCAUUGGGUUAAUUAACUUAAGCCCACUAAGGGCUUGGGUCACUUAAAUUAGCACAAAAUAGGUCCUAAUUGAUUAAUUAACCUAACAUAACCUACUAAGUAAUCAAUUAGAUAUGUAAUCUUGCACAAUUACCAAAGUGCCCUUUUGCAAAAAAGUGAACCUAGAGCUAAUCUAACCCUCUUAACUCAUGCCAACAAGGUAUAUUAGCUCAGAGUGGGGACCAUUAUGACCCAUAGGACUACUGGCUCCAUUAAAAUCCAAUGCUGAAGUUGAUUCAAUAUCCUACUAUAGCGAAUCAACUAAACUCUAGUAUCUCAUGUAAAUAACAAUGAGUUGGGUCUGUGAUUUGUCAUUAAUUAUGUUCAAUUUCCUAAUGAACUAGUGUUCGUAGUCUAACAAGGUGAAAACUAUCAGCCUUUUAAGACUGCCCUACUAUCCUUAAGUUGCAAUCCUUCUAUUAUGUGUACAACUGACAUGUCUUAGCUUUCUAAGAACUUAUGUCAAGUUCUACUUAAGGAACUACUAUGGUCAUAGUUUCCAUGAACACGUGUUCUUAGAAUGAUCCAAGGGGACACACUAUCUCAAUACCAAGAGAUAUCAUGGUACCUUUAUUAAGAAUACCUAUUACUACCAACUUUCAUUAAUAGUGACCCAAACCAUAGGGAACAUAUGAUCAGCUUAUGAUCUCACCCAUUAAUCAAAAGUCAUUGCUAACUUCAACAUAAGUUCAAUAUUCUCUCAAGGUUAAGAGAUAACAUAAUGAAGCAGUCUAGUGGGGUGAUGACUACUUGAUAGAAUUAAGUCAUAACUUACCAUAGAUCCUAUCCAGUGUGUAACCGUACAUACUAGUGCUCUCACCAUGGGAAACCCAUUCGAUAACUAAGACUAGUCAUCCCUCCAAUUAGGAGGUGGUGCACUACAACCUCCAAUAGGUUGCCUAAACCCACAAACCAACACGAACUAAUCAUUUAUUUACAAGGAACCCAUGACUUAAAUCUUUUAUACAACUCCUAAUAUACCUAAGUCACAUAUAAUGCAAAAGAUGAAACCAAAGUGCUUACAAAGUAUAAUGCAUGGAAGUAAGAUAGAUAAAAGUGUAAUGUAACUUUAUUAAAUAAAUAAUAAAAUCCAAAAGUCUAUUACAUCAUGUCAUGCUUUUAAGGGUUCUAUCAUAACAGCAUGCACAUAAGAACUAUGCAUUGAGAAGAGAAGGUCUAGGUACUAGGUAGCAUGUGGAGGGAAAUGUGCACUAAGAAUAAGAAUGGCAUACCAAGAAGCAUGCACACGUAAGAUAAAAUCACACUAAGAGGACAUAGAAUGUGUGCAAAUAUAUGAAAUAUGCACUUAAAGAACUGCCAAUGCUUAUAUGCAAAGACAUUGUGGACCGAAAAUCGCAUACUAAAGAAAAGUGUGCUCACAUAAGAGAAAAAGAGAGACAUGCAUGCAAGUGUACAAAUUGGAAAACAAUUCAAGAUGUACAUACUGAGAUAAGGAUGCUCAAAAUACAACCUAAAUAAAGAGAUGCACACGUGUAAUGCACACCAAGAAGUUAUGUGCAUGAGAAAGACACACAAAUAUUUCAUCUAAAGAGGAAAAUUGUGCACUAUUCAAUGCACCAAAACAAGACAUGAAGUGGGCAUAAAACAAUACGCAAAACAAAGCAAGACACCAAGUGCAAGCCUACUACUCAAGACAAAGAACAAAGUAUGCAAACCAAAAAUGCAAAAUAAGAGGAUGCACUAAUAGGGCAAAUGACUUGUGCAAUUUGACAUGCAAUACAAAAUGAACGCUAGAAAAAGAAAUAGACGUGCUCAACCCAAUUCACAAACAUAGUCAAACAUCGGUUGAAUGUACAACUUAGUGCAUAAAAACAAAAUAGAACAUGCAAUCCUUAGCACAACAUGAAUAGAAUAUAGGGAGCAUGCAAUCUAGGUUCACAGUCAUGAACAUCAAAUAGACUAACAAAAAUGCGCAAAUCCUAAGAUGUGAACACAAUGAAACAAAGCCUAAGAUAUGCAGUCUUGAUGCACAAUCUUGAGCACUACAGAAGACCAAAGCAAAUAGGUAGCCACAGAGAACCAACUACAAAUGAGUGGCUUCAAAAUUCACAAAACAAACAAUAAACAGAAGAAAAUCAAAUGAGAAAAAAAAACUCAAAAUAAAAUAGGUAAAAAAUAAGAAAAGCCUCAUAUCUUGCAUUAUUAGUGGGCUUAAAAAAAACAAGUGAGAUAUCCAAACUAGAUUUAAAAAAAGAACAAAAACAAGAUUUCAAGAUGUUAUAUGGAAAGAACGAACUAAAUUCAGGUUAAUCUCAAAUAAACUAAAGAAAAAUAGGGUGAAUAGAACAAUGACAAGCCUAUAAACAUCCCAAAAUUGACAAAUUAAUGUGUGGCCUCUAAUAUCCAUAUCCAAUCAACAAGCAACUUUUAACGAUAGCUAAUGAAAGAAAAACAUAACCAAAUAUGGGUCUCAUAAUGAAAAGAGCUUAACUGAGAAGAGAUGUAUUAGUUAACCUUUUCUUCUCUUUGUUUAGUUCUUUACUUUCCUUCUCUUUCCUUUUCUUCUUUCUCUAGUCCUUUUCUUUUUUUCCCUAAGCUCUUUCUCUCUAUCUCUCUUUUUACCCAACAAAUCCCUAAUGACUAGAAUAUUUUUGUGCAUCUCUCUCUCUCACACACACAACAAUGUAGAAUGUGCUCUCACACCUCUUAAAAAUGAGAGAAAAAGUCCUCUACAAAAUGCCAAAAGGACCUUCCGAGCAAGGAUCUUAAGUUAAGGUUCAUAACCAAAUUAAUGAAUGUAGGUUAAACCUAAGGUGCCAUAGAAAGUCAUGAUAGAAUCAACAAAAAUUUCCCUAAUGGUCUCUAAAAAAUUGCUCAAAUAACAACGAACUACCAAGGGACAUGAUAAAUGGAAGGGAUCCUAAGUGCAUGUUAUGAAAGAGUAUAGGGCAAGGGGAAAAUAAACAUGAAAUAAUAUGUGAGGGUCCGUAGGUUCCACAAUCCAACUGUUUGGAUAUUACCCUUAAAAGCAUGACAUGAUGUAAUAAAUUUGGAAUUCAUUAUUUAUUUAAUGAUGUUCCAAUUUUACUUUUAACCAUUCUUAUUCCAUGUAUUACACUUUAUGAACAUUUUUACCUACAUUUUUUGUAUUAUACGUGACUUAGGUGCAUUAGGAGUUGCACAAAAGAUCUAAAUCAUGGGUUCCUUGCAAAUAGAUGACUUGUUCACAACUAGUUCAUGGGUCUAGGCAACCAAUUAAAGGUAGUAGUGCAUCACAUCCUAAUUUGAGGGAUGACUUGUCUUGGCUAUCAGGAUAGGUUUCCCAAGGUGAGUGCACUGUGUGUAUGGUUACACAUUGGACAAGGCCUGUGAUGAGUCAUAACUUAAGGCUAUCAAGUAGUCAUGACCUCGCCAAACUACUCCAUUGUGUUGUCUCUUAACCUUGAGAGAAUAUUAAGUUUGUGCUAAAGUUAGCAGUGGCUUUGACCUAUGGGUGAGAUCAAAAGUUGAUCAUAUAUUCCCUAUGGAUUAGGUCCCUACUAAUAAAAUUCGGUAACAAUAAUUAUUUUCAAUAAAGGUACCAUGAUAUCUCAUGGGAUUGAAAUAGUGUGUCCCCUUGGGUGAUUCUAAGGAGGUGUGUCAAUGGAAACUAUGGCCAUAGUAGUUCCUUAAGUGGAACUUGACAUAGGUUCUUUGAGAACCAAGAUAUGCCAAUUGAAUACACAAUAGAAAGAUUUGUAACUUAAGGAUAGUAGAGUUAAUCUUGAAAGAUUGAUAGCUUUCACCUUGUUAGACUACGAACACACCAGUUCAUCGGGAGAUUAAAGAUAAUGGAUAACAAGUCACAAACCCGAGCAUGUAAUGUCUUAUUGUUAUUUACAUAAAAUACUAAAAUUCAGUUAAUUCUCUAUAGUGGGAUAUUGAAUCAACUUUUGAAUUGGAUUCUGAGAUAGCCAACUUAUGGGUCCUAGUGGUCCCUACUCUGAGCUCAUAUAUCUUGCUGGCAUAGAUUGUGAAGGUCAGAUUAGCUAUAGGUUCACUUUUUUUCAUAAGAGUGUUUUGGUAAUUAUGCAAGGUUGCACAGAGGUAAGUAAACAAGGUUUUUAGAUUGGGCUAGUUGAUUAAUUAGUAGGCCUUAUUGUAUUAAUUAGUCAAUUAGAACUCAUUUUGGGCUUAAUUAAGUGACCUAAGCUCAUGAGGGCUCAAGUCACUUAAGAUUAAUUAGGAACCUUAUAAAUACCACCUAAGAGUUAGAGUUUCCAUCACUUUUGUCUUCCACCAUCCAGAGAGAAAGAGAGCCAUAACCUCCAACAUUUUUCUUGCUUAUCAAAAGUGUGCUAAGAAUAAGAUUGAGUCAUCGGGUGAAAGAUCAUGGGUUUACGAGACUUCUAACAACCUUAAGGUCAUCUUCAACACUUGGAAUUUAAGAUUUGGGAACAUCCAAACCUAAAAGGUUAGUACUUUAACCCUAAAAGAUCAAUUUUUUAAAAACUGAUAUUGCUUCCAUUGCUUAGAUCUAAGAUGUCAACAUGGAGUGCAAGAUCACGGUUUGAGUCAUCAAGCGAAAAAUAUUAGGUGUACGAGACUUACAAAUUCAUUGUUCAACUCAUUGUUCAACACCUUCACUAUGUGGAAUUGAUUUGGGAACAUCAAAAUCAAAGGAAAAUUUCUCUAAUGACUUUUCUCUUGAUCCUAGAAUGGUAAAAAAUUGAUUUUUGCUUCUGUUGCAUAGGAUCUAGAGGCUUAGGGUAUUUUUGCAUGCACCUAUACGAUAUAGGGUAAGGGAAUGAAGAAAUCCAAGGUUCCUAGCAACGUCUCCUUUCCAUAAUUUUCUUUCUCAUUUCUCAUGUGAUUCGACUCAUGGUAGCUUAGCUUUAAAGGCGUAUCAACAAAAUUUAUACCUUGAAUACUAUUACUAAAGUAGCCAAGCUACUAUAGCAUAGUGGUUCUAGGAUCGUUCACUGAGAAGGGUUUUCGCAAACACAAGUGAUAUUCAAAUUAGGAAAAUAGGUGAUUUUCUUAUAGAUGUUAGCUUUAAAAGAAGAUGCAAAUGUUUUAGAAAGAUUUAAACUAAUCUAAGCUAACAUUAAAAACUAAAAUGAAAGGGUGUAAAAACAAGUUCCUCAAAGAUAGGAUAGCUAUGCUCUGGCUCUUAUGCAAAUUGGAAAUCUCAGGAUAGGCUCCUCGCGUUGGGGUUGCAACUAUGGUGAUGCUUGCUUCCCGAACUGGUAUGGAUUUAGCAAAUCAAGUUUUAAUCCUUUAAAAUGGAAAAACAAAUGGUAGUGAAUUUCAUCAAUGGUUAUUCACCUUAGACUUCCUUUGAAUGGCUCGUAAGAGAUAACUAGUAGUCUAAAGCUAAAAGCUUACCAAAUAUUGGCAACUCAAAGUCAUUCCAGGUGAUAAACUCACCUUUCAAUGGCCAUUGAAAUUGGUUCUAAUGGAUUAAUGCAAAACUUGGAAUUGAAAACCUCACCUUCCAAUAGCUCGUAGGAGAUAACUAAUGGAUAGAAAUCCAAAAGCUUAUCAAGUAUUGGCCGUUGGAAGUUGUCAAAAGGAAAUAAAAACCAAACUUUGCAUUAAUGAACCAUUAAUGAAAAACGACUACCUUACUUUCCGGGUGCGAGAAAUUUCCAUGGGAUUGCAUCCAAGCCAUCACAUAACAUCCAUACUUUGAGAAACUAAAAGUUUUAGCCAAUCAUCCUUUGAGGAAAAACCCUCAGAGGCUGUUUGGCUACUAAGAAAAUAGAAACGGGAGAGCUCUGUAAAAUUUUCUAUCUAUAUAUCAAUAUAUCGAUAUAUCAAUAAUAAUUGUUACAACGGAUGCAAGGGGAUAUAAAUAGAGAAGUUUUUCCAACCUUCCUAGCUAAGAAAUCUUAUGAUUGGUGGAUUACAAGGAGAAGAAUGGAAAUUUAUACAAAAAUAUCUAAAAGAAAAGAUCUCGUGUGGAGUCGGCAGAAACAGGGGAAAAUUCGCACGUUGGAGUUCCAAUUUCGCACUUUGGUUUGAGGUGUGCGAAAUUCCCACACUUUGGACUGAGGAAUUCGCACCUUGAUUUCCAUCGUGCGAAAUUAUCCCUCAGCUUGAUGCAGUUGUCUUCCGAAGGCCAUAUCUUCCUCAUUUCAGCUCCAAAUCGUACACAGUUUGAAGCGUUGGAUUCUUGACUUCCUGAGCUUUGAAAUGGUAUAUAGCAUGUAGAAAAUGGACUUCGGGAAGUGCUCCAAAAGUGCCAAAGAAGACUGCAGCUGCUGUCCUCUAUUUUCCUCUUUGCUUCUCUUAGCUUCUCUUUGCUUCUCUUUGCUUUUCUCCUUUUGUUGGCUUGCUUUGGUGUAGCUAAAAGCUUGCUUUAACUUGUCCAAGUAGCUCCUCCAUCAUUUGGCAUGCUUGAAUUGAUUCAUAAGCUGAUAUAAACAUGUAAACUUGCCACAAAAUGGUUAAAACCAAUUACUAAGGACCUUAAUGAAUUAAUUGGGUUAAAUGAAUAUGAUUACUACACAAAGGUGCUUAAAACCAUUAUAAUUAGGUCUACAAAAUAGCACUUUUUGGUAGUAAUCAUCAUGCUAUGCAUUCCUUUAUUUGUCUUUGUUGCAUUUUUUCCUACUCUCAAACUUGAGACUUAUCUCAAAAUAUAUGGAUAGGGUCUUUUAAAUAAUUCAAGUUAAUUCAGGUAUUAAGAUAGAGCCCUUAAAAGCAUGACAUGAUUUAAAAAAUUUUGAAUUCAUUAUUUAUUUAGUGAUAUUCCAGUUUCACUUUUCUAUAUCCUUAUUCCAUCCAUUAUGCUUUAUAAGUAUUCUUACCUAGAAUGUUUUGCAUUGUACAUGACUUGGAUGCAUUAGGAGUUGUACAAAAGAUCCAAGUUAUGGGUUUUUUGCAAGUAGAUGACUUGUUCACAACUGAUUCAUGGACUUAAGCAAUUCAUUUGAGGCAAUAGUCUACUACCUCAAAAUUAGAGGGAUGGCUAACCUUUGCCAUCGGGAUGGGUUUCCCAUGGUAAGUGCACUAAUGUGUAUGGUUACACAUUGAAUAAGACCUACAAUGAGUCAUGACAUAAGGCUAUCAAGUUGUCAUGAUUUCACCAAGCUCCUUUAUUAUAUUGUCUCUCAACCUUGAGAGAAUACUAAGCUUCUGGCCAACUUAGUGAUGGCUUUGACCUAUGGGUGAGAUCUUAAAGUGAUCAUAUAUUCCUCUAUGGAUUAGGUCACUUUUGAUGAAAGCUGAUAGCAAUAAGUAUUCUCAAUAAAGGAAUCAUGAUAUCUCAUGGGAUUGAGAUAAAUUGUUCUUUUGGGUUGUUAGGACAUUGAGUCUUGUUUAUAUGUUGUUAAUUUUGUUCUUUUUUAUGUUUGGUCAUAGAAGUCUUUUUAGAUAGUAACUUGCUCUCCAUUGAAGAUCAAGCGUUGCAAUCUAUCUAAUCGGGAAGUCAUAAGUAUGUCUAAAAAGGUUUAACUUGUGGCAAUUGAGGAUCCAUUGAAGUAUAAAGAGGAUUGGUAAGUUUUUUGAACUUAAAAUUAAUUUUUGUCAAGUUUUUGAAAAAUAGAGGACACUUAAUGAUUCGUGCCCAGCUGGUGUAUGCCUUGUUGAUUGGUGUUCAAUCAACUGGUGUACUCUGAUUUCGGUCCUCAGAUGGGAGUAAUCAACAAAACCUAUUUCACCAUAUACUAGGGUAGCAUUAGCUAGCAUAGCAUAGUGGCUCUAGGAUCGUCCACAGGGAUGGGUUUUCAAAUUACAAUUGAUAUUAGUUCAAAAACUGAAUUGGUGUUUUUUCUUUUCAAGGUUAGCUUUAAAAGAAAACAUAAAUAUGUUUGAAAAGGUUGGUUUUAAGUGAAACCAAAAAUAAAGUAACUAAAAUUACUUACAAAAAAAAGUGCUUCUUAGAGUUUUAGAUCACUAGGCUCAGGUUCGUCAUACAAAAAAGGAGAUUCCAGUCACUUGGAUCUUUUCCUCGCAUUGGGGAUUUAACAUAUAGUUAUUUCCCAAACCGGUGUGGUACAUAUGCUUCCCCUUAAUGGUUUCAAACAUUAAAUCCCUAUCACUGAAUCAUCUUGCAAUGGUUCAUACCUCUCACUUAGUAUUGGCCAUUCAAGGUGAUCCUUAACCUUGGAUUACCCGUCAAAAGCUCGCAAGAGAUAACUAAUGGAUGUCUCCUGGGAGUUCAAAAGCUUACCAAGUGUUGGUUAUUCUAGAUAAUCCUACAUUUAAACCACCUCCCAAAGGCUCGCAAGAGAUAAACUAGUGUAUCUCAAUGGACGGAGACCACUUGCCUUACCAAGUGUUGGCCUAGGUGAUUUUAAGGGAUUUUAAGUUAACUAAAAAGAUAAAAACCAUUAACGGGUCACACUUUCUCUUCAUUAAAAACUAAAACAACAAAACUUCCACUUUUGCAUUGGGAACCUUACCUAGCUUUCAUCACUCCAAGAAAUAAAAAGCCUAGCCACUCAUCCUCUGGGAAAACAUCCUCAGAGUUCGAUUUGCUAGAAAUAAAAAUAACGAGAAAACAAAAUGAGAAGGUAAGGCAGAGCAAAGCAUUGUGUAUUACUUUCUAAAAAACUAUACAAAGUGUCAUCUCCGAGAAAAACUCCCGAGAGAUCCUUUUAAAAGAAAAAUUACAAUAGAUAUUAUAUAGAGAGGCUAUUCACCCCUCCUGCUAACUUCCCAACCAAGAAAACUUGUCAUUGGUGGGUUACAAGGAGAAAAUAGGGAUUUACACACAAAUAUCUGAAGAUAAAUAUCAAACGGAGUCAGUGCACAAAUAUCUCAAAUUAUAGGUGGAUUUCGCAAGUUCAAAUGCAACUUGCGAAAAUUUCGCAAGUUGAAAUUAUCCAUUUCACAAGUUACGUAAUUGUCUUGCAACUUAUUAGCUCUCUGUCCUGCAGUGAUUCCUUUCCUCUUCCUAUUUCGCAAGUUACGAAAAUUUCGCAAGUUGGAUUCCACAACUUACGAAAUUGUUGGAUGGUUGAUUUCUUCUGUGCUUUUCCUCAUUGCAUCCUUGUUUGGUUUUGGCGAAGGGUUAUGAAGCUCCAAAGCUUAGUUUCUUCAGGAAUUUGAGCUUCAACUUGCUUUGCCAUGAACUAUACAAAGAUCUUCCUCACUCUUGGAUUGCUUUGAUGAUCAAAAGCUAUCAAAAACACCAAAACUUAACACAAUUUGAUUAGAAACGAUUGCAAGGGUCCUUAACAUGCUAAUUGAGUUAAAAGGUAAUAACUACUACUCAAAAGUGUUUAAAAGAGUUAAUUACAAGCUAUAAAAUACACUUUUUGAGUAGUAAUCACUCCCCCCAACCGACACAUUGCUAGUCUCUUAGCAAUGAAGGAGAGAAAAAUAAAAAUAAAUAGUACUAUAAUUUACAACAUCAUGCUGAUCACUUCAAAAAAUUUCAAGUGGCAUGAUGAUCAAACUUUCACAUGGGACAUUAAAGAUAUAAAACUCAAACUUCAACAAGAGUUAUCAAAUAACUUGCCUAAUCACAAUUCAUAAAGAGAAGACAUUAUGCAAAUUUUAGUUUUAAAAGAAUUUCCACUCCCAAAGGGUCAAUCCUUACUUUUCCACAAAAAUCUAAGUGUUACUUAUUAGUUUCUGAAUAUAGUAUGCUGAACUAAUCUCUCCCCCCAACCUAGUUCUUUUUCAAAACUUAGCAAACUAACAACCUCCAAUAGGCUAAGAACGCACCUCAUUUAUUUCACACUAUUUUUUUCUUGUAGGAGUAUAAAGCUUAAAAGUAUUCUUUUUUAAAUUGUCCAUGUAACAGGGGUCCAUCGAUGACUCCCAACCAAUUAAGGUUUAGAGCAUCAAGCUUCAAGGAUCUUUCGACCACUAACUCCUCGGAUUUUACCCCGGACGUUUGAGAUUGGAAUUCAAUACCUAAGCACCUACACUAUGUUAAACUCAACCUAUUCACCUUUGUAACGAGCAUUGAGGUUGGUGACUCCCAACUAAUGAUGGCUUAAGGCACCAGGUUUUAAAGAUUUUCACCAUAUACCCCUCAGACCUUGCUCGGGUUUCAAGGUAAGUAAACAUUAAAGGCUCAUUGGCCUUUUCUAAGGUGUCCCAACACUAUUAAAAUGAGGUCAAAGGUACCAAGUCUAAAAUUUCCUAAGUCAAGGGGCGAAAUAGUUUUUCAUCUUAUAAUCGGAACCUAGUGUGCACAGUGUGUGGUAAGCUUAAAGUGGAAGAAAUAAGGUUGAAUUCAACAGAAGUUUCAACAAUUCAACAACUUUAAUAAGCAUAAUACAAACUCUAAGUCAAGUAAAAAGACAAAAAUUCAAUUUUUCCCAUUUCAUUUUGAGAAUUUUUCCUUGAUAACCAUGAAGAGUAUUCAAUUUUUUUUUAAAAAUUUAGACAAAAAGUAACUAAAUUACCAUUUAUAACCUAGCAUUAUAAACAAUACUUCCUUCGUCAACUCCCCCCAACCAUGCUGAACAUUGCCCUCAAUGUUUGAAGAGUAAUUGAAAAUAAAGGAAGGAAGUGGUACAUUCUGAGUGGAAUAGAGUCUGAAUUGUAUAGGAGAAACCACAUGAUUCAAGAAAACAAAAAAAAAAUGAGUAGAGGAAAUAAAAUAAAAAUAUGCCAAGUAUAGUAAAAAAUGAUGGAUAUGUAUUACUUUAAGAAAGUACAAUAUGAAAUAUGCACAAGUAAUACAUCCAAUCCCAGUAUAUAAAACAUAAAGAACAUGAGAUUAAGAGUUCUACUAUUAUAAGUAAAUACAAAAAUUAGAUAGAUGAUCAAGUAGUGGUGGGAGGAUCAUGUGGAGACAAUGGCUCUACUGUGGUCUCCUGAGUGCUCUAGAUAGGAGUCUCGACCUCUGCUGUAGUAGUCUCCUCAUGGGGCAUAGUCUGCUCUGCUGGAGUAGCCUCCUGAGAUGGAAUAGCUUGCUCAGCUAGAGUAGCCUCCUCAGAUGGAGUUGUAGGCUCUGAUGGACCAGGCAUAUCAUGCUCAGGUGGUGGUGGAAUACCUAAAUGCUACCGUAUCUGACUAAGGAUGGCAGUAUGUUGGGUUUGCAUGGCAAUAAGUUGAUCCUGACGUGCACGUAUGACUGUUAUCUGUUGGGCAAGAACACUUUGAGUAGUACUCAAUGUCUGCAAUGUAUGACAUAGGCCUCUAAACUCUAAACUGCAUAUAGUGAUAGAAGACUUAAAUGGAGGAGGUGCUGAUGUAGCUGGUACAACUGGUAGAGCUUCAAGAGUGGUAGGAGGAGCAAAAAAUGUAGCCUCGAGCGUGGGCACUGUAGAAGGUGCUGCAGGGGCAGGUAGUAUGAUCUCUGUAGGUAUCUCAGCCCGUUGUGCCUGUGGUGGCUGCUCAUCCUAUGGUAACUCUGGAGGUGCUGGCAUAUUUGGGGCUCCUGGGGGUGCAACAUAGGUCGUCAAACGAUUCCAUUUGUCGAGAGUGAAUAGCUCUCGAAAAAUGAGGCGGUGCUCAAGCUGAGGCUCAGAAGGAUAGCCCAAAUGCUCUAAUAUCUAAUAGAGCAGGUUGGGAAAAAGUAAUGGAAUGGCAUUUGCUCUCUGGAGCUUCUUCCUAUGGACCUUCUCUUUAAAGUAGAGAAGAGAGGUCAUAAUCAAAAUAUGAGGGCCAAAAUAGAAACCCUCUGAUAUCCGGAAUAAAGCCUCCAGUAUAGCUCAUAUCCUCUGCACCAUAUGCUGAAGUGGAAAUAUGUUGGGACGCAACACCACAUCUAGAAGAAGCAUCCCAGGUGGAAACUCCUUCCUAAGAAGAAAUGAGCGUGUAGAGGUCCCCUUAGACAAUAUACGGACCAUGUUUCUCUGAGAGAAAUGGGACCACUCUCUGUAAUCUGCUGGACUCAUAGGCUCAUAUGGCAUGUGCAGGGCCUCUGCAAUGUGUCUAGCUCUUAGGAUACCAUGGCGUCCAUCAAUAGUGAAGUGGAUGACAGUAGGAUCCCAGACGCGAUGAGUAGUCAUAGACUGAUAAAACUCUAGUGCUACUUUGGGAUAGAAAAAGUCCCUAGGAGUCAUCAGGUGCUCCAAAUGGUUUCUCUGCAGUAGGCAAAAUGAAUCUCUAAGUUCUGGUUGCUGUCUGAAAGUCUCCAUAUCAAAACAUAGCUUGGAGUGGAAUGGCCUAGCUCGACAAUCCAAAUUUCCCUCUAUAGGUGGCUGUGUAACCAUAGGUCGCCUGAUAAUCACUUCUAGAGUCAUCCUAGAAGGAAUUUGAGACUCUGUAGCAGGGGGCUGAGGCUGUGGAGGUGCAGAUGACUCUCAUGGGCCUGAAACUCUGGCUUUCUUUGCAGAAGGGCGAUGAACUGAUUUCUUGGGGUGCGAAGUGCUUGCCCCAGGUGUAGUGGGUGAUCUCCUCGUCUCGUACCUAUGCUGAGGAGGGCUAGAUGGCACUCCAACCUCAGAAGGUGGAAUGGUAAAGGCCUGUGGAGCCUCAGAUGUGGAAUCCCGCGUAGGUGAAGCUCUUGGCAUUGGAUUGCGGGUUGAUGGAGAUGCGAUGUGGGCUCUUCUUGUCUUGGCCAUGGCUGAAAUGGAGAGGCUUGUGUUCCACAGGGUGAGCGGAGGUGCGCGAAGUGGUUCUUCUUCAAACGCACAACCUCUGGGCUUCCUACUAUAGAAUUUGGGGGGUUUCGCAACUUAUAGGGUUAUUUCGCAACAUGAAAGGGUUGUGCGAAAUGAAAAUGGAAAAAAUCAGAGGUUUAAAUAUGAAUUUAAACGUCGGUUGGCAUUUUCGAAAGUUAGCCUAAAUUCGCAAGUUGGUUCGCAAGUUGCCCCUUUUCGCAACUUGAUUCACAGGCUGUGAAACUUGAAAUUGAACUUGCGAAAUGGCACACGUGUGCUUGGAGGUGCUUUCGCAGGCUCCAAAAAUUUUCGCAAGUUGAAUAGUGGACUUACGAAUUUGAGCUUUGAGGAUUUCACAAGUUGGACCCUAUUUUCACAAGUUGGAAUUUUAGCUUGCAAAAUUUUCGCAAAUUGAAAUAUUGCUCUAUUUUUCAGGCUUUUUCUCCUUCUUUGGUUCUUUAAGGCUUUCCUCCAAUUCCUUUGAAGUUCCUCCUAAUUUUGAUCAUCCAAAAAGUCUACGUUAGAUCAAAAUAAAAUAAAUUCAAGCUAGAAUUAAAAUUAAAACAAAUAAUAAAGCUUUUAAAUCAACAAAAUUGAAACAAAAAACAUGGACUUUGGUUAGUCUUCAAAAAGACUAAGUCCAUCUACUCCUUUUUGGUUAAGAUUGUUGUGGCUCAAGAAGACUGACUUCCUCCUUGUCUUGAUUGAAAGGCUUCAUGAAUGGCUUGAAACGGUGGUCAUUGACUUUGAAAGUGUCUGUGCUGUUGGAAUUGAGUAGUUCAACUACUCCAUUGGAAUGCACUUGGUGAAUAAUGAAAGGGCUUAUCCACCUUGAUUUUAGCUUUCCUGGAAAGAUGUGGAGCCUAGAGUUAUAGAGUAAGACUCUUUAUCCCUUUUGAAAUUCUUUGUUGGAGAUUAACUGAUCAUGCCACCUCUUCAUCAUAUGUUUUGAAAUUUUGGAAUUGAUGUAGGCAUCAUUUCUCAAUUCCUCCAUCUCAUUAAGGUCUAAGCACCUCUUCAUCCCGACUCUGUUCAAGUCCAUGUUUACCUUCUUAAUUGCCCACCAAGCCUUGUAUUGAACUUCCACAGGGAGAUGGCAUGCUUUACCAUAGACUAGGCGAUAAGGAGACAUGCCAAGAAUAGUCUUGUAAGUUGUUCUGUAUGCCCAUAGUGAAUCAUGGAGCUUAACAAACCAAUUUCUUCUACUUGUGUUCACCACCUUCAUCAAUAUAUUCUUGAUUUCCCUGUUUGCUAACUCAACUUGCCCAAAAGUCUGAGGGUGGUAAGGUGUAGCUACCUUGUGCUUCACCCCAUACUUGGCUAAGAGAGUUUCAAAAGGCUUGUUGCAAAAAUGAGUACCUUCAUCACUGAUUAUGGCCUUGGGCACCCCAAAUCUUGAGAAGAUGUUCUCUUUGAGAAACUUGAGAACAACUCUGUGGUCAUUUUGUUUACACAGGAUUGCCUCAACCCAUUUAGAAACAUAGUCUACCCCCACCAAAAUGUAAGAGUUACCAAAAGACAUAGGGAAAGGUCCCAUGAAGUCAAUGCCCCAAACAUCGAAAAAAUCAACUAUAAAAUGGGGUUCAUAGGCAUUUGGUUCCUACAUGUUAACUUCCCAAGCCUUUGGUAUCUAUCACAGCUCUUGCACAUGGCGUGAGCAUCUUUGAAAAGUGAUGGCCAACUGAAACCUGAUUGCAACACCUUCAUGGCUAUUUUCUGAUAGGCAAAGUGGCCUCCACAUGCACUUUCGAGGCAAUGACUGAGGAUCCCCUGUUGCUCUUGUUCAGGGACACACUUCCUUAUUAUUUGAUCUGCACAAUACUUGAAAAGGAAAGAUUCUUCCCAAUAGUAGGCAUGAAUUUUUGUAAAGAAGUGCUUCCUAUCUUGUGCUUUCCACUCACUUGGAACUUCACUAGUAACUAUAUAGUUAGCAAUAUGAGCAUACCAAGGAGCAUCUUCUAACAACAUGAGUGACUCCUUCGGAAAAUCAUCAUUAAUAGGAAAACCAUGGGAAUUAUGCGAUAUAGCCAGCCUAGAAAGGUGGUUAGCUACCACAUUCUCCACUCAUUUCUUGUCUUUGAUUUGGAGAUUGAACUUUUGUAGUAAGAGAAUCCAUCUAAUCAGCCUUGCUUUUGCAUCUUGCUUUGUCAAUAAGUACUUCAAAGCUGAGUGGUCAGUGAAAACCACAAUGAAAGACCCUACCAGAUAAGCACGAAAUUUGUCCAAGGCAAAAACUACAGCGAAAUAAUUCUUUCUCUAUGGUUGUGUAGUUUCUUUGUGCUUCAUUUAAUGUUUUACUUGCAUAGUAGAUCACAUAGGGCUUUCCAUCAUCUCUUUGACCAAGAACAACUCCUAUAGCAAAGUCAUUGUGAUUACUACUCAAAAAGUGUUAUUUCAUAGCUUGUAAUUAACUCUUUUAAACACUUUUGAGUAGUAGUUAUUACCUUUUAACCCAAUUAACAUGUUAAGGACCCUUGCAAUCAAUUCUAAUCAAAUUGUGUUAAGUUUUGGUGUUUUGAUAGCUUUUUGAUCACCAAAGCAAUCCGAGAUUGAGGAGAGUUCUUUGGAAUCCAUGGCAAAGCAAUGGAAAGCUUAGAAACAUGAAGAACCGAAGCUUUGAAGUCCUUUGCCAUAAGCAAAUCUGGAAUGCAAGGAGUUUGGGAUCCUCCCUAAAAAAUGCCACGUGGCUCUCUCUCCCUUAUGUUGAUGCCUUGCGUCCUAGUGAUCCACGUAGCUACCAAGUGGACGCACGCUUUCAACCCUGAUUGAGUUCUGGUUCAGUCUUCCCUACAAAAGAUGUCCGGACAGGGCGUCCGGGCACACCAUCGGAGGGCGGCGGAACGUGGGCUGUGGCAGGCUGUUGAUUACUACUCAAAAAGAGCUAUUUGAUAGCUUGUAAUUAACUCUUUUAAAUACUUUUGAGUAGUAGUUAUUACCUUUUAACCCAAUUAACAUAUUAAGGACCUUUGCAAUCACUUCUAAUCACUUUGUGUAAGUUUUGGUGUUUUUGUUAGUAAUUUGAUCACCAAAGCAAUCCAAGAUUGAGGAGAGUUAUUUGGAAUCCAUGGCAAAGCAAUGGAAAGCUCAGAAACAUGAAGAACCAAAGCUUUGAAGCUUUAAAGUCCUUUUCCAUAAGCAAUCCGGAAUGCAAGGAGGGGAAGUAAAGAGAAAAUCUGCCAUGAAGCAUUCUUGAUGACAGUCAUUUUAGCCACUUUUGGAGCACUUCCUAAAGUCCAAUUUAUGCAUUCUAUGUGUCGUUUCAAAUAUUAGGAAGUCAAAAAUCCAAUGCUUCAAACGGUUCACAAAUCGGAGUUGAAAUGAAGAAGUUAGAGCCAAUGGAAGCAGAUCACUCCAAGGUGAGGGCCAAUUUCGCAGGGCUGCGAAAUCAGCCUUUGGCUGCGAAAUGAUUUCGCAGCCAUCUUGUUCGUCUGCGAAAUUUCGCAGCCAUUUUGUGCGCCUGCGAAAUUCUCCUGAGUGCUUCCAGAUAUUUUCGACCGACGUUUUUUGAUAUUUUGCUUCAAAUAUUUGUUGUCUAAAUCCCAAUUCUCUCCUUGUAAUCCACCAAUUAUAGGGUUCCUUAGUUGUUAAGUAAGAACACAAGGGUAAACAACCUCUUAUAUAUUGUUUUUUAAUUUUCAUUUUCUAUGGAUCUCGGGAGCUUGUUCUCAGAGAAUCAACUUUUUGUAUAGUUUGAAAGGAAGUAAAACACAGAGUUUUGCUCUGCCUUACCUUCUCACUUUGAUUGUAUUUUUCAUUCACUAGCCAAACAAGCUCUGAGGAUGUUUCUUCAGAGGAUGGGUGGCUAGGCUUUUUGUUUCUUGGAGCUAAGGUAAUCGGGGAAGGGCCGAAUGCAAGAAUUGGUAGUUUUGUUGUUUCAGCUGUUAAUGAAGAGAAAGUGUAACCCGUUUAUGAUUUCUAUGUUUUUAGUUAACUUAAAACGCUUUCAAUUCACCUGAGCCAACACUUGGUAAGGCAAGUGAUCUCCGUCCAUGGAGAUGCGCUAGUUUACCUCUUGUGAGCUUUUGGGAGGUGACUUGAAGGUGGGAUUUUCUAGAAUUGCCAACACUUGGUAAGCUUUUGGACUCUAAGGAGACAUCCAUUAGUUAUCUCUUGCGAGCUUGAGAAGGGAAGUCCAAAGUUAAUGAUCACCUUGAAUGGCAAAUGCUAGGUGAGAGGCACGAGUCAUUGCAAGUUGCAUCAGUGAGAGGGAAUUAAAGCUGAAAUCCAUUUAAGGGAUGCAUCUGUACAACACUGGUUGGAGAGUGAACUAUAUGUUAACUCUCCAAUACGAGGAAAUGAACCAAGUGACCGAAACUCUGUUUUUGCAUGAGGAACCUCCCCUGUGAACCUGAAUGAUUACUACUCAAAACAUGCUAUUUUGUAGCUUGUAAUUAGCUCUUUUAAACACCAUUGAGUAGUAAUUAUUACCUUUUAACCCAAUUAGCAUGUUAGGAGCCCUUGCAAUCGUUUCUAACAAUUGUGUUAAGUUUUGGUGCUUUUUGAUAGCUUUAUGCUCACCAAAGCAAUUUAAGAAUGAGGGAGAGCUAUUUAUAGUUCAGGGCAAAGCUUUUGAAAGCUUAAAUUUAUGAAGAAAUCAAGCUAUGGAGCCUCAUAAUCCUUUGCCUUAAUCGUUCAAAGUUUACAAGGGAGAAACAAUGGAGAAGAAGAAAACAGGGGAUGAAAACAGGGGACACAGCUGCAGUCUUUUAGUGCACUUUUGGAGCACUUUCCAAAGUCCAUUCUUUACAUUCUAUAUACCAUUUCGAAGCUCAGAAAGUCAAGAAUCCAAUGGUUCAAACCACGUAUGAUUUGGAGCUGAAAUGAGGAAGAUAUGGACUUCGGAAGACAACUGCAUCAAGCUGAGGGACAAUUUCGCACACCACUGUUUAAGGUGCGAAAUCCUCAGUCCACUGUGCGAAAAUUUCGCACACCUCAAACCAACAUGCGAAAUUGGAACUCAGCGUGCAAAAAUUGGAUAUUUUUGCCGACUCUUUUUCUUCUGAUAUUUUUGUGUUUAAAUUUCCAUUUUCUCCUUGUAUUCAACCAACCAUGUAAUUCCUUAGCUAGGAAGUAUCCAAGGAAGGGUAAAACUACCUUCCUAUAUAAAUUCUCUUGUAAUCACUGAAAACAGAUCUUCGUCGGGGAGCUUUCUCCAGGAGACCAACUAUUGUAAAUUUGUUACUUAGUGAAAUACAGAGAUCUCUUUUACUUUCCUUUUCUCUCUUCUAUUUUCUAUUUUCUUGCAAGCCAAACACCCUCUGAGGAUGUUUUCCCAGAGGAUGAGAGGCUAAGCAUUUAGUUUCUUGGAGUAAAGGAAGUUAGGUGAAAAGUCCAGAUUAAAAGGUGGAAAGUUUCCGUGCAUUAAAUUCAGGUAGUUGGAGUCCAUAAAUGGUUUCUAAAGCCAAGGUUUUGCCUUAAAUCCCUUAGGAUCACUUUGACUGGCCAAUACAUGGUAAGCUUAAGGUCUCUGUGGAUGCUUAUUGCUAGAUCCAUAUCAGUCCAUUAGUUAUCAUGUACGAGCCAUUGGAAAGUGAUUCAAGGUGAUAGCCCAUAGUGUCUUAAGCCAUUAAUGGACCUUGAUUACCAUCUCUAGUGAUUUUUAUGGAUUAAAACUUCAUUGUCAAACCUAUACCGGUUCGGGAAAUAACUAUAGGUUAAAUCCCCAAUGCGAGGAGAAAAAUCCGGAAUUUUCCACUUUGCAUCUGGAACUUGAACCUAGCAACCUUUAGCUCCGGGAGACUUUCUUUCUUCCACUUUUUACUUAGUUCUAUGUGAGUUUAGUUUAAAUCACCACUUUCAAAACAAUUUUAUUUUCUUUUAAAUUUCAAGUUUGUGCUAAAGGAAAUCAUCAGAAUCAAUUUCUAAUUUAGAGUCUAUCAUUGGUAGAGUGAAAACCCAUCCCUGAGUUCGACCCUAGAACUGCUAUACUAUAGUAGCUUUGCUACGCCAGUAUAAGGUCAUAGGUUUUAUAAAUGUUUUUGAUUAAAAGAUCCGGCUGGGAAGUCAAGCGAAGAAUCACUGAACCUCCAAGGAAUGUUUUCUUUAUAAAGUAAUUCCCAUUACUUUCUUUUUAGUUAGCUUGUAACCAAAUCUUUUUCAACCAAAGUUUAUGUUUUCUUUUGAAUCUAACCUUGAAAUGAAAAGGCACCAAUUCAACUUUGAAUUGGUAUCGGUUGUAAGUCGAAAACCUUUCCCAGUGAACGAUCCUAGAGCUACUAUGCUAUACUAGCUUAUGCUAUCCUAGUGCAUGGUGAUAUAGGUUAUAAAUUUUGUUGAUUAAUCCCAUCAGAGGACCAAAAUCAAGGGCAUCAGCUGGGAAUACACGAAUCAGCUGUCGGAAUGACGUAGCAAGGCUUGCUCACUUUAGUCAAUGAUCCGGACAACAUAUCCGGAUAGGAUAUGCUAUCGUCCGGGGUGUGAUGAUCGCGAGUACCGUGUGCUUCUCCCUGAGGGAGUCCGGAUAGGGGAGCGCGCCACGUGUCCUCUUGGGGAAUUCGGAUGGAGUGCUCCGGAUAGCAAUGCGCGCUCCGUGUCAUCAGGGGGAGGGGUCCCUACACCUUGCACACGCAGACGGUCCCCCUUGCGACGUUCCACCUUCUCCGGAUAUCUCACAUCCGGAAUUCUGUCCGGCCGACGUUCCACCUUCUCCGGAUAUUUCACAUCCAGCGCCUGACGCCGGAUGGGAGAGGAGGGCGUUUCAACUUCCCCGGUCAGACAUAUCCGGAUCCUCUGAUAGCGCUUACCCGGAGAGUUUCGCAGCCAUUUUGCAUAGUGCCGCGGUGUUCUCUUGAAGCUUCCCGAUAUGUGCGACCGACAUUUUGAGAUAUUUUUCUUUAGAUAUUUGAUGUCUAAAUCCCCAAACUCUCCUUGUAACCCACCUAUCAUAGGAUUCCUUAGUCUUUAAGUAAGAACAAAGGGUGAAUAACCCCUUAUAUAUAGCUUUGUAAUUUUCUUUACAAGAAAGAUAUAUAAUGUAAUCUCUCGAGAGCUUGUUCUUAGAGACAACCUUUUGUAUAAGUAAGAAAUAUAUCUACAGAGCACUUGCUCUGCUUUUCAUAUAUAUUUUUGUUUUCUCGUUAUUUUUCUUUCUAGCCAAUCAAACUCUGAGGAUUUUUCCUCAAAGGAUGAGAGGCUAGGCUCUUCGUCUCUUGGAGUGAAGAAAGCUGGAUAAGUUUCCAAAUGCAAGAAUUGGAAGUUUUGUUGUUUUAAGUUUUAAUGAAGAGAAAGUGUGACCCGUUAAUGGUUUUUAUCUUUUUAGUUAACUUAAAACGCCUUCAAUUCACUUGGGCCAACACUUGAUAAGGCAAAUGGUCUCCGUCCAUUGAGAUACACUAGUUUAUCUCUUGCUAGCCUUUGGGAGGUGGUUUGAAGGUAGGAUUUUCUAGAAUAGCCAACACUUGGUAAGCUUUUGGACUCUUAGGAGACAUCAAUUAGUUAUCUCUUGCGAGCUUUUGAUAGGUAAUCAAAGAUUAAGGAUCAGCUUGGAUGACAAAUGCUAGGUGAGAGGCACGAGCCAUUGCAAGAUGCAUCAGUGAGAGGGAUUUAGUGUUUGAACCCAUUAAGGGGAAGCAUCUGUACCACACCGGUUAGAGAAUUAACUAUAUGUUAAUUCUUUAAUGCGAGGAAAAGAAACAAGUGACCGGAACUCUCCUUUUUGUAUGAGGAACCUGAGCUUAGUGAUCUAAACUCCAAGAAACACUUUUCUUAGUAAGUAAUUUCCAUUACUUUAUUUUUGGUUUCUGAUUCGUGCCCACUUGGUGUAUCAACUGAUUCAUGUCCAACUGGUGCUCCUUGAUUGAGGUAGUAAUCAACAAAAUUUAUAACCUAUUACACCAUGAACUAGGGUAGCAAAGACAAAGCUACUAUAGCAUAGCGGCUCUAAGAUCGUUCACUGGGAUGGGUUUUCACUCCACAAUUGAUAUCAAUUCAAAGCUGAAUUGGUGCCUUUUCAUUUCAAGGUUAGCUUUAAAAGAAAACAUAAAGAUGUUUAAAUGAAAAAGGUUUGGUUUUAAACUAACCAAAAAUAGUAACUAAUUUUACUUACAAAGAAAAGUGUUUCUUGGAGUUUAGAUCACUAGGCUGAGGUUCCUUGUACAAAAAGGGAGUUCCGGUCACUUGUUUCUUUUCCUCGCAUUAGAGAAUUAACAUAUAGUUAAUUCUCUAACCGGUGUGGUACAAAUGCUUCCCAUUAAUGGGUUCAAACACUAAAUCCCUCUCACUGAUGCAUCUUGCAAUGACUCAUACCUCUCACCUAGCACUUGCCAUUCAAGGUGAUCUUUAACCUUGGAUUACCCGUUAAAAGCUCGCAAGAGAUAACUAAUGGAUGUUUCCUUAAAGUCCAAAAGCUUACCAAGUGUUGGCUAUUCUAGAAAAUCCUACCUUCAAACCACCUCCCAAAGGCUCGCAAGAGAUAAACUAGUGAAUCUCAAUGGAUGGAGACCACUUGCCUUAUCAAGUGUUGGCCCAGGUGAUUUAAAGGCGUUUUAAGUUAACUAAAAAGAUAAAAACCAUUAACGGGUCACACUUUCUCUUCAUUAAAAACUAAAACAACAAAACUUCCAAUUCUUGCAAUUGGAAACUUACCCGGCUUUCUUCAUUCGAAGAGACAAAGAGCCUAGCCUCUCAUCCUCUGAGGAAAAAUCCUCAGAGUUUGAUUGGCUAGAAAUAAAAAGAAUGAGAAAACAAAAAUAUAUAUGAAAAGCAGAGCAAGUGCUCUGUAUUUUACUUCCUUCCAAAACUGUACAAAAGAUCCGUCUCUGAGAACAAGCUCCCGAGAGAUUGAUCAUAUAUAAAGAAAAUUACAAACUAUAUAUAAGAGGUUAUUCACCCUUUUUCCAAACUUAAUAACUAAGGAAUCCUAUGAUUGGUGGGAUACAAGGAGAGUUUGGGGAUUUAGACAUAAAAUAUCUAAAGCAAAAUAUCUCAAAAUAUCUCAAUUGUCGGUCACACAUAUCUGGAAGCUUCAGGAGAAUACUGAAGAAAAAUAUCUCAAAAUGUCGGUCACACAUGUCAGGAAGCUUCAGGAGAACACCGUGGCACUGUGCAAAAUGGCUACGAAACUCUCCGGGUAAGCGCUAUCAGCGGAUCUGGAUAUGGCUGACCGGAGAAGUUGAAACGCCCUCCUCUCCCAUCCGGCGUCAGGCGCCGGAUGCGAAUAUCCGAAUGGAAUGGCGGCGGAGCAAAAUUCCGGAUGUGAGACAUCUGGGUGGAAUGGCGGCGAAGCAAAAUUCCGGAUGUGAGACAUCCGGGUGGAAUGGCGGCAAAGCAAAAUUCCGGAUGUGAGACAUCCGGGUGGAAUGUCGGCGGAGCAACUCCAUCCGAAUUCCCCGAGAGAACAUGUGGCACGUUCCCCUAUCCGGACUCCCUUAGGGAGAAGCACACGGCACUCACGAUCAUCACACACCCGGACGAUAGCAUAUCCUAUCCGGAUAUUCUGUCCGGAUGAAAAGAAGAGAAAAGAGCCCACAUUCCGCCGCCCACCGAUGGUGUGUCCGGACGCCCUGUCAGGAUGAUAGCAUAUCCUAUCCGGACAGCUCUUCAUUGCUUUGCCAUGGAUUCCAAAGAACUCUCCUUAAUCUUGGAUUGCUUUGGUGAUCAAAUUACUAACAAAAAACACCAAAACUUACACAAUUUGAUUAGAAUUGAUUGUAAGGGUCCUUAAUAUGUUAAUUGGGUUAAAAGGCGAUAACUACUACUCAAAAGUGUUUGAAAGAGUUAAUUACAAGCUAUGAAAUAACACUUUUUGAGUAGUAAUCAGUUUCACUUAAAAACCAACCUUUUUCAACCAAAGAUUAUGUUUUCUUUUAAAGCUAACCUUGAAAUGAAAAGGCACCAAUUCAUCUUUGAAUUAAUAUCAAUUGUGAAGUGAAAACCCAUCCCAGUGAACGACCCUAGAGCCACUAUGCUAUGCUAGCUAAGGCUAUCCUAGUACAAGGUGUAAUAGGUUAUAAAUUUUGUUGAUUACUCCCUUCUGAGGACCACAAUCAAGGGACACCAGCUAAACACGAAUCAGCUAAGACACCAAUUGGAAACGAAUCACAUUGGCAUCACACAUCACUUCAAAAGGUAGUUGCCAGUUAGGAGCCCUCACCAUUGGAGCGGUUGUCAAGAACUGCUUCAGUUGCUCAAAACUCUUUUGACAUUUUUCAUCACAUACAAAUUUAGCAUCCUUCAGCAAUAGUUCACAAAGAGGCUUUGAAAGUUUAAAGAAAUCUUUAAUAAACCUCCCGUAGAACCCAACAUGGCCAAGGAAUUGCCUCACUCCUUUUACAGCUGUUGGGGAUGGCAAUUUCACAAUAAGUUCCACCAUUGCUUUAUAAACUUCAAUGCCUUUCUUGGAGAUGAUGUGGCCAAGGACAAUUUCUUGUUGUACCAUAAAAUGACAUUUCUCCUAGUUAAGCACUAAGUCUUUUUCAAUGCAUCGGUUCAGAACAAUUCCAAGUUGACUAAACAUUCCUCAAAUGUGCUUCCAUAUAUGGUGAUAUCAUCUAUAAAAACUUCCAUAAUACGCUCCACCAUAUCACUGAAAAUGCUUAACAUACAUUGUUGGAAUGUUGCAGGUGCAUUGCAUAAACCAAAAGGCAUUCUUCUGUAGGCAUAUGUGAUUACUAAUCAAAAAGUGCUAUUUCAUAGCAUGUAAUUAACUCUUUUAAACACUUUUGAGUAGUAGUUAUUGCCUUUUAACCCAAUUAACAUGUUAAGGACCCUUGCAAUCACUUCUAAUCAAUUUGUGUAAAGUUUUGGUGUUUUGAUAGCCUUUUUGAUCACCAAAGCAAUAUGAGAUUGAGGAGAGUUCUUUGGAAUCCUUGGCAAAGCAAUGGAAAGCUCAAAAACAUGAAGAACCAAAGCUUUGAAGUCCUUUGCCAUAAGCAAAUCCGGAAUGCAAGGAAGGGAAGCAAAGAGAAAUCUGCCAUGAAGCAUUCUUGAUGACAGUCAUGUCAGCCACUUUUGGAGCACUUUCUAGAGUCCAAUUUAUGCAUGCUAUAUGUCGUUUCGAAGCUCAGGAAGUCAACAAUCCAAUGCUUCAAACAGUACAUGAUUCGGAGUUGAAAUGAAGGAGUUACAUCUAUUGGAAGCCAAUCACUCCAAGUUGAAGAAAGAAUUUUACACGGCUGCGAAAUCACCCUUUUGUUGCGAAAUGAUUUCGCAGCCAUCUUGCACAGUGCUCUGGAAUUUCUCCUGAAGUUUCCCGAUAUUUGCGACCGACUCUUUUAGAUCUUUUCUUCAGAUAUUUUUGUAUAAAUUUCCAUUCUUCUCCUUAUAAUCCACCAACCAUAAGAUUUCUUAGUUAGGAAGGUUGGAAAAACGUCUCUAUAUAUAUUCCCUUGCAUCCACUGUAAAAGAUAUAGAUAUAUCAUAUAUAGAAUCAACGAACAGAGCACUUGCUCUGUUUUUCAUAUAUAUUCUUGUUUUCUCGUUAGUUUUCUUUCUAGCCAAUCAAACUCUGAGGAUUUUUCCUCAGAGGAUGAGAGGCUAGGCUCUUCGUCUUUUGGAGUGAAGAAAGCCGGGUAAGUUUCCAAAUGCAUAAAUUGGAAGUUUUGUUGUUUUAGUUUUUAAUGAAGAGAAAGUGUGACCCGUUAAUGGUUUUUAUCUUUUUAGUUAACUUAAAACGCCUUUAAAUCACCUGGGCCAACACUUGGUAAGGCAAGUGAUCUUCGUCCAUGGAGAUGCACUAGUUUAUCUCUUGCGAGCUUUUGGUAGGUGGUUUGAAGGUAGGAUUUUCUAGAAUAGCCAACACUUGGUAAGCUUUUGGACUCCAAGGAGACAUCCAUUAGUUAUCUCUUGCGAGCUUUUGACGGGUAAUCCAAGGUUAAAGAUCACCUUGAAUGGCAAAUGCUAGGUGAGAGGCACGAGCCAUUGCAAGAUGCAUCAGUGAGAGGGAUUUAGUGUUUGAACCCAUUAAUGGGAAACAUCUGUACAACACCGGUUAGAGAAUUAACUAUAUGUUAAUUCUCUAAUGCGAGGAAAAGAAACAAGUGACCGAAACUCUCCUUUUUGUAUGAGGAACCUGAGCCUAGUGAUCUAAACUCCAAGAAACAUUUUUCUUUGUAAGUAAAAUCAGUUACUAUUUUUGGUUAGCUUAAAACCAAUCCUUUUUCAUUCAAACAUCCUUAUGUUUUCUUUUAAAGCUAACCUUGAAAUGAAAAGGCACCAAUUCAACUUUGAAUUAACAUCAUUUGUGAAGUGAAAACCCAUCCCAGUGAACGAUCCUAAAGCCACUAUGCUAUAGUAGCUUUGUCUUUGCUACCCUAGUAUAUGGUGUAAUAGGUUAUAAAUUUUGUUGAUUACUCCCUCAAUCAAGGAGCACCAGCUGGACAUGAAUCAGCUGAGACACCAAUUGGGCACGAAUCAAAUGGCGCCAUUGCCGGGGAUGGUGCCACUUUACAGUGAUAUCACCUUUUCAGAGUACUUGUGAUCUUCAUCACAAGUUUGGUGACUUUUCUUUUCCUUUUACUAACUCUUUUUAUUGUUCAUAUUUUAGUAUACCUUUUAUUUAGUUUUUAGUUUACCUUAAUUUUUUUUCUUUGAAUUGUUUUUCUUUUGUGUUCACUGUUUUAAAUUCACAAAUUGCUAGUUGUGCAUGCCAUAUUGAAUACCAUAGCAGAGAAAGCCAUGAACUUCAUGAGUUAUGUGGUUGAAGUCUCAAGAGGAUGGGAUGAACCAAAUGCUAGAGAUAUGGGAAGAAUGACGUCUCAACCUAAUGCUAAGGGUGAGAUGUAUAUUUUAAAUGACGGCAUAGACAUGAGGACAAAGUUUGCAGCUAUGGCAAGGAGAUUAGAAGAGCUAGAAAUGAAGAAGAUGCAUGAAGUGCAAGCCAUCUCUCAGACACCAUUGCAACCUAUGCCCUGUUCCAUUUGUCGAUCUUUUGAGCACUUGGGGGAAGAGUGUCCUACCAUUCCAGCCGUGAGGGAAAUAUUUGGUGAUUGCAACACCUACAAUUCCAAUUGGAGGGACCAUCCAAAUUUCUCUUGGAAACCACAGCCACCUCAGUAUCAGCAACCUGCUCAAGCACCACAGCAAGCCUCAAGCCUUGAACAAGCUAUGGUGAAUCUUAGCAAGGUCGUGGGAGACUUUGUUGGAGCUCAGAAAUCCAUCAAUGCUCAGUUCAGUCGAAGAAUUAACAGUGUAGAGAGUUCAUUGAUUAAAAGGAUGGAUGAAGUGCAAAAUGAUCUAUCUCAUAAGAUAGAUAAUCUCCAAGAUUCAAUCUCAAGGUUUGCCAACCUCAACAUAGUGCAAGAGAAAGAAAACUCUCCUUCUCAACCUUAUCAAAAUUCCAUGAGUAUCCAUGAAAUGGAGGCUAAGGAGGGAGAACCUUCACAAAAGAGGGAAGUUAAAGAAGUGAUCACUCUGAGGAGUGGUAAAGAGGUUGAUCUGCCCACAUGCAAGCUAGAGCAUAAGGUAGAGAGUGAAACAGAGAAAGAAAAGAGGGAGGAAAUCAAAGGAAAUAAAAAAGGGAAAAGCAUAGAGAAAGAUGACUAUAUAGAUGAAGAACCACAGAGGAUAGUCAUCAAGAAAGAAUUGAUGAAGAAACACAUGCCUCCACCUUUUCUCCAAGCUUUGUAUGAGAAAAUCAUACAAACCAAGUCUCAAGUGAGGGAUGCAAGCUUCAUAUGGGAUCCGGGCAAGUUAAAUCAGGAUCAAAUUUUUUUUAUGGACUUAGUCUUUCUAAAGACUAGCUAGUCCAUAUCUUUUUGUUUUACUUAUUACUUGUUUUAAUUUUGAUUUCAAUGCUUUAAUUCUAAUUUGUUUUUAUGUAAUAUAGGUUUUUGGAUGAUCAAAAUCAGGAGGAAUUGCAAAGAAAUUGAAGGAAAGUCGUUUGGAGUAAAAACGGAGAAAAAACAGGGCAAAAACAGGAGGAAAACAGGGGUCUGCGAGAUUUCGCAGCCUCAGGCCCCUCUCUGCGAAAAUUUUCGCAGCUGCGAAACCAAGUUUUGGCACACGAGUGCCAUUUCGCAGCACAGUGACUCCCAUUUCGCAGCUGCGAAACGGUUGCGAACCACCAAAGCAUGAAAGAUCCUAUUUUCGCAAGGAAAGCUCCAUUUCGCAGAGGAUUUCGCAGCUGCGAAACCACUUUUGGCACACGAGUGCCAUUUCGCAGCACAGUGACCCUCAUUUCGCAGUUGCGAAACGGCUGCAAAAUGCCAAAGCGUAAAAACUUCCAAUUUCGCAGCCAAAGCUCCAUUUCGCAGGGUGUUUCGCAACUGCGAAGCCACUUUUUGGCACACGAGUACCAUUUGGAAGCCCCGUACACUCAUUUCGUAGCUUUGAAAUGGCUGCAAAACCUCCACACCUUAAAAUCCUUCAGCGCGCACACCAUAAACAGACAUGUCACAACCGUACCCCCAUUUCGGCAACUGUUGGACACAAUUCGAUCACUUACUGAACCUCAAAUUAUACAUACCAUAUCUUGUUUCAAAUCUUGGGAAGUCAGGAGUCCAUAGCUUCAAACAGUGCUCGAUUUGGAUUUGAAACGGAAAAGUUAUGGCCGUUUGAAGAUGACUGUGCAAACCAUAAGCGGAAAUGUCGCACCUCCAUUUUGCUACUGUUGAACACAUUUUUGAAACACUUCCUGGAGCUCAAAUUAUGCAUACCAUAUCUCUUUUCAAAUCUUGGGAAUUCAGGAGUCCAUAGCUUCAAACGGUAUGCGAUUUGGAGAUGAAAUGAAGAAGUUAUGGCCAUUUGAAGACGAACAUGCAAAGCUGAGCGGGAAUUUUCUUCCCAUUUGGCUGCGAAAUGAUCUCCAAGCUUCAAAAUGGCUGCGAAAUCACUUUUGAGCAGCGAAAUGGCUAUGAAAUGAUCUCCAAGCUUCAAAAUGGCUGCGAAAUCACCUACAAGCUUCGAAAUGGCCUUCAAAUUGCGAAAUUGACUUGCAAAAUGGAGGGUGAUUUGCAAAAACACCUUGCAAAGCCAAGGAAAGUUGCUAAAAUGCCAACAGAGCCCCGCGACCAUGCAUAUGAAGAGGAGAGCCCCGCGCACCCUGAGAUCACACACACUAAGCCUCUCAUUCCAUUUCUGACUUCCUAAAACCAUCAGAGCCCAUAGCUCCAGCUCAGAGCUCAUAGCUCCAACUGAGAGCUCCAGUUGAAGAGACUAUGCCACCUAAGGAGACUACCAGAACAGAGGCCAAAGUCCUGAUCCAACCCAUUCAAGAGGCCACCACAGAUGCAUCAGCUCCACAGGACCCUACCAUUGCUUGAUCAUCUUUUUACUUUUUGUCUUUACAUAUUAUAUUAGUAUAGAUAAUUCCAUGUUUUGAUGUCUUAUAUUCUGAGAUUGGAUGUAUUACUGAUAAUACAUCAUAUAUAGACAUCAUUUUUGUUUAAACUUAGCAUUUUUCUAUUUUCACUAACUCUGUUGUUUUUUUGAAACAUGUGGUUUCUCCUAUACGACUCAGACUCCAUGUCACUCAGGAGGUACCAUUUCCUCCCUAUUUUUCAAUCGCUUUUGUCACAUUGAGGACAAUGUUCAGCUUGGUUGGGGGGAGAUUUGAGGAAGUAAGUAUUGUUAAUAAUGCUAAAUUAUUUUGGUAAUUUAGUUGCUUUUUGCUUAAUUUAAAAUUUUUUUUCUACUCUCCAUGGUUAUUAAGGAAAAAUUUUCAAAAUGAAAAGGGAGAAAUUGAAUUUUAGUCUUUUUACUUGACUUAGAUUUUGUAUUAUGCUUACUAAAGUUGAUGAAUUGUUGAAACUUCUAUUGAAUUCAACCUUAGUUCUUCCACUUUAAGCUAUUCACACACUGUGCACAAUAGGUUCCGAGUAUAAGAUGAAAAACUAUUUCCCUCUUGACUUAGGAAAAUUUUAGACUUGGUACCUUGACCUUAUUUAAUAGUGUUGGGACACCUUGUAAAAGGCCAAUGAGUCUUUGAAGAAAAAAAAGAAAGAAAGAAAAAAUGUUUGCUUGCCUUGAAACCCGAGCAAGGUCUGAGGGGUAUAUGGUGAAAAUCUUUAAAACCUGGUGCCCUAAGCCUUAAUUGGUUGGGAGUCACCGACCUCAAUGCUCGUUACAAGGGUGGAUAGGUGGAGUUUAACAUACUGUAGGUGCUUAGGUAUUAAAAUUCAUUCUCAAAAGUCCGGGGUAAAAUCCGAGGAGUUAGUGGUUGAAAGAUCCUUAAACCUUGAUGCCCUAAACCUUAAUUGGUUGGGAGUCAUCGAUGGACCCCCGUUACAUGGACAAUUUAAAAAAGAAUACCUUUAAGCCUUGUACUCCUACAAUGAAAAAAUUGUGAAAAAAGAGGUGCGUUCCUAACCUAUUAGAGGUUGAUCAGUUUGCUAAGCUUUGAAAAAGAACUAGGUUGGGGGGAGAGAUUAGUUUGACAUACUAUAUUCGGAAGCUAAUAAAUAACACUUAGAUUUUUGUGGAAGAGUAAGGUUUGACCCUUUGGGAGUGGAAACUCUUUUAAAGCUUAAAUUUGCAUAAUGCCUUCUCUUUAUGAAUUGUGAUUAGACAAGUUAUUUAAUAACUCUUGUUGAAGUUUGAUUUUUAUUUCUUUAAUGUUCCAUGUGAGAGUUAGAUCACAUCAUGCCACUUGAAAAUUGUUUUUUGAUCAGCAUGAUGUUGUAAAUUAUAGUAAUGAUUAUUUUUAUUUUUCUCUCCUUCAUUGCUAAGGGACUAGCAAUAUGUCGGUUGGGGGGAGUGAUUACUACUCAAAAAGUGCUAUUUCAUAGCUUGUAAUUAACUCUUUUAAACACUUUUGAGUAGUAGAUAUUGUCUUUUAACCCAAUUAACAUGUUAAGGACCCUUGCAAUCACUUCUAAUCAAUUUGUGUAAAGUUUUGGUGUUUUGAUAGCCUUUUUGAUCACCAAAGCAAUAUGAGAUUGAGGAGAGUUCUUUGGAAUCCUUGGCAAAGCAAUGGAAAGCUCAAAAACAUGAAGAACCAAAGCUUUGAAUUCCUUUGCCAUAAGCAAAUCCGGAAUGCAAGGAGGGGAAGCAAAGAGAAAUCUGCCAUGAAGCAUUCUUGAUGACAGUCAUGUCAGCCACUUUUGGAGCACUUUCUGGAGUCCAAUUUAUGUAUGCUAUAUUUCUUUUCGAAGCUCAGGAAGUCAACAAUCCAAUGCUUCAAACGGUGCAUGAUUCGGAGUUGAAAUGAAGGAGUUACAGCCAUUGGAAGCCAAUCACUCCAAGUUGAAGAAAGAAUUUUACACGGCUGCGAAAUCACCCUUUUGUUGCGAAAUGAUUUCGCAGCCAUUUUGCACAGUGCUCUGGAAUUUCUCCUGAAGUUUCCCGAUAUUUGUGAUCGACUCUUUUAGAUCUUUUCUUCAGAUAUUUUUGUAUAAAUUUCCAUUCUUCUCCUUGUAAUCCACCAACCAUAAGAUUUCUUAGUUAGGAAGGUUGGAAAAACGUCUCUAUAUAUAUUCCCUUGCAUCCACUGUAAAAGAUAUAGAUAUAUCAUAUAUAGAAUCAACGAACAGAGCACUUGCUCUGUUUUUCAUAUAUAUUCUUGUUUUCUCGUUAGUUUUCUUUCUAGCCAAUCAAACUCUGAGGAUUUUUCCUCAGAGGAUGAGAGGCUAGGCUCUUCGUCUUUUGGAGUGAAGAAAGCCGGGUAAGUUUCCAAAUGCAUAAAUUGGAAGUUUUGUUGUUUUAGUUUUUAAUAAAGAGAAAGUGUGACCCAUUAAUGGUUUUUAUCUUUUUAGUUAACUUAAAACGCCUUUAAAUCACCUGGGCCAACACUUGGUAAGGCAAGUGAUCUCCGUCCAUGGAGAUGCACUAGUUUAUCUCUUGCGAGCUUUUGGUAGGUGGUUUGAAGGUAGGAUUUUCUAGAAUAGCCAACACUUGGUAAGCUUUUGGACUCCAAGGAGACAUCCAUUAGUUAUCUCUUGCGAGCUUUUGACGGGUAAUCCAAGGUUAAAGAUCACCUUGAAUGGCAAAUGCUAGGUGAGAGGCACGAGCCAUUGCAAGAUGCAUCAGUGAGAGGGAUUUAGUGUUUGAACCCAUUAAUGGGAAACAUCUGUACAACACCGGUUAGAGAAUUAACUAUAUGUUAAUUCUCUAAUGCGAGGAAAAGAAACAAGUGACCUAAACUCUCAUUUUUGUAUGAGGAACCUGAGCCUAGUGAUCUAAACUCCAAGAAACAUUUUCCUUUGUAAGUAAAAUCAGUUACUAUUUUUGGUUAGCUUAAAACCAAUCCUUUUUCAUUCAAACAUCUUUAUGUUUUCUUUUAAAGCUAACCUUGAAAUGAAAAGGCACCAAUUCAACUUUGAAUUAACAUCAUUUGUGAAGUGAAAACCCAUCCCAGUGAACGAUCCUAGAGCCACUAUGCUAUAGUAGCUUUGUCUUUGCUACCCUAGUAUAUGGUGUAAUAGGUUAUAAAUUUUGUUGAUUACUCCCUCAAUCAAGGAGCACCAGCUGGACACGAAUCAGCUGAGACACCAAUUGGGCACGAAUCAAUAUGUUCCAAAUGGACAUGUGAAAGUGGUUUUCUCCUGGUCUUCAACAUCAAUUUCUAUUUGAAAAUACCCGGAGAAGCCAUCCAAGAAACAAUAGAAAGGAUGGCCUAAGACUCUCUCCAACACUUGAUCAAUAAAUGGCAAUGGAAAAUGAUCGUUCCUUGUCACAACAUUCAAUUUUCUAUAAUCAAUACACACCCUCCAACUUGAAGUGAGGCGUGUAGCAACUUCUUCUCCCUUAUCAUUUUGCACUACUGUGAUCUCUGAUUUCUUUUGCACUACUUGAGUAGGACUCACCCAUGGGCUAUCUGAUAUGGGGUAGAUAAUACCGGCCUGAAGUAGCUUAAGAACUUCAGUUUGCACCACCUCUUGCAUAUGAGGAUUCAAUCUUCUUUAAGGUUGACGAAUUGGCUUAUUUUCUUCUUCUAUGUACAUAUGAUGCGUACAGACUAAAGGGCUGAUACCUUUCAAGUCAGAUAUUUGCCAUCCUAUUGCUUUCUUACAUCUCUUGACAACUUCAAGUAAACACUCCUCCUGAGGAGUGGUAAGAGAUGAAGAUAUAACAACAAGGCACUUCUUAUUCUCUUCUAGGUAUGCAUACUUCAACUCCGUGGGUAAUGGCUUCAAACUAAGCUUUGGGGCCUUCUCUUUAACAGCUUCUUGUAUCUCCUCCUCAUUGAACAAAGGUAGAAUUUCUUUUAUCCUCCUCUAACCUGGUAGAGUAGCAAGCAAAUUUGAGGGUUCAGGCAACCCUUCAUCAAGAUCCCUAAGACUUUCAUUCAACUUCUCUUGUAUUUUCUAAUUACAAUGCUCCUCCACUAAAGUGUCAAUGAUGCACACCUCUUUUGGACCUUCUUAUUCUUUCAGCUUGAUUGGCUUCUUGGACAUAUAGAAGAUAUUGAGUUCCAAUGUCAUGUUCCCAAACAUGAGUUGCAUGAGUCCAUUCCUACAAUUGAUGAUUGCAUUUGAUGUAGCUAGGAAUGGUCUUCCAAGUAUGAUAGGAACAUAAUUCGUUUCCUUGACAAUUGGGUCCGUAUCAAGAACAAAAAAAUCCACUGGAUAGUAGAAAUUGUCAACUUGAACUAAGACAUCUUCAAUCAUCCCUCUUGGAAUCUUCACUGAUCUAUCUGCUAGAGAUAGAGUGAUUGAUGUUGGCUUCAAUUCACCAAGUCUCAAUUGCUUGUAGACAGAGUAUGGUAGCAAAUUCACACUUGCCCCCAAGUCCAACAAAGCUUUCUCCACUAAAGUCCCUCCAAUCAUCACUGAGAUGGUAGAGCAGCCUGAAUCUUUGUACUUCACUGGAGACUUGCACUGUAUGAUGGCACUUACUUGCUCAAUCAAGAAGGUUUUCUUAUUCACAUUCAACCCUCUUUUGAUAGUGCACAAGUCCUUCAGGAAUUUUUCAUAAGUCGGCACUUGUUUGAUCAUGUCUAGCAAUGGGAUGUUGACCUUCACUUGCCUCAAUACUUCAAGAAUUUCUGAUGCAUUGCUGAUUCCCUUUUUCCCAUGCAAAGAUUGAGGAAAAGGUGGAGGCAUGUGUUUCUUCAUCACAUCUCCAUUGAUAACUAUCUUCUCUGGAUCUUCAUUCACUAUUGAAUCAUGGUCCUCUUUCCUUCCAUUGCUUCAUUUCUUCUUUCCUUUGAUUUCCUCCAUUUUCUCUGUCUCUUUUUCACUCUUUGUUUCAUCAUGUGGCUUGGGUGUUGGUAGCUCAACCUCUUUACCACUCCUCAGAGUGAUCACGGCUUUGAUGUCCCUCACAUGUGAAGAUUCUCCCUUAUGAGCUUCCACUUCAUGGAUACCCUUGGGGUUUUGGUGAGGUUGAGAAGGAAACCUUCCCUUCUCUUGCACUGUGUUAAGGUUGGUGAGCCUUGAGAUUGAGUAUUGGAGAUUAUCUAUCUUUUGAGAUAAAUCGUUUUGCAUUCCAUCCAUCAUUUUAUUCAAUGUAUUCUCUACACUGUCAAUUCUUUGAUUGAGUUGAGCAUUGAUAGAUUUCUGGCCUCCAACAAAAUCUCCCACGAUUUUGCUUAGAUUCACUAUUGCUUGCUCAAGAUUUGAAGCUUGUUGAGAUGCUUGGCCUGGUUACGUGUACUGAAGUGCUCUUGGUUUCCAGGAGAAAUUUGGAUGGUUCCUCCAAUUUGAAUUGCAGGUAUUUCCAUAUGAAGCAUUGUUAUUGGUCUUGAAUUGUCCAAUGAUAUUCGCUUGAUCCCCAAACAUUUCUCUAACACCUGGAAUUGUAGGACACUCCUCCACCAAGUGCUCAUAAGAUUGACAAAUGGAACAAGGCAUAACUUGCAUUGGUGUUUCAGAAACGGCUUGCAUUUCACGUAUCUUUUUUAGUUUUAGCUCCUCCAAUCUUCUUGUCAUAGCUCCAACUUUUGCUUUCAUGUCAAUAUUUUCGUUCAAGGUAUACAUCCCAACCUUAACUUUAGGAUCAUUUGGUUGAGACUUCAUUUUUCCCACUUCUCCCUUGUUCGGUUCAUCCCGUCCUCUUGAAACUUCAUCAACAUAAUUCAAGAAAUCCAUGGCUUCCUCCGGAUUCUUACUCAUGAAAUCUCCUCCACACAUAGUCUCUAGGAGUUGCUUCAUUGAGGACGACAUACCGUCAUAAAAGUAGCUUACCAAUAGCCAUGUAUCAAAGCCAUGGUGAGGACAAGCAUUGAUAGCUUCCAUGUAUCUCUCCCAACACUCAGAAUUUCUCAUUCUCUUUAGCUGAGAAGUUUGAAAUUUGCCUUUUCAAGCCAUUGGUCCUAUGAGUAGGAAAAAAUUUCUUGAGAAAUUUAGCUUGCAAAUUAGUCCAAGUUCGGAUAUUCCUUGGCCUUAAAGAAUUAAGCCAAAUCUUGGCCUUAUCCUUUAGAGUGAAAGAAAAUAGUUUUAGCCUCAUCAAGUCAAUUGAAGCUUCGGCCUCUUGGAAUGUAUUACAAACAUCUUCAAAGUCUUUGAUGUGCGCGUAGGGAUUCUCACUUUCCAUCCCAUGGAAAGUAGGUAGAAGUGGCACAAUAUGCAGUCUGAUUACUAGCUGCUCUGUAAGAGGCACUAUGCAUGAUGGUGCACUCAUACGAGGUGUAUGCAUGCGGUCCCUCAUUGAUCUGAAUGCAUUGGGAUUGUCCUGUUGACCAUGGUGACUAUGUUGAUCUUCAGGUGUAGCUUCCAUGAUGUUCAAGCACAAUUCCAACUCUGUUUAGUGAGGUGUUUCAAUUUUUACAAGUCUUCCUCCACUGCCUCGUAUCCAAUAUGGCAUACACAACUAGUAACAACUGUAACAAAAACAAAGAAAACAAUACUACAAAAAAAAAAAAAAACUAAGAUUAACUAAAAACUAAAUUAAAAGAUAGGCUAAAAUAUGAACAAGUAAAAGAAACAAUUAAAAAUAGUUAGUAAAAGAAAAGAAAAAUCACCAAACUUGUGAUGAAGAUCACCAAACUUGUGAUGAAGAUCACAAGUGUUUUGGAAAAGGUUAUAUCACUAUAAAGUUGGCACCAUCCCCGGCAAUGACGCCAUUUAAUUCGUGCCCAGCUAGUGUAUGCCUUGUUGAUUAGUGUUUAAUCAACUGGUGUACUAUGAUUUCGGUCCUCAGACAGGAGUAAUCAACAAAAUUUAUAAACCUAUUUCCUCAUAUACUAGGGUAGCAUUAGCUAGCAUAGCAUAGUGGCUCUAAGAUCGUCCACAGGGAUGGGUUUUCAAAUUACAACUGAUAUUAAUUCAAAAACUGAAUUGGUGCUUUUUUUUUUCAAGGUUAGCUUUAAAAGAAAACAUAAAUAUGUUUGAAAAGAUUGGUUUUAAGUGAAACAAAAAAUAAAGUAACUGAAAUUACUUAUAAAGAAAAUUGCUUCUUGGAGUUUUAGAUCACCAGGCUCAAGUUCGUCAUACAAAAAAGGAUAUUCUGGUCACUUGGAUCUUUUCCUCGCAUUGGGGAUUUAACAUAUAGUUAUUUCCCGAACCGGUGUGGUACAGAUGCUUCCCCUUAAUGGUUUCAAACACUAAAUCCCUAUCACUGAAUCAUCUUGCAAUGGUUCAUACCUCUCACCUAGUAUUGGCCAUUCAGGGUGAUCCUUAACCUUGGAUUACCCGUCAAAAGCUCACAAGAGAUAACUAAUGGAUGUCUCUUGGGAGUCCAAAAGCUUACCAAGUGUUGGCUAUUCUAGAUAAUCCUACCUUUAAACCACCUCCUAAAAGCUCGCAAGAGAUAAACUAGUGUAUCUCAAUGGACGGAGACCACUUGCCUUACCAAGUGUUGGCCUAGGUGAUUUUAAGGGAUUUUAAGUUAACUAAAAAGAUAAAAACCAUUAACGAGUCACACUUUCUCUUCAUUAAAAACUAAAAUAACAAAACUUCCACUUUUGCAUUUGGAACCUUACCUAGCUUCCUUCACUCCAAGAAAUAAAAAGCCUAGCCACUCAUCCUUUGGGAAAACAUCCUCAGAGUUCAAUUUUCUAGAAAUAAAAAUAACGAGAAAACAAAAUGAGAAGGUAAGGCAGAGCAAAGCUCUAUGUAUUACUUUCUGAAAAACUAUACAAAGUGUUGUCUCCGAGAAAAACUCCUGAGAGAUCCUUUUAAAAGAAAAAUUACAAUAGAUAUUAUAUAGAGAGGCUAUUCACCCCUCCUACUAACUUCCCAACCAAGAAAACUUGUCAUUGGUGGGUUACAAGGAGAAAAUAAGGAUUUACACACAAAUAUCUGAAGAUAAAUAUCAAAUGGAGUCGGUGAGCAAAUAUCUCAAAUUACAGGUGGAUUUCACAAGUUCAAAUGCAACUUGCGAAAAUUUCGCAAGUUGAAAUAAUCCAUUUCGCAAGUUGCGUAAUUGUCCUAUAACUUAUUAGCUCUAUGUCGUGCAGUGAUUCCUUUCUCUUCCUAUUUCGGAAGUUGCGAAAAUUUCGCAAGUUGGAUUCCAUAACUUGCGAAAUUGCUGGAUGGUUGAUUUCUUCUGUGUUUUUCUUCCUUGCAUCCUCAUUUGAUUUUGGCAAAGGGUUAUGAAGCUCCAAAGCUUAGUUUUUGCAGGAAUUUGAGCUUCAACUUGCUUUGCCAUGAACUAUACAAAGAUUUCCCUCAUUCUUAGAUUGAUUUGGUGAUAAAAAAGCUAUCAAAAACACCAAAACUUAACAUAAUUUGAUUAAAAACGAUUGCAAGGGUCCUUAACAUGCCAAUUGAGUUAAAAGGUAAUAACUACUACUCAAAAAUGUUUAAAAGAGUUAAUUACAAGCUAUAAAAUAACACUUUUUGAGUAGUAAUCACUCAAGCAAGGAGCAGUGAUCAACCCACCAAAGUGGGCUUGAGAGGUAAUGAAUUUUCAGCCAAGAUUCUUUCACAUAAAUUUGAUUUGGAAGUCUUUUAAAACCAAACCUCUUUGAGAUUUACUCCUAUGUAUACCUCCUUAUAAUCCCUUAAGGGUUAGAGAUCGAAAAGAGAUCAUAGAGAGUUUAAAGAGAUUUCAAAAUGGAGUCUCCUAGAGUGAAAGCCUAAAGGGCCACAACAUUCAUAAUCUCUCAUUCAAGGAUUUGAUAUUUGAAUCUUGGUUUGAAGACCUUCAUCCCUUCAACAAGGCUGAAGUGUAUUCAUUGGAGCAAUCAAAGGUUGCUACAUCGUAGAUGUGGUUCAAGUUGUAGGUACUGAAGAGCAAGUCUUUAGGGUAAAGGAGCCAGGUAAAUCUGUGUAACUUGAUUUCAUAUAAUGGAUUUAGAUUAGUGGGUCUUAGACGUCAUGGUUUUUUAUCUCCAUAGUUAAUGUGGGGGGUUUUCCAUGUAAAAAUUCGAUGCCCAUUGCAUAUCUGUUAAUGUCAUUACUAUAUCUUUGAAUACUUGAUUAUCAUUGUUAUCCCUAACAACUUGUAGGUUAUCCCUAAUAGAUUAAAACUAUAUUUUAAUUCUUAAAGAUUUCAAGUAUAAUUCAUUUGGUUAUACAAGGUAUCCUUGGGAUCUCUUAGGAUAAAAUUUGAGGAUAAUAUAUAUAAAUAUUUAUUUUAAAUUUUAAAAACACCCAUUCAUCCCCCCUUUGGGUGUUCCCUAUUGGACUUUUGAUUUUUUAUGGGUGAUCCUAAAUUAAGGAAUUACUAAGAGGUUGUGAUUUUGGUAGUAUUUAAUGGAAUAAAUUCUUAUGAAGUUUUCAUGAGAGUAUUUAUUAAAUUGGAAAGGUGCAAGGACAAGGAGAGUAAAUUUGUGAGGAAUUUUAAAUAUGAGAGAAAAAUUUCCUUUAGUAGAUAAGGUGCUCUCAAGAUUUUCAAAAUCUCAUAAAUUGUUAAUUUCCUUAUUUCACUAGAGUUUCCAAUUUGGAAAUUUUCAUUAGAGAUAAUUUAUCAUUAAAAGAUUAUUACCAAAAGGCUUAGUAAUUUGAUGGAAAUAAAUUUUUUUUGAAACAUUUCCAAGAUAAAAUAUUUAUUAAUUGGAUUUGUGUAAGAGAAAGAGAAUUCAUUCUCUUAUUACACUAGGUUUCCAAUUAUGAAAUAAAUAUUUUUGGAAAUUCUCAAAAAUAGAUAAUUUAUUCAUCAAAGUAAUUACUAAGGAUUUAAAAUGUUCUUAUCUAUCUUAAAAUAUUAAGUGGGAGAGGGUUCUAAGCAAGCCCACGACCUCCAUUGUCAAGCCCAUUUUGAUUUGGGUUCAUCACCACCCUUUCAAGAUGUAUUGGAAAAAAGAACUAGAUUGUGUAAUGAUGCACUAAAAAAGAAUACAUGCCUAAAAUAUAUGAUCCUUUCUUGAGUAGACCAUAUCAUGGAACAAUAAAAAAAAUGUUUUCACCUUCAAUCAUAAAUGACACUUCUAGAGAAAAUUAUAUUAGACAUGUUUGCAGUGGGAGUGACCACCGCUUCAAUGAGGUUCUUUACUUGGUGACAUUAAUAGUUCAAGAACAAUGGUUAUACACUUGACAUUGCAUAUGAAGUAGUAGAAUCACCCCCAUGUGGUCCUGUUUGCAUUGUCCAUAGGCCAAAUUUAGAAAGUAUGUUGAUCUUAGCUUUAUAUACCUUCAUGUUUAAGACAGGAAGAUCAAUUUGAGAGAGUCUCUAACUAGUAAUAAGGUCAUGAUAUGCCCCACGUAAGCUUGAUUCUUAUGAUACUAGGAUACUUUGCAAAAGGACAUGUAGUUUGAGAGCACUAGAUUUUUGCUAAAUUAAUUACCAAUUGCCUUGAAUGCACAAUUAUGUCAUAUGCAUGGUUAUUUUCUUUGUUACAUAUAUCAUAUUGGUUAUUUAUUAUCACUUUGGACAAAACCCAACUAAUCAUUUGGACUUAGUAUUAUUCCAGAUAUAAUAACUAUGUACUUGCAUAGAAGCUAGUUUAAGUAGAGCUAGCUAAUCCUUAUGAAUAACCUAGCAAAAAAAAAUAGUGGCGUAUUAGAGGUGGUAUUAGAAGAGUUAGAAGACCAAGUGUUUAAUACUUUAUCUUUAGAUAAUGUGUUGCAAUAACAACAUGUGUCUAUUAGUAGGGACUUUGAUAUUCUAUUUUUAGUCUACAAGGAUUAUUUGGUUAUAAGGGCAGGUUAACUUAAAGAAGCUACCCUUAGGACUAUUAUGAACAUCGGAUUUUAUAUGGUCUUGAGGACCUUGCCAGUUUCUUCAGGAUGGUUAAAGGGAUUCUUAAAGAACAUAGGGUUAUAUAAAUACUUUCUUACCAAAUCAAGAUGACCCUUUUGGGCUAGAUUAAGUGACCCAAGCCUUGAUAGGCUCAAGUCACUUAAGCCCAGUGGACAAUGCUAUAAAUACCCCCUUAUUCAAUUAGUCGUCUUCCACUUUUAGAAAGAAAAAGAGAGCUAAAGCUUUUUUCUUUCCAUUACCCAUAGUUUGGAAUGCCAAGAUCGUGGUUCAAGUCUUCGGAUGAAAGAUCUUGGGUGUAUGAGACCUUUAAACUUUUUCUUUUCCACGUGGAAUUGAUCUAGGAACAUCCAGAUCCAAGUAUGAGUACUACAUAUCUAGAUCUAUAAUUAAUGAUGAUUUUUAUUGCCAUUUUACUCACUAUGAUAGAUUUAAAGAUGCCUAGGGAUAGAUGCAUGCACCCCACAAGAUCUAGGGACAAGGAAUAGAGAUAUUUAGGUUUCCCAACACUAUCACCAAUAACACACUAAGAGCUAUAAAUUAUGCACUCAGUGAAAUAUGAUGAGAAUAGCACCCUCUAAGGGUGAUAAACAAUAUUUUACACUUAGAGAGCACUUCAAUAGCGCAACUUUAAGUGAUAGUGUAGAUUGCAUGUUUAGGAAGCCACCAUAUUACACACUUAAAGAACUCUUCUCAAAUUGCGCUUGGUUAAAUAGUGCACAUUUCUUAGGCAUCCAACAAUGGCACACCCAACAUAGGAGAACCCUUUGUAGGUUGUGCACUCUAAAGGCAUCAAUCCACAUUGUACACUUGGAGAAGUGCACUUAAAGUGUACACCAUUGAGUAAAGGUUUAGAUUGCUCACCUAAGAGUUAGGCUACAUAGUGUACCUCCUAUUAUGCACUAGCAGAACCUCUAUCAAGCUAUGCACCAUUCAAGCGCACCUUAUCCCAACAUGUAUAGUGCUCACAAAACUAGUAACCAUUAGUGCAUUAUUCAUUCAACAAUAAAUCAAAUGCAUAUCAAUAUUCAUUAAUGCGCAAUUUUGUCACCAAUAACUUAGUACACUUCCCCUUAAUAAAGCGUCUUCUCUCACUUCAAGAAGUGCACCCCAUAACUCAUCUCACUACAUUAUCCUAAUAACUUCACCAGGCAUGAGCUCCAAAAAUUAAUCUUUCAUCAAGUUGCAUACCAAAUAGUGCCCCUAAGGCUCCUAAAUGUUCAAUCAUCACAUCAUUAUGUUGCCACACUAACAAAACAAGAAGUGCAACCACCAUUCAUACUACACUGACAUGUUUUGACUAAAACGACCACAUCGAUACAUUACUUAUUAGGAUAGAGCCUUUAAAAGGAUGAUGUGAUGUAAUAAACUUUUGGAUUUUAUUGUUUAUUAAAAAAAUUUCUAGUUCACUUUUAUAUAUCUUAAUUUCGCACAUUAUACUUUGUAAGAAAUCUAAUCUGUAUCUUUUGCAUUGUAUAUGACUUGGGUACAUUGGCAAUUGCAUGGAAGAUUCAAGUCACGAGUUCCUUGCAAGUAGAUGACUAAUUCACAACCAAUUUGUGGGCUUCCCAUUAGAAGUUCUAGUGCACUACCUCCUAAUUCAAGAGAUGGUUGGUCUUGGUCAUUAGGAUGGGUUUCUCAUGGUGAGUAUACUAGUACAUAUAGCUACACAUUGGAUAAGACAUACGACGAGUCAUGAUUUAAGGCAAUGAAGUAGUCGUGACGCUACCAAGAUUCUUUAUUAUAUUGUUUCUCACCCUUGAGAGAAUAUUAAGAUUGUGUUAAAGUUAGCAGUAGCUUUGACCAAUAGGUGAGAGAUCAUAAGUUGAUCAUAUAUUUCUUAUCGAUUAGGUCGCUAUUAGUGGAAGUUGGUAGCAAUAUGUAUCUUGAUAGAGGCACCAUGAUAUCUCAUGGAAUUGAAAUAGAGUGUCUCUUUGGUGAUCUUAAGGAGAUGCGUUCAUGUAAAUUAUGACUAUAAUAAUUCCUUAAGUGGAACUUGGCAUAUGAUCUUAGAGAACUAAGAUAUGUUAGUUGAAUACACAAUAGGAAGAUCUAUAACUCAAAGAUAUUAGAGCUAGUAUUGAGAUGUUGAUAACUUUCACCUUAUUAGAUUAUGGACACCAAUUUGUAGGGAGAUUGAAUGCAAUAGAUGGUAGAUCACGAACCCGAGCACUUAAUGUCUCAUUAUUAUUAACAUAAGGUAUUGGAGUGCAAUUGAAUCUCUAUAAUAGGAUGUUGAAUCAACUUUAGAAUUGGAUCCUAUAGGACCAUUCCAAUGGUCCUUGCUUGAGCUCUUAUACCUUAAUGACACAAUCUAUGAGGUUUGGAUUAACUUCAGGUCCACUUUUGUGCAUAAGGGCAUUUUGGUAAUUACAUAAGGUUACAUAACUGUUAGUGAAUAAAGUCUUUACAUUGAAUUAUUUAGGACCUACUUUUUACUAGAUUAAGUAGCGUAAGCCCUUGGUGGGCACAAGUCACUUAAGCUCAAGUAGGGAACCUUAUAAAUACCCCUUAGGGGUUAGGGUUUCCAUCACUUUUUGAAGUGAACCAUCUUCCACCAUCUUCCACCAUCUUGAGAGAAAGAAAAAACAAGAGCCAUAGCCUCCACCCUCCCUUCCUCCCCACUUGUUGUGUGUUAAGAUAAAAAAGAGCCAUCAAGUGGAAGAUAUUAUGUAUUUGAGACUCUAACAACUUUGAUUUUCAACUUCACUACAUGGACUAGAUUUAGGAACAUCAAAAUCUUAGAUAAUGUUUUCUAAUGCAUAUUUUGAAUCUUAUUAUUGUUUUAAAAAAUGUAAUUUGGUCUUUGUGCAUUGGAUUUAGCUUUGGAAGAUUUGCAUGUACUUAACUUGAUCCUAGAAUAGGAAAUGAAGAGAUUUGAGUUUCCCCACAUCACCUACAUGGGCAAGAGGUGUAGCUUAGAGGAAUAAAUUUGAAGUAAUAAAAAGGAGAGAGAUUUUUCACCUAUAAAUAUGGGAACUGUAGAUAGCAGUCUCUUUUACAGGGAGACUUUCUUAGAGGUGGCACCUUAUCUCUUAGAGAGGAGAUACAUUCUUUUCUUCUGGAGUAAAGGUGUUAAGAAAAUAAGUUAGUUUUUUUUUCUCUCUUUUCCUAUUCUUGUAAUUUAUUUUUUAUUUUAGUAAAGUUUUUUGUUUUUAAUUUCAAUAAAGAUUUUGGUCUUAAAUUUUAAUAAAGUUUUUUGUUUCAACUUGAUGUUUCUAUAUUCAUUUUUGUGUGUUUUCUUUUCUAUCCUUGUGUUUUUGUUUCUUAGUUUGUGAAGGGGACUAAGGUCUCGUAUCUUUGUUUGAUUCACCGUGAUUUAGCUAUCUAUGGUUGAAAAAGGCUCUACUAAGGUCUAUGGUCAUGAGAACCAAAAUGAGUCUCCACAUGCCAGAGUUAAUGGUUAUGAGGACCAAAAAGAGUAACCAUGGUCAUGAAUCUAUUAGAUAAGAACAAACUUUUUGACAUAAGAAUAAACCCAUCUAAAUCAUUUGAUUGAGAUGACCAAAAGGAGAAAUUAGAUCUAGUUGAGCCUUUGUUGAGGUGGUUGAUUCUCUUAUUAAAUAGAACCAUGUUUUUGGUGCAAAACCCUUUGCUCGAUCUAAAAGCCACAAGCACUAGGCUAGGACCAAGUGAGUGAGUUAAGCUUGAGAGAAGGAAUUUCAAUGACUUUCCUAUCUAGAAGCCUGUGUUCUUUUUCUUUUCAAUUUAUAGAUUUCCUACCUCUUCCCACCCAAAAAAAGGAAGAAAAAAAACACUAAAAAUAUGUUUCAUCCUACACACUCACACCCUAGGUUCCCACCUCUGAUAUUGUCAAUCCUAAGUUAUUUAUGGAGACGACCUAAUCUCUAUACAACUAUUAGUUCCUCUUUGUUUCUUUAGUUUAAGAACUAAAAGUUUCAAUUACUAAACUAGUUUAAAUUUUGCUUGAAUAAAAUUUUAUUAUCAAAUCAUUUUCACAUUAAUUUUAUUAUUUUAUUUUUAAACCUGCAAAUACAAACCCGAACCAAAUAACACUCUUGUUGUCACAAUACAUAGGAGUAGGACGAGAAAGAGAAACACCGAUAUCAACAAGUAACCAACAUUACAAAACUAUCUUUCUAGUGGUAGAUGGAAUAUUAUGAAACAAUAGUUUGUUUCUUGGUCUUUUUAAAACAAAAAGGCAAAUCCCCCAAUAAAAUAUACAAAAUCUAGUAAUAGACUUGAGAUCCUCAAGAUCACAAACCCAUAAUCAGUAUCAAAAUAUGCAUGCAACUCCAAAGAGGAAGUGGAUAGAAGUAGAAGGCUCCAAAAUAAAGUGCCCUUAAUAUACCAUAGAAUAUGAAGAACAACUACCCAAUGAACUAUAGUAAGGGAAGCAACAAAUUGAUUAACAAUGUGAAAAACAUAAAUAAUGUACCAUCAGAAAAAGAAUAAUGAACAUUAACUUCAAGAGGAGUAUCAAUAGUCUUAAUAUCAAUAAGGUGAGUACAAUUGAGAAUAUCAACUAUGUAUUUAAACUACGAGAGACGAAACUUUUUAGAGAAUAAGCUAUCUCAAUACCCAAAAAGCAUGGUAGAAAGCUCAAAUCCUUCAUAAGAAACUAAGUUUGAUUUCAACAUUACAAUUCCAUCAACAUCAUCACGUAUGAUAAUCAUGUCAUCAACAUGUAGAGAAAGUAGAAUACCCAUUGUAAAUUAGGUGGAAUUAAAAUGAAUGAAUGGUUUUUUCUAUUCUCUUUUUAUUUAGCAAAUCCUUUUGAUGCCCAUUGUAUGCUUCUUGUGUAGCUGGGGUAUAUAGUUUUCUUUAAAUUUUAUAAUAUGCUCUUCUAGCUUAUUAGAAAAUCAUAAAGAGGACCCCUUUGGCUUUUUUUUAUAUUAUUUUUCUAUACUUAAAUGACAAAAAUGAUGAUUGAGGUUUGGCUUUCUUGCUUAUAUAUACUCUUUUGGUAAAUGCUUCAAAGCAUAUUCAUGAUACUAUCCUCUUAAUCUUGAGGAUGAGGUAGCAAAACUUCACGAAGGUAUUUGCAAAGUAGAAUGUACAACUUCUAGAUUAAAUUUGUUUGGAACUGUUUAUAAAGUUUGGAUUUGAAAUUAUUAUGAACUAUUUUUAAUAAAGUAUGAUUUUUAGAAACCUUAUCAUGUAAUCUAUUUAUACAAAUAAUAAUAAUAAUAAUUUCGAUGUCUUCUACAAUAUGUUUUCACUUCUAUAUUGUCUAAAUAACAUUUUCUAAUAUGUUGUCAUAUGUAUGUUUUCUAAUAUUAAUUUCUUCCAAUAUUUUACUUGGGAAUGAAAAUGAAAUACUAUAAUAACAACAUUUAGUUUGAACUAAGUUAAUUUAAUUUUGUUUUUUUCCCUACACACACAUAUAUAGAGCCCAUCUAAAAAAGGAUUGAUUGGGGUUCAAUUCUUUGAACAAAUUUCAUCAUAAAUGAAAAUAUCCUAUUAAAAUUGUAACAAUGAAUCAAUUUAAUUAGUAUAAACAUAUUCUACUAAUUUAAUCAUGUAUAGUUUACUAUAAAAUAUUUCUAAUUCUUUCUUAUUUCAAACUAAAAAGUUAAUUUUUUAAUCAAAACUUUUUGUUUUUAAAAAUAAGUGAUACAAAAGGUUGACAAUUUUUUUUUAAAAAAAAAAAACAUAGAAGAAGAAUAAAUUUAUGAUAUAUGAAAUAUGUAUAUAUCUCAACUUAGAAUUAUUGUAUUCUAUGUAAAGAGGAUAUAUAAAGAGACUGGGUCAAUAAAUUAUCUUAUUGAAUAUUUGAUUGAACAUGAUAUAUGGUAAUUAAUGGAUGAGAUCAUUUACCCUAUCCUAAAGCUAACCAAUCCUAGGAUAAGAUAUGUUAUCUCAUCUCUUAUCUCAUCCAAUAUUAUGUAUAUCAAGUCAAGUAAUACAAUUGAGUUGCAUGGGAUGUGGACUACUAUUACUUUAAGAAGAAAUAUAGAAGUGAUAUAAACUAUUAAUAAGUACCAUAUGGGUAACUCUGAGUGAUUCAAUUUAACAUCCACCUAUCUAAAUAUAUUUAUAAUAGAUCAUCUUGGCUUAUGAAAAUUACAAAGUUGAAACAAAAUUUGGAGCACAACUAGUAAUAUGAAAACAAAUCAAAAUUGGUAUCAUCGCUACAUGCUAGUUACCUAAUUAUAUUUCUAGAGCAUUCAAUUGCCAAAGUGAAAUCCCAUGAAAAGGGCCAAGAAAUGGUGAUUGAGUAAGAAGCUUUGAUGAGAUGUGUUGCAUUGUUGGACGAGAUCUCGGAUUAGAAUGUAUGCAUUUGAGUGCCAACCAAACCACAAGAACUACAUCUCUAGCAACUUGUUGAUCUUGAGGAGAUGGGAGACGUGAAUCUAACAUAUCAGUGAGCAUUAUGUUUUGAGUUGAUGAGGAAGACAAUAAGGUGAAAAGUUCUCCUGGAUGCUUUCCCAUCAUUGUCUCAAGCGCCACCACUCCAAAGCUGUAAACAUCACAUUUUUCUGUCACGACCAUAGUGUAGGCAAGCU